AAUAAGAACGGAUGAUCAUUUGCUCACUAGGAGGAACAAUGCAUGAUGGUGCACUCAUUCUUGGUGGAUGCAUAUGGUCCCUCAUAGAUCGAUACAAAUGGAAAUUUUCUUCAUUAGGACCAUGUUAACUUAGUUGAUCUUCACCUUGAGGUUCCAUUAUAUUUGUAGCAAUUCCAAUAUUCAGCACUUGAGUAGAUGAAUUAGUUCUUUCCAACCUUCCCUUAGAAUUUCGUUCCCAAUGGAGCAUGCAAGGGUUCACCUACACAACAAAAAAAGACAAACCAAAACACAACAAAAAGAACAAAAGAGAAAAAAAGAAAAAGUAAAAAAAUGAAAUUUGAAAAAAAAAAAAAAACUAAGAUGAAAGUGUAGAAUCGGUAAAGAGAACUUCACCAAUCUUGUGAUGUGGAUCAUAAGGUUUAAUCCUCACCAAAAAAAAAUGCCUCAAUCACCUUGGCACCAUCCCCGACAACGACGCUAUUUUUUAUCGCUUGGAUUUUUGUUAUUUAUUGGAUCAAAAUAAAAUUUAUAACCUAAUUCACUAUUCUAUAGCAAUUUGUACCCGAUCAAAAAGUGGUUUUAGUACAAACUACUGUAGUGUAGUGGUUUUUAGGUAUCGUCCACAAGGAUGGAUUAUUCUUGGUAAUCAAGGCUUGAAUAAGAGGAGAAGAAAUGAUUGAGAUCAAGUGAAAAUGAUUUGACAAUUCAUGAUAAAAAUUCGAAAUGAUAAUGAUUCCAAAUUGAGAGAAAAAUGAAAUGUAAAAUAGAAUAAAAUUAAUAGAAAAUGAAGUUCUCGGAGUUAGGAUUUUCUAAAAAGCAAUUUCCAUGGUGAAUAGAUGUUGAGAUCUAAUUUUCAUCUAAACCGAUUUUUUAUUUAGCUUUAGGUCUAGAUUUAAUUUCUCUUCAAAUUAGGUCAUCUAAUCCAAGAGAUCAAUUCAAAUCAUAUAUUCAAUUCAUCUUAAAUUAUCUUCCAAUGAUUCACACAAUGCAACUAUUCAAUCUCAUCAAAUCUAGCAUUAAGACUUUGAUGAAUCUACAUAGCUUGCAUUGUAGUAAUCAUCCAAGACAAUUUGAUUUUGAAGAGAAAAAUCAUCAAAUUUCAAUUAAUAAAUCAAUUGGAUCAAAUUACAUUUGCAAUUCAAGCUCAUUUCUCUAAUUCACCAUAGAUCUUGCCUCUAGAUCCUCCCUCCUCCGAGAAAAACGAGAUUUAGCCACUCAUGCUUGGAUAUUUGAUCUCACAAGGCAUGUUUGGCUAGUGAGAAAAUGAGAGAAAAUGAAGGAAAGUAGAAAAUUCUAUAGAGAUAAAAUCUGGAAAGUUCUACAAUUAGAAAAUGUAUCAAAAGUUCUUAAAUGAGUAUAUCAAGUUUCUAUUUAUAGGCCAAGGUUAAGUGGACACUUGGCAUCAUCUAAGAGGUUUUACGAAGGCUUCUUCACCAAGAAAUCUGGAAAAAAUACAAUUUUGCACGAUUGUGUGAAGUGGAAAGUUCAUCAGCACCAUUUUCGUCUUCUUGGAGCAUUUCGCAUGAUUGUGCGAAAUUUUUGCAUCGUCAUGCGAAAUCAGUUUUCACUUCUCCCCUUUGAGCUACAGCCAAAAUCCCCUCUGGUCUAUUUCGCACGUCUGUGCGAAUUUUUCGCAUGGUCAUGCGAAAUUGAAAAACAUGGUUUUUCAACUUCUUUUUGUCAUUUCUCCCAUUUCUUUCUUUUGACUCCACUUCCACCACCUUCAAUUCAGCUCCAAAGCUUGGUCCAAGUGCAUUGCCUCUUCCUCAUCAUCCACAUUGUGUACCCUCAUCCAUUCCAUUUCUCUUUUGUCACUCAAUGCUUCAAAAAUCACCUUAAAAUAUCUCCAAAACUUCACAAAAAUCCAUUAGUAUCUCUUGCAAGGGUAGCAAUGUAUUACUUGGGCAUAUUAGGCAUAAUUACUACUCAAAAGGUAUAAAACUCAUGAGAAUUAGUAUCUAAAAUGUGUGGUUUUUUAGUAGUAAUCACUAGGAUAAACGAAGUCCUCAAAACCAAGGGGUUGUUGCAUGUAAACCUCUUCAGACAAUUCACCAUGAAGAAAAGCAUUAUUGAUGUCAACUUGACGUAGAGUCCAUUUGAAAUUAACAACCAAUGCUAGAAUCAAGCAAAUAGUGGUUGCCUUAACAACUGGACUGAAUGUGUCAUCAAAAUCAAAACCAAGUCAUUGAGUAUACCUUUGAGCAACUAGGUGAGCUUUAUGUCUUUAAACACUUCCAUCGACAUUUUUUUUAUCCUAAAAAUCCACUUAAAGACUAUAAUGUUAUGGUUAGAAGGGAAUGGAACUAGGGACUAAGUAUCAUUCUGAAUGAGUGCAUUAUACUCAUGUAUCAUAGUUGUUUUCUACACUGGAACGGACAUGACUAAACAAUAAGAUGUAGGCUCUAAGAGUGGGGAAGCUAAAGCAAGAAAAACUCUCUGUUUGAGAAUGCCAGACUGGGACCAUGUUUGCAUAGGAUGAGUGGAUUGAAAAUUUAUUGGGAAGGCAACAUUAGAAGAGAUUUAUGAGGUUGAAUGAGGGAAUUGCUCACUGCUGGUUGAAUGUGGUUGACAGUUUUGAUCAGAAAGAAUGGUUGUUUCUGAUGAGGGCAAAUCUAUAGUAGCGACCAUUUAUGAGGAUUGAGUAAAAUAGCUCUAAUAUCAUAAAAUAGUUUGAGAUAUGAAUGAAAACGAGCUCUCCCUUUGGAUCAGGGAAGGCUAAUAGAAGUCUUCUAACAUCUGUUAAUAUAUGUUGAUCACAAGAUACAAGGAAAUAGAAUGAGAAAACAUAAUGAGUAAAAAUAAGGAAACAAACUAAUCAACUUAAAUUUGAAUUAUCAUGUGAGACCAAGCCCAUUAUGUUCUUGUUAAUUGAUUUCUCAAUUGCACGUUCCUUAUCAAUAAUAAAAUGAAAAUUUUGCAUAAUUUAAGUUAUAAAAUAUUCUUUGUAUAACUUUUGGCUAUAAAAUUAUUAAUUGACAACUUUGCUCUGUAUAACUUCUUGUUAUAUAAUAAAAUUAAAAAUUAUCUACAUAAUUUCUAGUUAUAGAAUUAUUGGUUGAUAACUUUGUUAUGUAUAACUAAUUGCUAUAUAAACAAAUUAGAAAUUAUUUAUAUAGUAUCUUGUUACAAAUUGUUUAUUAAUAAUUUUGUUCUGCAUAACUUCUUAUCAUACAACAUUAGAGAUUAUCUACAUAGGUUUUUAUUAUGAGAUAAUUGUCAAUAAAAAUUGUCUUCAUACUUCUAGUUAUGAGAUAUAAAUAGAAAUUAUAAUAAUAAAAAUAAGAUAUCAAUUUUCAUAUAUCUUUUAAAAUAAAAAUAUUUGAAAAAAAGUAAGAUUGUAUACUUUCCUAAAUAUGAUUAAGUGUUUCAUGAAUUUCUUUCUUUUUCAGCCGAAGCAUUGUGUUGAUAAUGUGUCAUAAAAACAAAGAAAGUAAAGAGAAGAAUUGAGAGAAAGAAAUUCUCAUCAAUAAAAUUCUUACAAUUGUAAAGGAUAAAUUGAUAUCCAAAGAAUUUAAUAUAUGAAAUUGUGAUAUUCAUCAGGGACAAAAAUAUCAACGAUAUAUCAUCGAUAUAUCUUGUAUCGGAAAGCUUUGACACGAUAUAUCAUAGUGAUAUAUUGGAGAAGAGAAAAUUCGGUAAAUAUUGUUACAAAAUCGUCAAUAUAUCAAUUGGAAGCGAUAAAUUGUUGAUUUUCCCAACGUGCUCCAAUCUCCCUCAUUCGAUCAAAGCCUACCCCUGCCUUUAAUUUUUUGCACCCCCUGCUCCAAGCUCCCUCCCCCAAUCAAAGCGAGCGAGCCCCCAGUCAAAGCGAGCUGCCUUUAAUUUUUUACAGCUCAAAAAAUGCCUUCCAAUUGUUUGCAAGUAAAGAGACUCGAACCUCAUACUACAACAUAUGUCUACCACUAGGGAAACUAUGCCCUUUGUAAACAUCAGUGUACCAAACAUAUGUAUAUUAAAAGUCAGGAUAUAAACAAAAUAUUAAAAGAAUAAUUAUAUUAUUAUCAAAAAUAUAAAAAUUACCAUCAAAAUUUUUUCUUAAUGUUUUAAAUAUCAUUAAUAGAUUAAUUAAAUAUUAAAAAAUUAUACAUAUAUUAUCAUUUAUUUUAUAUUAUUUAAUAUAAUUAAAUUAAAUGAAUCAUAAUUUUAAUAUUAAAUAUAUUUUAAAAUUAGAAAUAUUAUAAUUAAAUAUCACAAUAUUAUUGUGAAAUAAUAUUUAAUAUAAUUAAAUAAUAAACGGUACACUUAUAAAAUGCAUAUUUUUAAUCCAUACAUACAAUAUUAUUAUUAAAUAUAAUAAAUCAUAUCAUGCAUAUAUUAAAUUUUUCAAUAAAUAAUUUUAAAAUAUUUAUUAUAUUUUUAUGAGGUUUUUUUUUAUAUUUCCAUGAAUUUUAAUCAAUUUUAUAUCUAUCGAUAUUUUUUUUCAAAAUAUCCAUCAAUAUAUCCGUAAAAUCGAAGUACCGAUAUAUAUGUAAUUACCUAUAUUUUCAUAUUUGAUAUCCAUAUAUAAAUUUUUGCAUAUAUUUAUAUAUAUAUAUAUAUAUAUAUAUAUUUGGUUUUUUAUUGAGAAUAAAAAACAAAAAAAUUUCACAUCAAUUCAGUAAUAUUUUUCAUGUAAGUCAAAAACCAAUUCAAUUAUAAUCAAAUAAUUCAUCUUUGGCAGAAUUAUAUGCUUUAUCAUUUCCCUUCUAAGAUCAAUUUUUUUUUUAAGAUUGUAUUUUUUUAAAAAUAAAAUUGAAAAAUGUCCACUUGGGCCAUGAACUACGGUUAUGGGGUAUAUACAAUUCCAAGUUUUUUUUUUUUUAUUCACUUUUCAAUUCAAUUUUGUAUGAUUAUUUUGACUUAUCCUUAGCAUCUAGAAGCAUUAUAUAUUACCAUGUUGUAAGGGGGUCCAACAAAUUUAUAUUAAAUCAUUGCUUACAUGUAUGAAACAUUGAAUAUUCAAAGAUAAAUUUUUAAUGAUUCGAUGAUUUAGUCUUUGUUUGAUUAAGUUUUGAGAAGUGAAAGUUGUUAAGUUAAAUAAAAGUUUAUGUACCUACUUGACUAAUUUUAUUUAAAAUAUUUAUAUCUUAAAUUUAAUAUAAAAUUUUAAAAAUUAUUUCUUAUAUAAAAGUUUUAUUUUAUUUAAUGAUUUUUUUUAUAUAUAUAAUUGAGUACCAAGCUCUUAGGACUUUUAAUGGGGACUUAAACCUCAAGGUGUUGUUCACAUAUAGAACAACUAGUAUUGAGUAAAUCAAGAUAUUUAACCAAUGGCAGGAUUUGAACAUGACCCUGAUAAUGAAAAUUUUAUAAUAUUAAUAUUAUUUUUUAAAUUAUAAUUUUUAUUUGUACUUCUACUUCAAUUUUCUACAAGUAAAAGCAAGAAGCUUUUCAAAAUGGGACCUAAGACUAAAACCCUCAAAAUGAAUAUUAUUGUUUUUUUUUUUUUUCAUGUUUCUAUUUUUAUUUUUAUUUUAUUUGGUUUUUGUCCAACCAUAUCUCUUGCUUUCUUCAUCCAAAAUCAAUUUCACAAGUUAUUGUCCAGUGGGCUUUUUUUUUUGUUGCUCCAAUGGACAAUGACUUUAAAUAUUCAAUGCUUUGAAUUUAUGGGCUUGACUCUAUUAUUGGAGCUAUAAUAUGAGGGGGGGAAUCAGAAAUUUUAGAAAACAAAGCACAAAUCAUUAGGAUAUGUUGAAAAGCAUUGUUAAAAAAUAGUUUUCUAUUUUUUUAAAACAAUGUAUUUUUCUAACCUAAGAAAUAUGUUUGACAUUAGGGCAAAUAGUUUUUUUUUUUAAAAAAAAAAAAAAAAGAAUUUCUUUUGAGAAAAACUUAUUUUAAAAAUAAUUUUGAGAUAUAUUUUUUUUUUGUACAAUAUUUUGAGAAAGAAUUGAACAUAUGGUGAUGUUGUAAAAACUCUUGUAUUCUAAUUAUUGGAAGAGUAAGCCAAUAAAACUAUUUUUCAUAUUUAAAUUUUUAAAUAAAUUUUUGUUUUUAAAACCAAUUGAUAUCUAUUUUUAAAAAUAGUUUUUUAAUAACUAUUUUUAAAAAGUGAAACAAACCCUUAAGACAUAUUUAGCAAUAGUUUUCUAGAAUAGUUUUCUAUUAAUAAAAAAAAUAUAGAAAAACAUGUUUGAUAAUAAAAAUAUAAAGUUUUUUCAAAUAACAUCUUUUAAUUGUUUUCACUUAUUUUAAUAUAUAUAUAUAUAUAAACAUGUAAAAUGAUUAAAAAUAAAACACUAGACAUUAAAAUUAUUUUUAAAAUAUAUUUAAAAAUAUUGUUUUACAAAAUAUUAUAAAACAGAUUUUAGAAAAUAUUUUCAAAAACUAUUUUUUAGAAUUAAUUUUUAAAACAGUUGUCAAAUAAGAUCUUAAAAUUUUCUUUUAAAUUAUGAAAAUUACCCCUCGUACUUUCAUAUUUAUCUCAAUUUAGCUCCUUUUUUUUAGUGAUCACUCCUAAACUAUGCCCAUAUAUCAUACCCUUAAUUUUUUUCUUUUAAAUUACAAAAAUCACCCCUUUUACUUUCACAUUUAUCUCAAUUUAGCUCUCUCUCUCUCUUUUUUUUUUUUUUUUUUUUUGAAGUAAUGACACUCCUAAACUAUUGAUUGCCAUUGCUAGAAUUUAAUGAAAAAACUCAUAUAAUAACCAUAUAUAUAUAUAUAUAUAUAUGAUUUUUUUUUUGGUAUAACCAAUUUAUUUAGAUACUUGUCACAUGAGUUAUAUAUCCCUUUUUUUUUUUUUUUUUGAAAAAUCUUAGUAUAAUUAUUGAAAGUUGACAUUACUUAAAAAGUCCAAAGAUCACAUUAAAAUACGGGUAAAACUACAAAGAUAAUUUUUAUAAUUUACUUUUUUUAAAAAAAUUAUAUAAUUUUAUGGAAAGCUUCUAACGUUGUCAUGUCACAACCCAAUUGAUAAUGUUCAGAUCCAUGAUUGGUAUUAUAUGGGCCCUGUGGUGUUGGUUGGUUGGCUGUCCAUCUCUUAUAUUAUUCAUACAGGCCAAGCAAUGUACUACAGCUCAGGGUUUGGUUCAUUGGCUUUUUAUCAUAACCAGCCAUCUAGGUAGUGGGGUGCAUUAAUAUUUGAUUCCCAACUCCUUGUAUAGGUGUACCAAUGGUUGGUUGGAUGCUGACAUUUUAUUGUUAGGGAAUAUUAAGACUGACUUUCAAGUAAUUAAAUGAAGCAAAAUCAUCAACAAUGAUUAAUAAUUAAAGAAACGGUUAAUUUCAUUGACCUCCCUCGUGUUUUAGCUAAAUACAUAUAACUCUUGUUGGUUUAAAAUUUCAUCAAAUAUCUCUCUUAUCUUUCUUAUUUGAUAUUUUAAUUCACCUUCUCUCUAACUCAAAAUAAAAAAGGUAUUUAUCGAAUUUUUAAACCAAUGGACACUAGUUGUAUUUAAUUAAAAUUUCGAAAGAGACGAGUCAAAUUAACCCUUAAAGAAAGAAUUACUUUAUGGUUAAAAACAAAACUUAAUUAAUUUAAUUUUGUAUUAACUCUAAAAAAUAAUAUUAUUUGUCCAAUAUUUCAUAAUUGGUAUAAAUCUAAUGACCAUAUUAUUAAAAGCUUGUGGUAAGAACGGGUUUCGUUCUAAUGCCCGAAAAUAAUAUUUCAAAGCUUUCGUAUGCUCUCCAUUACUUGUGUGGAUAAGUCCUAUGUUAUAGAGUAUAUAACUUCGAUUAUAGGGAUCAAUUUCUAGUCGCAUAGCUUCAUAAUAAUUCUAUAAAGCUUCCACAUAAUUUCCUUCGGAUUGAGCCGGCAUCCGUUACAAGAGUCAUGAGUUUGAACUACAAAAGAAUUAUGUUAGAAGAGGGGUUGUUGGGAUACAGUAAUGUUGCUCUUAAGUUUGGGAUAAGUCACCUAAAUUAUGGUAGUUAAGAGACUUCAAAUUUCCUUUUUAGACACCAAUUAGUUUUCAAAUGAAAUGGCAAAAAUCUAAUUUAAUAAAUAUAAUAGUUUUAUAUUCAAAUAGAUAAAUAGAUAUCAGCUGAUCAAAGUCUUGAUUCUACUAAUAUAAUAACAUUAGAUGCAAAUAAACGUAAGUUAUCUAUUAGUUUAGUUUUUUUUUUUGUCAAUUAUUAAACUAUUGAAGGUAGGGAAUUGUCAAUCAUUUAACCAUUUAAGCCAGAGAUAGUAAUGAGAGGGUUUUUUCAAAUACUUGCCCCACUCUACCAUGGUCCCACAGCUUUCUUAUAGAGGAAGAUAUUUAGCUUUCUUAUAGGGGAAGAUAUUUACUUGUUAGUUGUUGACUUGUGUAGCUCAAUAAGGUCUCUAUCUUAAUGGAAAGAGGAAAAAGGUUUAGAUAAAAUAUCUAAAAAUAUAAAUUUAUUAUGAAGAUAAAUAUAUGGCUAUGUAAAGUGAGGAUCAAGAUGGGUGGGGAUGUAGAAUGGCCCACACAAUCCCAAGAAGGAGAAAAGAAGUACAUGAAAAAAUAUUUGACAAGAGUAUUAUAAGAAGUGAGAAAUUGGGCAUUUAUUAUGAAGAGUUAAAUACAACUUGGUUUUGUAUAUUAGCUUCUAGCUUUUGUUUUCUACAAGGACCACAAAAAGUGAAAAAAUGAGGUGUGUCAUUUUCUAUUCCUUAAAAAUAAUAAUAAUAAUAAUAAUAACUAUUAACAAAUUUGAGUAACUACAAUUCCUAAGAAAAGUUGUACUAUUUUUUAAAUUAGACUUUUUUUUUUCUUUCAAAAUUUCUACUUUUACUAAAUUUUACCACAAUUUCAUGAGCAUUUUCUCUAUUUAUUAAACCUUUUUUUUUCUUUUACCAAAAUUUCAAUUUUUAGAUUCAUAGUUAUAGUUUCACUCCUAGAGUCCAUUUGGUAUAUAAAGCACUUUUAACUUAAAAAAUAUUUUCUAAAAACAUAUAUGUUUUACAAAAUUUAGAAAAUAUUUUUAAAAUUUUGAAAAAUUACUUGUAGUGUUUUCUUGAUAAACACUGUAUGAUUGAUUAUCUUAAAAACACUUUCUAUAAAAAUGUUUCCAUUAAAAAUACCUUGAGUAGAAAUACCAAGACAUGCACUAUUAAUUAUCUCAUGAUUAAAAGGAAAAAAAAUCAUAAUAUAUAUUCAUGAAAAAUUCCCUUAUAUUAUGAUAAAUAAUAUUUCUCUCUUAAGCUUUCAUUGUACUAUUUAUAAUAAUGAUCAUAGAUAUGGAGCAACAACUUCUCCUAAAAACUCAAAUAUUUAAUUAAUCAUUAAAUAAAUAAAUAAUAAACAUUUAAAAAAAAAAAACCACACCAGACAACAUUCAUUGGAUAUUGACCAAUUCAACUAAGGUUAUCCACAAGAUAGAUGACUUUGAAUGAAUCCAAAAGGUUAAGUAAAAAGUCAAUUUCAAAUUCUUAAUUACAAUAUCCACUCUAUUACAUUAUAACUAAUAUCUACCAUUAUAAAUGUCCACUUCAUUAUUUCUUUAUUUUUCUCUCUUUUCCAUUGGUCAUUUUCUUAUAAUAAUAUCUUCUAUUACCAUUUUUUUUUUACAUUAUGAUAUUUUGUGGUAAAUUGAAAAAUUAAUUUACUUAUUGAAUGUAUUAGAGUAAUUAGAUGGUAUUUUAGAUUUUGGGUUUGGGUACAGAAAUUUAAUAUCAAACAUCCUUUGAGAAUGUUCCAAAAAUUAUUGUUUUUAAGGGAUAUUUUCAACUGGGGUUGUCCAAAUAAUAUUCAUAAAUUUUGUCAUUUUCCUUGAGUCUAAUGUUUUUUUAUAUUUCCUUUUUUUUUUAAUUUUGGAAAAAUUUUAUUCUUUUUCCUUGCACAUCUUUUAUCCCAUUGUGUCCAUCUUAUUGAAUUCUUUAAAAAAAAAAAUUACUAACAAGGACAACACACACCCUUAUACAAAAAUUUUCAUGUCAUUCCAUGUGAGUCCCAUGUGAAUGAUGACAAGAAGGAGCCUUCUUAUCAAUUUAUUUUUCUUUAAAAAAAAGACACAUAAUAUAAAUAUUCCUAAUAUAUAUUAAAAAAAUCAACUUAAAAAAUAUUUUCUUUUCUUUUCCCAUCUCAAAUGUAUCUUCAUGAUACACCAAAAGAUCCCAUCAAUCAAAUUAUGUUAUAUAUAUAAUUCGGGUUUCAUUAUUUUAUAUUCAAAUUUCAUUUACUUCAUAUUUAAGUCUAUAUUCCUAUUAUAUAUUAAAAAUACUAACUCAAAAAAUAUUUUCUUUUCUUUUUCCCAUCUCAAGUGUAUUUUAAUGAUAUACCAAAAGGUCCCAUCAAUCAUACUAUGUCAUAUAUACACUUCGAAUUUCAUUAUUUUAUAUUUGAGUUUAUAUCUUGUUUCUAUUUAUUUUUACUUUUAUCUUACUUUUUUUAUAACUAAGGCUUUAUAUAUAUAUAUAUAUAUAUAUAUAUAUAUAUAUUUGUCAAUAUCUUUAACAAACCAAAUUUAUGGUACACUAGAUAAGGAUUUAAAGUUGGGCAUUCGAUUUAGUAGAUUAAUCAAGUGGAGCCCCUACAAGGAAUUUUUUCUACUUUUCAGUGCUGCUGAUCAGGCUGCUCUUGAACUUAUUUUAAAGGUUAUGAGAAUUAGUGAUAAGGACCACAUGGCCGGUCCCAACUCUCCCACUUGAUUCCUGGGGCCAAGUUUACAAAAAUACAAACACAAAAGAAUAUUGAAUGUGAAGUGUUGUUAGCGACGUUUCGUCCAAUAAUAGAGGCCUUCGUGUCUCUUCCGAUCAGGUGGAUUGCCAACCUUACACUCUUCUCUUGUUAUCAUUUUGUGUAUUGGAGGGCAUGUUUCUAUUAUUUAAAUCCUUUCUCUAUUUGCCCAUCUUUUCACUAAAAGUAGUUGAUGAGCAGUUGGGAAGACUUGGGAUUUUUUCAAAAGCUGGUAACAAAUACUAGUUAUAGUCUUCGAACCCAUCAUUUUCUUCACCUAUAUGCAGAUCUUCAAAUGGGUUUUCCUAGAAAUCGGUCUCUGCCACUGGGUUCUACUCCUUUCAAUAUCUGGAUUUGUUCACCAGAAGGUUGAUUAGCUGACAUACUCAACAGGCUCCUCGGAUUUGGCUUUGUCUCUUGUCCUAGUCCUCUUCUCCACCCACAGAGGCUUCUUCUCAUCAAGCGGGCUUCUGAAUGAUGGUGAUGCCAUUUAGAAUGAGUUUCUGGGUGUCCAGUGUGGUCUGGAUGGCUCUCACAUUCUGGGUUUCUUCAUGCAUGAUUGUAGCCACUGAGGUGGCCAGUUCUCUCAGAACCCAACCCUUCUACAUGCCUUACUAUUGAUCAUGGCACUGCCCAUUCAAAUUUGAGGUUUGUUUCUACUACUUGUAUGAAUGUUUUGGGAGAUUGGGUUUUUUAUAGGAGUGGAUUUGUUUGAAUAACUGUCAAAGGACAACGAGUAAACACUCUUGACUCCCAAUCUCAGAUUUUGCCUUGUACAAAUCCUCUGUAAGUGAAGUAUAAAUUUGUAGCAUAUAUAGAGUAAUUAAUUGAGGUGUCUUUGCUAGCUCCAAUUAUCAGCUUCAUAUGGUAUCAGAGCACUAGCCUUCUUUCUCAUAUCUCUUUCUUCUAUCUUUAUUGAUCAUGUGGGAAGAGGUGUCUGACAGCACUCCAAGCAGAACUGUUAUUUCAAUUAAUCAAGACUUUAAUCUCUACAACUACCCCCUCUUAAGAAGUUUGGAACAAACUUGCCAAACCCAAUGAUGAUAGAUUCAGAAUCAGAGUCUUGCAGCUCAAAGAUCAUCUCUCCCGUAUCAUGAGAGGAACCAAAUGUGUGGCAGUUAGCCUCUUUUCACACCCUUUUCCUUGAUAUUCGCAGAAACACAGUUGAAGCACUUUUUUAAGCUCAUAUUCAAACGUGAAAUGAUUUUCUUUAAAAAUGUCCAAAAAGAAGCAGAACAAAUAAAAAUGGCAGGGGAUGUUUGCUAAUUGUUUUCAAAAACAAUUUCAAAAUGAUAACAAUUUUUUAAGACUAUUCUCUAAUUUUUGUAUAAUAAAAGUUUGUUUGGAAACUUAAAAUGUUUUUUUUUACCUAUUUUUAAUAUUUUAAAAUAUGUUUUCAAAAUAUUUUUUAUAUCUAAUAUUUUAUUUUUAAUUAUUCUAUAUAUUUGAAUAAUUAUUUUUUAAAAUAAUAAAAAAUAAUUAAAAAUGUUAUCUGAAAACACCCUGAUUUUUCUUUUUAAGAAGAGAAAUAAAAAAAUAAUUUUUUUUAUUGUCAAACCGUAUUUUCUGUAUUUUUGUUCUAAAAAACAAAAAAUUGUUCUAAAAAACAAUUUUCAAAUAAGCUUUUAGAGACUAACAACGUAUUUGAUAGUAAUUUUUUUAUUUUAAAUGUUUUUAAGGGAAGUCUCCUCAUCAAGUGUUUUUUAUCAAAAACCAUUACUGGUAUUUUUUUUAAAUGUUUUCUAAAUUUUUCCAAACACUUGAUUUUUCUUCCAAGCGAUAUUUUAUACUAGAAGUGUUAUUAAGACCAUAUUUUAUACUAGAAGUGUUUUUAAGACCACCAUCAAAUAAACUCUAAGAAUUAGUUUGACAAUAUUUUUAUUUUAAAUGCUUUUAAUGGUACUAUUUUCUUUAAAAAUAUUUUUAAAAAGAUCACUUAUCAAGUGCUUUUCCACAAAACACCAUAAAUAUUUUUAAAAUUUUUUAAAAGUACUUUCGAAAUUUUGUCAAACUUUUUAUUUUUCUUCAAAAAUACUUUUUAUAUUAAAAGUGUUUUCUCCAAAAGCACGAGAGCGAUGGUUUAAAAAGGCUAAUUUCAUUACUUCUCCUGAUAUUUUGGCUAAAAUAAACCUAGUCACUAUUGAUUAGAAAUUUUAUCAAAUAUCUUUCGUAAUUCUUUUCAGAUGUUAUUUUCACUCAUUUUCUCUCUUGUUCAAAAUUAAAUAAAAAAAUUGAUAAAAUUUUAAACCUGUAAAGACUAGAUGUAUUUAGUCAAAUAUAAGAGAUAAUUGAAAUCGACCUUAAUUUAAAAGUGGUGUAAUCAUGACAACUACCCUUAAGAAUAUUUGAACCUCUUUCAAGCCUUGAAAAUGAAUACAAAAAUUGAUGUCUUACUAACAAAUGGGACUUGGGAACUUAGAGCUCAUUUGUUAAUGCUUUUUAAAAGUGUUUUUAUCCUUAAAAACACUUUAAAAUGUUUUUAACCUAAAAAAUAGGUAAUAAUGUUUUAAAAAAUAUUUUUAAAGAUUUAGAAAAAUACUUGAAGUGUUUUUUAGGAAAACACUUGGGAGGUGUUUAAAAAAAAACACUUAAAAAAAUUUCAAAUAUUUCUAAAAUUCUAAGAGUGUUUCCGCUACCCUUCUUUCCUUUUCAGCUACCCUUCUUUCCUUUUCACUCUCUUCAAAAUUUUUUGAAAAUUUUUCACCAAUAACUGGAGAACGAAUAUCCAGAAAAUAAUUUUGAGAUUUUGUAGAAUCUCAUUAGAAAUCACUGCAAGCUUAUCAUGCGAUAAGCUUAAUGACAUCAAUUUUUAAUUUCUUGUGUACUCAACAUUGUUUCUAUUUUCAUAAUCAUAAAAAUAAUUUUUUUAAGUUUUUUUUUUCUAACAAUAUGAAUGUUUAUAUAUUUUUUGUAAUAAAUUUUAUUUAUUUAUUAUAUAUAUAUAUAUAUUUGUAAUGAGCAUCCUUUUUAAUAAUUUAUUAAUUUUAAAAACGUUUUUGAACUUAUGCAACAUAUUGUUAAAACCACUAUUAAAAUUACUUUUUCAUAUUCUCAUAAAAGCAUCUUUGACAGAAGUGUUAUAAAAUGUAACACUUCCAAUAAAAAAUACUUCUAGCAGAAGUGCUGCCAAGCGGGCUCUUAUUUCGCCUGUAGCCACUUAACAUGUCAUUGAUAGUAGCAUUGAAAGGUAUAAAGAGUGCCUUAUUGCCAAAGGCUUCCAUCAUCAAUUAGGCUGGAUUUUCAAGCCACAAUCAAUCAAUCUAAUGAUGAAACCCAAGAAUACCCAAUUAAUUAUUCCUCUUAUAGUCUACAAAAUAGUUCGUCCCAAGGUAUCAAUAAUGCAUUCUUGCAAGGCAUCUAAUCAAAUGAUCCAAAACAUCUCCGUCCUGUCAUGAAAGCCAUAUAUGCCCAUCACCAAGCACUGUGGGCUUGGUACCAAGAAUCGAGCCACGUUCUUCUCGACUCCAAAGACAAGACGCCUCAUUAUUCAUGGACAAAGCCAGAGACCUGGCAAUCAAUCUCUUCAUUUACAUCUAUGACAUCUAUGUUGGAAUUUUUAUGUGUGGACUUACAUAAUUAAUUUGAUAAUAUCAUAAAUCAGUGUUAAUUUAUGUUUUUGCAUUGUGGUCCAUAAUGGGACUGGACACAAAUUAUUGCUUGAUUUUUUAUGGGCUCACCCUAAUUCACUUGACUGGCCCAUUAAGUCAAGUCGUCCAACUAAAGUGUGUAAUGUGCAAUAUAUAUAUAUAUAUAUAUAUAUAUAUGUAUUUAUUUGUAUAUAUAUAUAUAGAGGUGUGUGUGCUUUUGGAGGGGGACCACUCUCUCUUUUGUUCUCUUUGAAGAACACUCCCGGCCACACACGCACACACCCCACUUUGGACUAAAUUUUGGGGAUUAAAGGGAAGAGCUCAUUGAUCGUUCAUCCUCGGAGCAUCACGCACCCGGAAAGCAGAUUAUUGGACAUCAAAGGUAGCAGAAAUGGCUUCCCAAAGCACGAACCAAGGUAACGGAUUGAAUUUUGCUGUUAAAUGCAUGCUUAAUUUGUCAACAUGUGAUCCUAUGAAAUUUAAAUUCUCAUCAAUUGGUAUCAGAGCCAACAUGGAUGACAUUUGAGCUGCAAUUUUGGGUUAAUUUUUAGGUUUCCCGUUUCCUGUGGUGGAAGCCAUUUUUUUUGGAUUUUUAUUUCUCGUUUGAUGUUGAUUCUCUGUUUUCAAGCCCGAUUGUUGUUGGAAACUUGUAGAGAAUGUUGUUUGGAGCAAAACCCAUCAAAUUUUGUGAUUUUUGGAGCUCAUUUGAUGAUAUUUCGAAAAUUAGGGCUUGUUUGGUUCUUGCUAUUAUGCGGUUUUUUGUGCAAUUUUUGGGUUUGGAUUGAAGGUUUGAUGUUUUAGGAUGGAAAUCUAUGUAUUUUUGACGAAAAAUGCGUGAAAUUUUGGGCGGAAAAAUUUUUUUUUUCUUCUCCAGAACCAGGUCGUGCUCAGCUGGAGAAGAAGAUGAAUAGUGACGUGAUGACGUCAUCAUGACGUCAUAAAAAAAAAAAAAAAACCAAAUUUUUUUUUUUUUUUUUUUGUUGCCUUGGUAUUCUUGGAUUGAUUGUGCAUAUGCUAGAAUUAUUAUGCAUUUGUUAAAUUUGCCUUCAUUGGGACAAUUAUUAUUAUUAUUGUUCUUUAUGGUAUAAGUUUUCCUUAUAUUAAUAAUGUUGUCCUAUGUCAAUUUUGUUAAAUAUUUCAAUUUAUUGAGGCAAUGAAGCACACUUGUGUGAUUGCCUAUAGCAAUUCCAAGUGUGUCAAAUUGUGAAAAUUAAGAUAUUUUGAAUUUUAUUCAUGACAAUAGUGAACAUAUGUGUGGUUGCCUAUCGUGAUCCUAUAUGUGUCAAAUUGUCUUUGUUGAGAUAUUUUAUCUCCCUCUUUUGAUUGUUUUAUUAUUGUGAUAACUAAGGUCCAUACGGGUAUUGUGAUUGUCCUAUCGAUGAUUAUAAUAUUUGGUAGGAUGCUUGGAUUGGUGAAGGAAAUUAAUUUUAUAUUAUGAAUCGUACUAAUUUUCUUUGCCCUUUCGGUAAUAAAAUUAGUGCAUCUUGGUUGUGAUAUUUAAUUGGUUGUCCUUACCGCCGUGGAAUUUUCAAAAUUCCAAGCUGUUGCUAAAUUGAGAAAUUCUGGAAACUAGCAAAUGCAUGAUUUUGUAGUAACAUGCAUAUUGCUUAAUUUUGCUAUUUUCCAGUUACUAGCAAUCCUGGUAUUACUCUGCAACUGUCUGCCAUCAAACCUCUUACUGGAAUAAUUUUGAGGAAUGUUUUGAGUCUUUCAAUGUGCAUAUGACUAUGCACAUUUUGGACUGGGCUUUGAGAGUUGAUAAGCCAAGUAAAUUUGAGUUCUUCCAUAUUGUGGCACAAUCGCCUAGGUCAUAUUUCUAGGCAAAGAUUAGAGAGAUUGGUUAGAGAUGGAUAUGGUGAGGUGCAUGUUGUCUAGUUCCUCCUUACCAGAAUUUCUGUGGGGUGAAGCCUUAAGGACUGCGGCAUAUAUUUUGAAUAAAGUGCCCAGUAAGUCUGUGCCUAAGACACCUUAUGUGCCAUGCGCAGCGGAAGCGUUGGUCAGGCCCUAUAACCCACAGUCAAAGAAACUUGAUCCUAAAACCAUCAGUGGUUUCUUUGUUGGUUAUUGCAUUGGAUCAAGGGGUUCCAGAUUUUAUUGUCCAUCUCAUACCACCAGGAUCAUUGAGUUAGACAGGGUUGUAUAUUUUGAAGAUGUGAGCUCUGUUGAUGAGAGAUCUAGUGGUAUCUGAAGUUUGAUAGUAUUAUCACCCAAAAUGGUUUUAAAGAAAAUACAGUUGACAGAUGCAUAUAUUUGAGGGUCAGUGGGAGUAGUUACAUAUUUCUUGUUUUAUAUGUUGAUGAUAUACUACUCGCAUCAAAUGAUCCUGACUUGUUGAUUGAGACAAAGCACAUGUUGUCAACCCAUUUUGACAUGAAGGAUCUUGGUGAGGCUUCUUAUGUCUUGGACAUAAAGAUUCUUCGUGAUAGGGCUAAUGGAGUGCUUAAAUUGUCUCAAAGAGCCUAUAUUGAAAAGAUAUUGAAGAGGUUCAAUAUGCACAACUGUAAAUCUACUAAAGCGCCAAUUGUGAAGGGUGAUAAAUUUUCAAAGGCUCAGUGUCCUCAAAAUGAUGAUGAGAAAGAGGAAAUGAAGACCAUUCCUUAUUCAUCUGUGGUGGGCAGCCUUAUGUAUGCUCAAGUAUGUACACGCCCUGAUAUUGCUUUUGUUGUGGGCAUGUUGGGAAGGUACUUGAGCAAUCCUGGGAGUCAACAUUGAAAAGCAGCUAAGAAGGUCCUUAGGUAUUUGCAAGGAACUAAGGACUUAAUGUUGACAUAUCAGCGCACCAGCUUACUUGAUGUAGUUGGGUUUUGUGAUGCUGAUUUUGCUGGCUGCAUAGAUGAUAAGAAAUCCACUACGGGCUAUAUUUUUAUGAUGGCAGGAGGAGCUGUAUCUUGGAAAAGUGUCAAGCAGACACUUACAGCAUCCUCAACUAUGGAGGCAGAGUAUGUGGCAUGUUAUGAGGCUUGUUGUCAUGCUAUGUGGAUGCGAAAUUUUAUUUCAGCUUUAGGAGUUGUUGACUCCAUUUCUAGACCGCUGAAAUUAUUUUGUGAUAAUUCCGCAGCUGUUGCUUUCUCCAAGAACACCAGGAGUAUUUCUCUCUCCAAACAUAUUGAUGUAAAGUUCUAUUUUGUUAAGGAGAAAGUGGCAGAGUCUCUUAUUGAUAUUGAACACAUGUCCACAAAAAGUAUGUUGGCGGAUCCAUUAACAAAAGGCUUACCCAUAAUUGUGUUUCAGGAACAUGUAUCUCAAAUGGGGUUGUUGGAAGCCUAGGUUGUAUUAAGUUAGUGGGAGCCAUUUUUUGGUAUUGUAAUACUAUGUUAUUGUUGAAAGGAUUGCUAUUAUUGUACAUUUCCCUAUGAAUCAAGCAAUGAAGCAUAUAUGAUUGCUUUUGAUUAUUUAUUUCUGAUGAGAUUCUAUGGGACAUUGAUUUAUGAUUAUGUGUAUGUUGUAAUGUUUGAUUAUGUAGUCCAAGUGGGAGAUUGUUGGAAUUUUUAUGUGUGGACUUACAUAAUUAAUUUGAUAAUAUCAUAAAUCAGUGUUAAUUUAUGUUUUUGCAUUGUGGUCCAUAAUGGGACUGGACACAAAUUAUUGCUUGAUUUUUUAUGGGCUCACCCUAAUUCACUUGACUGGCCCAUUAAGUCAAGUCGUCCAACUAAAGUGUGUAAUGUGCAAUAUAUAUAUAUAUAUAUAUAUAUAUAUAUAUAUAUAUAUAUGUAUGUAUUUAUUUGUAUAUAUAUAUAUAGAGGUGUGUGUGCUUUUGGAGGGGGACCACUCUCUCUUUUGUUCUCUUUGAAGAACACUCCCGGCCACACACGCACACACCCCACUUUGGACUGAAUUUUGGGGAUUAAAGGGAAGAGCUCAUUGAUCGUUCAUCCUCGGAGCAUCACGCACCCGGAAAGCAGAUUAUUGGACAUCAAAGGUAGCAGAAAUGGCUUCCCAAAGCACGAACCAAGGUAACGGAUUGAAUUUUGCUGUUAAAUGCAUGCUUAAUUUGUCAACAUGUGAUCCUAUGAAAUUUAAAUUCUCAUCAAUCUAAUAACAAGAGCUAAUCCAAUGGAUUGCAACGCUUCCUUAAUCCUCUUACUUGUAAGUUUUCACUUAAAAGAUCUUUACAUUCUUUAUUACUUUCUUGGAAUUUUAAGGUUAUAUUUAGAAAGUGUUUUUAAAAACACUAUUGUAAAACUGUUUUAAGAAAUUAUUCUUAAAUGUUUUGUAGAAUUGAGAAUUUGAAAUAUUUUUAAUUUGUUUUCUAUAUUUUUGAAUAUGUUUUAAAAAUAACUUUUAUUUAUAGUGUUUUUUAUUAUUAUUUUUCAUAAUUGUAUAAUUAUUUUUAAAAAUAAAUGAAAAUAAUUAAAAAAAUAUUUUCUCUCAAUCGUAUAAAUAUUAUCCAUUUUACACCUAAAUAAGCUUUAUCGACUUUGAAACACAUAUACAAAGUUAAGAAGAACUUAUAUUUAUAUAAUUUCAAGAAUUUUAUCUCACAUCGAAUAAGGGAGAAAAUUUUAAAGACUAUAUAAGUAUGAACUCUUCUUUAACUUUGUAAAUAUAUUUUGAAGUCGUAACCUAAAACGGAUAAUAUUUAAAAUAACAUUUUUUUUGUACUUCUAUAGUGACCUAUUUUUAAGUCAACUCUUUUAACACACUAAGGAAAGGAUUGUGAUUAAUAAUAUUUAAUAUUUAAUAAUUUAAGAUAAUUUUAAGUUAAAUUGUACUUGACUCAGUAAACUAAUUCAUCAAAUUUACUUUUAAUCUUAGGGUAUAAUAUUAAGUUAUUCUAUUAACAAUACUUAACACAUUUGAAACAAUUUUGUAUUUUUAGGUUUUGCUAGAAGGCAAAACUAAACCGAUAUAAAAUUUUUCAAAUGAUACUAUUAUAUUAUAAAAGUUUUAUUAAAUAUAAAAAAUUUUCCCAAAAAAAGUCAAAAUAAAACUUUUACAAGAAGUAACAUUGUUCUAAUUUUUGUUUUAAAUUCUUUUCAAGCCUUAAAUUCUUUAAACAAAAUUAGUCAUACAAACAUAAAAAAAAAUUAUUGACUUAAAUUAACAAGGCUUAGCUUCUUAAAAAGGUCUUAACUUUUUAAAUUAACAUAAAAAUUCUUUCAAAGGUCUUAACUUCUUAAAAAUCAACACAAACAAGGCUUUAAUUUACCUAGUAACUUAAAUUAAGUCAUUAAAUCAAUAACCUUUUAUUAAACUUAAAGGGUCUAAAUACACUUUACCCCUCAAUUUUUAGGGUCUUUUACACUUUACCCUCUUAUAUUCAAAACCCAACACUCCCCCCCCCCCCCCCCCCCCCCAAAAAUUAAAANNNNNNNNNNNNNNNNNNNNNNNNNNNNNNNNNNNNNNNNNNNNNNNNNNNNNNNNNNNNNNNNNNNNNNNNNNNNNNNNNNNNNNNNNNNNNNNNNNNNAAAAAAUUUUUGACUUAAAUUAAAAAGGGGUUGGCUUCUAAAAAAGGUCUAAAUUUUUAAAAUAAAAAAAAAAUUUUUUAAAAAGGUUUAAAUUUUUAAAAAACAAACAAAAAAAGGGUUUUAUUUUCCCGGGAAAUUAAAUUUAGGCCUUAAAUCCAAAACCUUUUUUUAAAAUUAAAAGGGUUAAAAACCCUUUCCCCCCCAAUUUUUUGGGUUUUUUAACAUUUUCCCUUUUUUUUUAAAAAACCAAACCCCCCCCCCCCCCCCCCCCCCCCCAAAUAGUUAAAAAUCAAUAUUUUAUCCCCAAUUACAAACUUUCCAUAAAAUUAUAAAAGGGAUUAGUUUAGCCAAGUGGGUUGAUACUCAUGAGGAAAAGGAGACAAGUUGCUUGGUCAAAAUAUACAAACAAUAUAGUAAAAUUGUUGCAUGUUUUCCAAUAAUUAUAGAAGCAUCAAUGUUAUAUAGGAACAAUAUAAAUGCUAUUGCACAUUUUUAUGAGGCAGCCUAGUAACUUGGACAAGUAAGAAGAAAUUUGUUGUUGCAAGAAGUAGUGUUGAGGUAUAUUUUAGAUCUUUAACACAAGGGACAUGUGAGCUCAUGUUGUUGCGAAGGUUGAAGAACGAAUUGAAACUACAAAGUGAGAAUCCAAUGUUGUUAUAUUUUGUCAAGAGAUUAACAAUUAACAUUCCUCACAACCCAACUCAUCAUGAUCAAACAAAACACAUUGAAGUUUAUUGACAUUUUAUCAAGGAGAAGUUAGAAGAAAGAUUAAUCUUUCUCUCAUAAAGGGACUUCCUUAAGUGAACAUUGAAUGCUUGAUCACCAAACUAGGCAUGAUUAAUAUCCGUGCACCAACUUGAAGGGAAGUGUUAAAGAAUUUGAAUCCUUAUGGAGAUAAAAUCCGUCUUUUGAAGAAUUAGCCGGUAGUUCAUUUGUAAUUAAAACUACAAUAAAUUAUUUGAAUAGAAUUUGUCAGAUAGUUUCCCAUUUCUUUCUACUUUCUUUACUUUGGUAGGUUCUCUAAUUGUAUAGAGGACUUUUUCUCUUCUUUACCAUACAAAUGAAUAUACAAGUAAAAUUAAUCUAUCGAUUUUUUCAAUUGGUGAAGAAAUUUUUUCUUUCUACUUUAACAUCCAUUUUUGUGAAACUCAUUUUAAUGUAGACUCUUUUCUUUAGAAUUUUUUCUAUUGUAUUUUGUAAAAUAUUUUUUUUUAAAAAAAUUAUACUUUAUUACCUCACAUUAUGUAUAAAAUUUUUUAGUUAAUUAAUUUUAUUUUUAUAAUUAAAAUUUUGAAGUUAAACCGAGUGUUAUAUAAAUGUUUCAUGUUAGUUUAUCUUUAAUGGAAGGUAAUUAACUAUUUAGAAAAGUUUUAAUAUUUAUAUUUGGAAAUAAAUUAUUGUUUCAUUGAUGUAGAAUAAAAUAAUAAUAUUUUUUUAUAGUUUCAUGUAACAAAACUAAAAAAAAAAAAUCUAUUUUAGUUUAUUUAUUAAAAUUAUAUUAAAUAAAAUUUAAAUUUUAAUUAAUUUAUAUUGAAAUUGAAUUUCUUUCAAAACAAAGUUAUGCAUUUUUAGUUAUCUAUUAUAACAAAAUUAAAAUUUCAAAUAAACUCUACUUAAUUCAUUUAUAAAAACUAAUUUUAAAUAAAUUCUAAUUAAUUCAUUUAUAAAAAUUAAUUUUUUAUUAUUAAAGUUAUGUAAUACAUUAUUUAACUAUAUAUGUUCUAUAAUAUUUUAUUUCUUUUUCUAUUGCAAUCUUUUACUCUAAUUUAUUUUCCUUGAUUUUGUUAUUAGAUAAUACUAAAAAGAAAAUACUAUAUUUAUUAUUGAAAAAUUUGAGGAAAAUAAAUUAGAAAAAAGAAAAGAAAAGAAAAGAAAUUGGUGAAUAAAACUUUCUUAAUUGAAAUUGUUGAAAAUUUUGAGAUGAAUAAAAUUAAAUUAUUAAUAAAAACAAUUUCCCAAAAAUAUCAAGAAAAUUAUUUUCAAAUUUGUAAUUUUAAAAUUAAAAUUUUUUAACACUUGAGUUUCAGCACCACCACGAACUGAAAUGUCACUAAUAAUAACAAAUUUAUUAUUUAGAAGUAAUUUUUUUUUUCAAAUAUUAAAUUAUUGAUGUUUUAGGGAUUUGUGAGACUUUCCAUAGUAGAUUUUGAGUAAAAUUUUUUUUUGAAAUGAUUAUAAGUAGAAAAUUAAAAUUUUGGAUGAUUGUAAAAAGUAAAUUUCUAAUACUAAAAAAAUUUAUUAUUCAAAUGAGAAAAAAAUUAUUUUUAAAUAUUAAAUUAUUAAUAUUUUACGAAUUUGAUUUCUAAUAAAUUAAAAUUUUAUAUAAUUAUGAAUGAAUAAAAAUAUAUUAAAAUAAUAAUUUUAAAAUUUUGUUUGAUAGUGAUUUUAGUAAAUAUUUAAAAUUUUUUUAAUAUAUAAAAAGAUUAAAAGUUUUAAGUGUUCCAAAAAUUAGAAAUAUUUUCUAAAAAUAUUUUGUUUUUAUUUUUAAUUCUGUGAAAAUAAAAAAAUAAGCACCGUUUAUCGUUAUGUCGUCCAAUUUCUUAAUUAUCAUCACUUUCAUUGUGAGUUAUGACAGCAAAAACACUGCACACUAUUAGGGUUUAUGCUCUGAUGCUUUCUUUCCCACUUUUUGUCCUUAGGGGCUAGGUUUAGGGUUAGGGUUUUGGAUUUCUCAUCCUCGAUCUUCUGCGUAUCUACAUCUUCGCUGCUUUGACCUCUUUUGGAAACAAUGAUGUACGGUGAUCCUCAACAGCAGAUGCAGCAGCAGCAGCAGAUGCAGCAGCAGCAGCAGAUGCAUCAGCAACAGCAGAUGCAUCAGCAGCAACAGCAGAUACACCAGCAACAGCAGAUGCAGCAGCAGCAGCAAGGCGGAGACUUUCACAGGGGCCCACUGCCCCCACCACCGUCUCAACCACAACCACCGCAAUCGCAACUGCCACCUCCUCCGCCGAUGAUGCGCCAGCCCUCGGCUUCUUCCACCAAUCUCGCCCCCGAGUAUCACCAUCCAUCCGCUCCUCCUUAUGACGGUAUGGUUUUUCACAUUGUUCAUGUUUCUGCUGUUUUCUUGGUUCGGUUUGCUGAGAAUGUCGAGGAAAUUAGUAGAAAAAUUGCACUUUGGGUGUUCCAUUUUUAUCUCUACUUUCCGCGGUGUAAAGAAAAUUUUGAAUUGUACUCGAAUUUUUGACAAAAUAUGAAUGACAUAUGUGUCUGAUAUUCCGAAUUAUUUUGGAUAAUUAUGGACUGAGAACACUGCUUUCUUACUUUUCCCCCUCUUUCUCUGGAUAUCUAUUUCUUUUAUUACUUUUAAUUUCCUGGUGUUAUUUUCUUGAAUGACUCCUGAAUCAAGAUUUGUUCUGCAGCAGGUGAGUUCUGAAUCUAAAUUUGUGACUGAGCUACUCCUAGUGGUUGUAUUAGACAAUGAGUCAAAGUAGCUUUUGUUUUCUUAGGCAUUUUGAUAUUCUUCGUGGGGAAACAAAAAUUUUCAAAUUAUUCCCUCUUGAUUUUUUUUAAGCGAACCAGAAAAGAUGGAAUAUAUAUUGUAGGCUUCAUUAAUUUGUAAUAGGCCAAAUUACUCUGAACGAUUGAAUGAAAAGACAGGUUUUAUGAACUUAAACUACAUCACUUUUUCUACUUCCAAACUCACUUCAGAAUUUGUCUGUUUUUCUCCAUAGAUUUUCCAUAAUUUUCAUCUAAGUGUUUGUCUUAUUUUUCAUAAUAAUUUCCAGAAAUCAGUCCUCUGCUGAAUUAUUGUGAAUCCUAAAUUACUUACUGUGCUUCAAAGUGCAUAUCCUUGUGGAGUUGAGCAAGUGUGGUCUUUGUUCUUGCUUCUUAGAAACUACUAAAAUUUUACGGCACUCAAGCAUGCAAGUUUUAGAAUGGUUAAGUUGCCAUUACUUUUCCUUCUUGUUUUGGAUUGGUCAAGUUUUGCUAAUGUUUCUUUCAUUUAUAAAUGGUUAGUACAGCUCAUGCCGAUAGUUUUGCUGCAAAAAGAAUGAGAAAGCUGGCCCAAAGAAGAGCAGUUGAUUAUACUAGCACUGUUGUACGAUACAUGCAGGUAACUGUUUCUACCCUUUUGGACUUAUGUCACUAGUCUUUCUUCAAAUAUAUAUUCAAUCAUUUUUUUUUUUCUGAUAUUGUGGUAAGAAACAAGAUAUUUCUUGAAAUUGCUACAAUUUCAUAUUGGAUAUGUCUUUCAUCUGUAAGGUUCAUGGAGUGCCCCUUUACCUGAUAUUGGCUUCAUUGUUGUUGGAAGAAAAUGAAACAGAAAAUGGACCAGAAUUUUUCUUUCUUUUUCAUUCUUUGUUUGUUUGUAGCACAUAAAUUGUACCUUGCAAUUCUACUUUAUCUAGAUGCAUUUUGAACUUCACUGAUGUGGCUUUCUGUGGAUAAUUCCUUUUACAUCAUUCUGCCUUUUCAGAAUCUUUAGUUUGCACCAAGCACUUCCCAUGGGUGUUGUUGUUGGUCCAUAAGUGAAACAUGCUCCUGCCAUCUUGCUAAUUCUGCUUUCUUAUUACCUACCAUGCUAGACUCUUUGAUGUGCAAAUCCAUUGGCAUGACUAGAGCUUUGAGUUGUUCCUUCUCUUGGAUACCCUGUGUAGCUAGUCAGACUGCAGAUGGUUUGGCCUUCCUUUUUAGGUGCCUUUAUUAAUCCUUAUUUUGCCCAUUAAAAAAACAAAAGAAUUCCUUUGUCAUCAUUAUGUUUUGAUACGGUCCAUGUUUCGGAAGGAUGGGUCAUUCUCCCAUGUUGUUGGAUUGUUUGUUUCUGAUUAGAAAAGGUUUUGAAACAGCGAUCAUCAAACAUGAAACUGCCAUAAUAUCUCAAUUGACCAUGGUUGCUAGGGAUGAUGUUAUUAGCUUGUGUCCAAGAUUACUCUGUAUAAUAUUUUUCUUAUUGAGGCAAUGGAGUGUUAGUGCUAUUAUGGUUGAUAGGGGCAAGGUGUAAGUCUUGAGGCGGAAUGGGGUGUAAGCCUCAAUUAAAGGAAAAAACCUUUAAAAAAUUAAAUUCACAUAAAAAUAGAGAAUAAGAAAACCAUUAAAUUCAAGAAAACUCAUUGUUUUUCAUAAAAGUUUCCAAUUUAGUUCAUCUUUCCCUCUUCCAAAAUGCAACUCUGUCUCAUGAGUCAUGGUUUGACGAAAUUACUCAUCACUCCUGAGCAUCACCAUCAUUAACACUAGUGGGAUCAUGUAAGGAAUCUUUAUUAUAUCUAAUUGAUUUAUCAUCCUCUCUAUCAAUAUCAAUUUCCACCCAUGUUUCUUUUCAUCCACCAAUUGCAGCAUCAUAGGUUUAAGCUUUAAGCAAAGCAGUGGCUAUAAGGAGGCAUCAUUGCGAUUCUAGCUGUGAUUCUGAAGACUCUUGCAGCAAAGUAGUUCUCCUCUGGAAGUAAGAACCCAGCACCCAGGACCCAGGACCCAACAGCCAAGAAGUCUUCUCUUCUCCUUCUAAAUAUCUUUCCUUUCCCCCUCUUAUUUUUUUAUUAUUUAAAAUCAACCUAAGAAAUUGAUCUAAGACCCAGAAAUUUACCCAAGAUCUAAGCCCAUGACUCAAAACUUACAAAAUAGAAUAAAAAAGCCUAAAAACAUUAAAAAUCCAUUGGAUAUGGAGGCCCAAGAAGAACAAAUACUCAUAAAAGUGCCAUCAUAUCUGAGGCUUAAGCCUCAAGGUUGUGUGCCUUGGUAGGGUGAGGCUUAAUCCUCAACUACAGACUUAAGUCUCACCAUUAUUUCUUAAUGCUUCCUCAAGGCAUAAAAUCCUUUUAAAACACCAUGGGCAACUUAACUGGCACAUGAGUGGUCCUAGGCUCAUCUAAUAGGCUAGUAUAGCUAGUAUUGUAUUAUAUUGUAGGCUACCAUCGAUGGUACUUCAUCAUAUUUUAGCUUUAUGCUUUCUGUUGUUUCAUUUAUUACAGUGUUGGCAAGCAUGUGGGAAGGUGAUUGGAGGCACUUGCAUGCAUUGAGAACAUUUUUUUUUUUAAAAAAAAAAAAAAAUUAGAAAGAAGCUAUUCAUUGAUAUGGAUUUUGAAAACAAGCAAAGGAUGAGAAAUCCUUCCAAGAAUACGAAGGGUCCAAUAACAAGGAAAUACUUGGCAGGAGUGACAAUGUAGCUACAUUGAAGGAUGAGACAAUAAAAUGCAUUGAGAAUUUGUAAAGCAAUUGGAAGAUGGUGAGGAAGAAAAUCAUGAUUGGGAUGAUUUUCAUUUUUUCUAUUUCUCUAGGGCUAAGUUUUUGCAGCCUAGCCCACGUACACAGGGAGUAUAGGGGUGGUAGUAUCAUCCUUAUAUUUAUGAGUCUCAGCUCUGUUGAAUUCUUUCUUUUUGCAUGUGGUGGCUCUUUUGUUUUUGUCUUAUAAGCGUGGCACUGUUUUACCUCUGUAUAAAUUUAAUUUACGUUGUUUGUGCUUGGGGUUUGGCCCUUCUUUUUCUUUAUUACUUUAUCAUUUCUUAUGUGUUGCAAAGAGAAGGAAAAGUGACUGAUUCUGAAAAUUUGAAAUAUAUGACCUGUGAAUUCCUGAAUAUUUGUAGUCAGAUCACCAUUAAUAAGUAAAGACAUUGUUCUGGUUUCCUAGUGAAGGCAAGCAUCAAAUAUUGGAAUCCUUAAAUCAACUUUUUUCAUAGAUAGAUAGGAGAAAUAUCUGGACGGUCACAUGCCAAAGAAAACAGCAAAGAUGAAGAGCCCUACAUAAUGGAUUAAGUGAGAAAAGAAAAUCAAAAUUCUUUUGCCCAAAAAACAAAAAUAAAUAAAUAAAUAAAAUCUACAUGGGAAAGCCUCUGGUCUACAGAAAAAAAAAGGUCCAAAUGAAAGUUAUCCUUCAGCUACAAGAUUGGAUUUUCUUCCUCCUGACAGAUUCCUCUGCCAGUUUCUUCCAACACUAUGGAAACAAACAUUAGCAUUGUCUUCCUUAAAAAAUGGAGGCACCCACUGAACAGAAAAAGUGAAGACAGUAAGGUCCAAAGUUCUCCAGCUUCCCAACAGUUGAUAAGAUCGUGGUUUGUUGACUGCUGACUUUUUUUGUGCAAGCACCACCAAUGAAUCAUGUGAAACCUUGCUGCAUCAAGUGGUUAAUGGUGAGGACUUCCCUGAGCUACCUCCAUGCAUAAAAUUCCACUAUGGAGGGAACCACUGGCACCCAUACCUCGUAAGCUGGGGACUUUCUGCUGCCCCUUCUGCUUGAUUCCAGAAACAGUGACUUAAAAGUGAAUCUUUCAUCCCUACCAAGUCUUCAUCUGAUUGUAUCUUCUUUGUUUCCGAGUAUUGCUUGUCAUAGAGUAUACCCAUAAGCUUCACCAAUGCCUCUAAUUAUUACUCUUGUGAGAUUGAAAUAAAAGCAUGGAACCUAUAAAUAUCAGUCAUAGACCUAGCCAAAUCCCAUGUGAUCUCCACAAAGGCAUCGAAGUCAGAUGAUUUGCUAAAAAAGCUUGGAAAUGACCCUUUAAGGAGAACCCCUAACCAAAUUCCCAGUUGGACUGGUCUCUCACCUCCUUGGAGCACUAAUUGCCCACCUCCACCUUGAACUUGCCUAUUACAACCUCUUUCCAAAAGCUCUUCCCCUCUCUUGCAAACCCUAUGAAUCUCAAAAAGUUACUAUCCUAAAAGAAAAAAAAAAAAAAUCUUGUUGUAUAGCGGAGGUUUUUAGUAUUUAGAUCAGGUUUGUAUUUUUGUGGGAAGGAUUCCUCAUCCUUCUCAUGAACUCUUUUAUAUGUAAUUAAUUCAUCUCUUGUUUCUGAUAAAAAGAAAAAAAGAAGAAAAAAAAUUAAAAGCUACGGGUAAUAAUUCUGAUUCAGCUUUAAGACAAGCAUAUAUAUAUAUAUAUAUAUAUAAUUAUUAUUGUUUUUGCUUUUUUUUAAUUAUAACUAAAGAGCCACUUGGAAGGAGACCAUUGAGCAUUGACACUUCCACAAUGGCUUAGAUGCAGAUUUUGGAGCAAAUUUAUCUCAAAGAGAUUCAUAAACAGGGUUGCAGUGGUAACUAUUGGUACAUCUUUAAAUAACUCAAUCCUACAAUCCAUGAUCACCAUUGACAUUCUAUAUAUUAAUAAAUUGAUUUUCAUUCAGUCUGAUUAAGUCUAUCAUAUUUGGUGAUCAUGUUUCAUCAGUCAUUAAUUUUUAUGGAUUUUGGUGGUAGUAUUUUCAUCAGUCAAGGUUUUAUGGAUACUCUUUCCCUGUCUUAUUGAGUUUCUUACAAUAUACAUACAUAUAUACAUAUAUAUAUAUAUAUAUAUAUAUAUAUAUAUAUAUAUAUAUAUAUUUAGAAACAAACAAAUGUAUUAAAUUAAGGAUAGAGAAAUACAAAAGAAGGUUGAGGAAUUCUCCCAAAAUACAACAAACUAAUAAAAAAGUAUGCUGAAGCAUCCAAAGUACUAAGUAAACCUAUACAACGAUAAUGUACCACAAGGGAACUUAUAAGAAAAAAAGUAAAGCACCACAAGGGAAUAUACAAAAAACAACUCAUAGCUCUAGUAUUUGACUAGUAUAGUUUCUUACUAUAUUUUUGACCCCUACAAUUUAAUUUCUUUGCCAUCGAAAGAAAAUCAUGCACUGGUCCUUACUUUGGUCUCUUUUCAUUUUCAGGUGCAUCCAUGUUUCGUUUGAAGCUUGUCUUCACCUGUCCUGUUUUCUUUUAAAGUUUCUAUUGGAGUUUGAAUAACUUGUAGUGUUUGUUUAAUAUUUUCUGCAGAUUCGCAUGUGGCAACGAGAUUCAAGGGACAGGACAGUAUUGCAACCUACCCCAGCUGCAGCAAUUGAUGUUAGUUCAUACAUUUUACGCAUAUUCCAUCUUUGCUUCUGAUGUUGACAUGGUGGAAGAUGGAAGUAGUUUAAUUUUUAUGAUGUAUUGUUUUCUCAUGUGUUCCGUUUAUGAUCUGAGCUGCAUUGAUUCGAAGAUGGAAGUAGUUUAAUUUUUAUGAUGUAUUGUGAUCUCGUGUGUUCCAUUUAUGAUCUGAGCUGCAUUGAUUCGAAGAUGGAAGUAGUUUAAUUUUUAUGAUGUAUUGUUUUCUCGUGUGUUCCGUUUAUGAUCUGAGCUGCAUUGAUUCAUUUCCUGGAUCUUUUGCAUCUUCUGCCUAAAAAAAACAGAACUUUCAUGUAUUGAAAUUCAAGAUUUGGGGCUGCUUGAUAUCACAAUCCAAUUCUGAACACAGAAAUUUUCCAUAAUAAUCAGGGUAAUUACAUUUUCACUGAAAGGGUUGAAAAAUUCAAUUUGAGACUGCUAACUUGUUUCUGAAAAUUGAACUCUCUUCCUUUCUAUGAUUCUGAAUUAUAAAAUCUAAGUUGUCUUUGCCUAAGUUUAUGAGCCAAAUGACAAACUGACCCUUUCAACAGCUUGAAGUCGUCACUCUCACAAAGUUAUAGCUAAAGAAUUUAGUACCAAACUUUCAGUUUAUCAGAAAAAGGGUGUUUGGUAAACCGAAUUAAUUGCUUAAUGAAUUAAUUUAUGUCAUUAACCAAAUCAAUAUAUUUGAUAAAAUAACUUAAUAUUGCAACUUAAGGUUAAAAAUGACUUAAAAGUAAUAAGUUAAAAUAGAUAAUUUUUUCUAAAUCCUAAUUGUCAUUUGUCUUACUAGUUCAUGUUUUUUUCUUCCAUGUUUCUCUCAUAAACUCAUAACUUAAUAUCAGUGAGGAUAGUCAUGUCAAUUUAAUAGUUUAGAAAAACCUUGAAGUGUUUUUUUCCAACCAACUUUAACGCUUCCAAAAAAAAAAAAAAGAGGUAAAUGAUGAAUUAUAGGUUGAUAAUUUGAGUAUAAUUUAACUUAAAAUCAUUUUAAGUUACUAAACAUUAAGUGUUAAGUUUUACCAAACACCACCGUAUUAUCUUACCUCAAUAUGCUAAUUACUUGUUUCGCAGUGAAAUGUUUGUCAUCAGUAUGAUUUUCUUUCUGGUGUUGCCUUAAAUGUUUCUUUUGUGUUUUUGUUGGUGCAGUUGUUGCCAGCAGUUGCUUAUUCAGAUAAUCCAUCCACAAGUUUUGCUGCAAAGUUUGUUCAUACAUCUUUAAACAAAAAUCGUUGUUCAAUUAAUCGAGUUCUGGUGAGUUCAUUGGAAUUUGAUGUUCUUGAAUAUGUAUGUUGCUUAAUUUUUCUUCUCUUAUUUGAGAUGUUAUCCAUAUCCUGUUUACUUCAUUUGAGGUAUUUUGUUGUGGCAUUUUGUAAUUAUUUAUGUUCCUGUUUGCAGGUUCAAGUUAAAAUAUUUUGAUCCUUCUAAGCAAGAAAUAUAUAUUUUUAAUUCUGAUGCCACUUAAUUUGCAGGAUUUUUUAAUUCUAAUUGCCCGUCAAUGCUAGGAUUCAAUCCAUAGCCCAUGUUUAUAUGGUUGAAACAAAAAAUCUGGAAGAGUGUGAGUUAGAUGUUAGAAUUCAUCCAAACAAGUUAACUUUUGACACAUGCUUUCUGGACUCAGAUCAAUUACAUGGUGGGCCAAUGACAAAGGUCUAUAAGACAUCUAAUAAAAUAAAGGGUCUAUAAGCAAUCAGACUGUUAAAAUUCAUGCAAUCAAACUUAUUUUUGGCACUGACCAAAAAAGAUUCAUCUAAUACUGGGUCUUCAUGAAUGUAUGCUUGCACUGUGUGCCUUUGGCAGUUAUUGGAAUCGUCUUUUCCCUUGUGAGGUUUUGAUGAGUCACAGUUUUAAUUUGAAAUUGAGUGGUUAGGUAGCAGUGUGAGGAGAGGAGACAAAGGAAAGGGAUUAUCUUUGAAAUUGACCAGUUAGAUAGGGAUUUGAUGGGGUGGAACCAAAGACAAUGGUUUUUUUGGCUUAAUGCUUGUUAGUGUGUUGAUUUGAUAAUAUCAUCAUGCAGACGACCUUUAGAAAUUGGUUGUAUAAUAUAUUCAAUUGGGCCCAGAUUCUCUGUUUUAGUUAGAUACUCAGAUGGAUUAGAUUUAUAAUGGAAUUCUUUUUUUUUUCUUUUCUUUUUCUUUUUUGGGUUUCUAUUAAGUAAAUGUUUGGUUUUCAUUCUCUUUUGUCAAAUGGUUUUUAGUUAGUGUGGAAUAAUUUAAGCAAACUGAUAUUUUGUUUUAAAAUUUUUUAUUGUUAUGUCACUGAAUUAGUAUGUACUGAAGUGUUAUCCUUUCAAUGCAUUCUGACCCUUGCUUUCUGUCACAGUGGACUCCUACUGGGAGACGUCUUAUCACAGGCUCGCAAAGUGGGGAAUUUACUCUUUGGAACGGACAGUCAUUUAAUUUUGAAAUGAUUCUUCAGGUAUGCCGUUGUAUAAGUAAACUUUCCAUUUCUAGUUAGCAAAGAAAUUGAUUUUCCUUCUGGGGUGUUUGGUGUUGGGUAGGGUUGGUUUUCCUUGUUCUCUGUGUUUCUGCCUUGGCACAUUUUGUAUGCUAUGUGUGUACACUGUUGCAUCCUUUCCUAGGGCUUUUAAUAUAUUCUUGCUUUUUACCUAUCAAAAGAAAAAAAAGAAAAAAAAAAGAAGCGAAAUUAAUAUAGUUUGCAAUGUUUCUUAAAUGUAGGCUCAUGAUCAAGCAAUCAGGUCUAUGGUAUGGAGUCAUAAUGAGAACUGGAUGGUUACUGGUGAUGAUGGGGGCUCAAUAAAGUAAGCAUCUAUCUUAUGCAGCCACUUUGGUUCAAUAUUCUUUUUCAAAAUUCCAUUGAGUGAAAAUUUUUUUUGUUUGAUGUGCUCAUGCUUACGGGGGAUGCUUAUUAGGUAUUGGCAAAACAACAUGAAUAAUGUAAAGGCGAAUAAAUCUGCUCAUAAAGAAUCAGUUCGUGACUUAAGGUAUAUAUUUAUGCAUGUUUCUAGCUAAAUAUUCUUCAUGAAGCUUUUCAUAAUUAAGUUUUACCUUUUUGACCAGCUUCUGUCGGACAGAUUUAAAGUUCUGUUCCUGCUCUGAUGAUACUACUGUUAAAGUUUGGGACUUUGCUCGGUGCCAGGAGGACCGUUCACUAUCUGGUAAUGUGCCUUGAAAGCUUGAUAUCUGAGGAUGAGCUUGCUGUUCCCAAUCUUUGUUUGACAUCAAUAACAUUUUUUUUUCAAUCAGUUGGUUGUGUUAUUGACAUAUUGUCUGAUAUCAUGUACUAUGGAAAUGAUAUGAUAGUGUGCCUCUUUGUUUGUUUGAACUAAAUUCCAAAGCAUGGUCAGUUAUGCUUCUUGUUUGAUGUUGUCAGCAAGAAAUUAGUGGAAAUGGACCUGAUAUUUUGGUCAAGUUUUUAGUUCUUCAUGUUGACAUUUAGACAUGUGGUUUUCAAACUUGGUUGACUUAUUUGGGAUUUGCUAGUGGAGAAUUGGUUUGGGUUAUUAGGCUUGAAUGUUUGUUAGCUGGCUUGUUGUGCAUGAGAAAUUACCUUUCAAAAGGGGUUGCCUUAAUCCUGUGCAUAUUGGUCAAUUUAGCCAUUCGGUCUUAGUAUUCCAAACUCCAGAAUUUGUGGUUAGGAUAUUAGAUAAGCUUAUGAUCAAUUUACCAUUGGAUGGCUAAACCAAUCAGAUCUAUUUGGGGAUGUGUCUAUGCUCAACUUUUGGCAUUUAGACUUUGGUGAUGUGGCUGUGUUCUUCUUGUUAUGUUGUGUAGAAUAUCAUAGAGACUCGUUAGAGUUCAAUAAAGAGGGAUCUGGUUGAGAAAUUUUCUCCUCUGAUGUAAAUCAUUUUAUUUUCAUUAGACAGCAUUGAUCUAGGAGUAUAUGAAAACAUGAUAUUAUCUACAAAAGGGGCUGGUAAAAAUCCUUCCCUUAUAGCAAUUAGGGAGAAAUUCUUAAAAACAGAUUAAAAAGAAGACAGAUUAUAAUAGGCAAGCCACUAACAAAACUUGAGUACUUUUUACCCUUUGGGAUAGGAUCUUCUAUAUUUAUUUCGUCCAAUGUAGUCCAAAACAGCAGAUAAUCUCAUUUCAGUUGAAACUGUUGUAAACCAGUGAAACAGAAAGAAAAGUGGCUUACUUCCACACUGGAUGUCCUCCCUAAAUCUAACUUGUCCCUAGUCCUUAGGCUCCUUACACCAAUUCUUUACCCUAAUUAAUUUAUGCUAGACCUUGAGACACUACUGCAUACUAAACAAUUGAAGCAACAAUGUCCUUGCUAUGACACCUUAUAUGCCUAAUAUGUUACUUUUCACUAUUAUGAGCCUUAAUAGAGUUUCUUGCGAACCUCCAUGGUAAUUUUCAUAGCAAAGUAGUGUUGACAAUAAGAGGCAAAGUUCUUAUUGAGUUAUCAACUUUCCUAAAAGGUAAAGCUAUUAGGAUUUGGGCCCAUAAUGUAUAUCAUGCUCUAACAACCUCCUUCACAUGUGACUCCAUACGCACUUGUAACUCCAUACCCACACGUGGAGAGAUAGAUAGAUGGAGAAAUAAAAAAUUUGUGAUCACAAAUAUAGAAAGAAAUAGGUGGGGGAAGGACCUGAACUCAAGAUCUUUUGCUCACUGGAGUCCUAAUAUCAUGUUGAGUUAUCAAUUUUUCUAAAAGCUUAAGUCGUUAGGAUUUGGGCCCUAGUGAUUCUAGUCCUCCUUGAUAUUCUUUCAAAGUUGAUCAUAAUACACAAAAUGGUACCUAAACAACUUCAUUUGACAAUAACAAUUAUAUAUGCAGCUGAGGAAGAAGAGCUGUCAAUCCAAAGACUUAAGAAUUCUUUUGUAUAUUUCCUUUGGUCAGAGAUGAAACUGUUUAUAAAAGAUGGUCCUUUGACUUUAGUUGAUUUUAUUGAUUGGGUGGGAACCCGUUGAGGGUGGGGUUCGGGCUGCACCUCCGGCCUUGGCAUCCAGCUAGGGAGUGGGGGGUGUUUUCUUCUUUGUAAUCUUUAAGCCGCUGCUUUGGUGGUUUUUUUAAUUCAAUUUUAUUCUUUACUUAUCAGAAAAAAAACAGUUAUAUAUGCAGCUAAGGUCUCAGCCCUGUUAGAAGGGUUGAAAGACUACUUUGGGUGUUAAUGAUUUGCUAGUGGAAGGGCACUCAGCUAUUGCAUUCCCAUUCAUUUCUCAGGGAAAAAGAGAGCGCUGGAGGCUGAAUAUGUUUAUUUACAAAAUUAUAGACAUGUCAAGGUUUUGGGAUGUUUUUUUCAUAGGUUUCUAUGUAUUGGCAAGCCAAGUAGCAGACCAGAUUUUUUUUUUUUUGAUAGGUAAAAUAAGAAUUAAAUUAAAAGCACUUGAAAGUAGCAGACUAGUUAUUGAAUCCUGGAUCCUUGUGUUUAGAGAUAUUUGUUGGGGACUUUUUUUUUUUUUUGAUAGAUAAACGCACAGAAAUAUAUUAAAAAGGGGGCAUGAAAGGCGACCUAGAGUAUACAGGGAGUAUACAAGCAUCACCUACAAAAACCGGAAACAAAAAGGACAAACCCUUACCAGACCUCAACAAGAACCCAACCAGUCCACAAAAUUAAACAGAUAUUUGUUGGGGACUUUAUGCCUCCCUGAGCUGCAUUUCAUUCUAAUCUUUGGUUGGACCUAUCCGAGUUCCUACCUAAGUGUAAUACUCUUUUUUCUUCAUUGUAUUCUUUCCUUUUAUCUUGAAGGAUACCUCAUCCUUCUUGUAAUUACUCUCUUUUUUUUAUCUCCCUUGCUGCUGCCUCCUCACAACACUCCCACAUAGCUGCAAGCCCCUGCCAAAAAGGGGGAUGGUUACGUGUCUUGGGUUGAGAAAUAAAGACACAAAGAGGUGAGCAAACUUGCAGAUAGAUUUUUGUCCCUUCUUUUGGAGGAUAAUUUUUCUUUAAGGAUCCCUACCUCCAACCGAAACUGCUGAUCACGGACCAAUGGCAUGCCCAUGUAGGUGGAAGGAAACUUAUCCACCUUGAGUUUUUGGUUGAGUCCAAGCUUGAAUUUUGGGAUCCUAUCCUUCCUGAAAAGCUUACUGUCAAUGAGAUUAAUUGUUAAUUGUAUUGAAGGAUCCUUUACUGAAUUUGAGGCUUAUCAUCCUAGCAUUGGGUUGAGUAAGUCCAAUAAUAUAGAAAAGGGUAAGCUAACUAUCUUCUUCACCACCGGAGAUCAGAAAGGAAUUGAGAGGAACAUGUUACAUUGUUUUUUUUGAACAGAUUCUUUCUUGUGAAUUGGAUGGAUUCUUCUUGUCUCAUAAUAUAUACUGUAUGUUCUGUGGAGGGGAAUUUAGGGGGGUUGCAUUCCAUUGAUUUUGGGUAGUUGGUAUUUCUUGUGAGUUAUAUGGAGCCUCUUGUCCUGAAAUGUAUGCCACAGGGUUCGAGAGUUCAUUUAAUGUCUUCCAUUAUAUCUUUUUGUCCCCUUUUUUUUUUUUUUUCAUUUGGAUGAUAUGAGAAAAUUACUCAUUACUGCUUGGAGAAUUGCUUCUUUGCUAAGUCCUUCACAGUACAUGGGAUUUGAUGUCUAUAUUAUUGGUGGCAUAAGUGAUUAAACAGUGCAUGAAGUAACCUAAGAGUUCUGUGUACAUGUUUUAAACUCAGGCAGGCCAUGGUUGGGAUGUGAAGAGUGUUGAUUGGCACCCUACAAAGUCCUUGCUAGUUUCAGGUGUGUACUUGUACACCUUUCUUUAAACUUCUUUGUUGAAAUCUUACUGCAAGAUGCAGAUCCAUACUCAUAUUCAAUUGAAUUGUCCUCUACGUAGGUGGGAAAGACAACCUUGUGAAACUUUGGGAUGCUAAAACAGGAAGAGAGCUUUGUUCAUUGUGAGUGCUUUUCCUUUCUUUUCUUUUCUUUUCUUUUUGGAGCAAAACUAUUUUAGUUUGUGAGUCAAAUUAUUUUGAGAAAUUGUAAAUCUCUUUUGCAGUCAUGGCCAUAAAAACACUGUGCUCUGUGUCAAAUGGAAUCAAAAUGGUAACUGGGUGCUAACUGCUUCAAAAGAUCAAAUCAUCAAGGUAAGUAACUUAGCUUUUUCUGAGGCUAUCUUUCCAAAUUGAAAGGAUUUGAAUUUGGACGCUUCUCUCUCUCUCUCUUUUUUAGGAUGCUUAUGCAUUAUUUCACUCUGCUUUUACAGCUUUAUGACAUAAGGGCUAUGAAGGAGCUUGAAUCCUUCCGUGGGCAUCGGAAGGAUGUGACUGGUUAGUGACAACACUUCUCAAAAACUUUUAUGCCUUAUAUGUGAUGUAUAAUGUUGACGGUUGUUAUGCACUUUUUAUUUGUCUCUACUGAUGCAUGUGAAAAUAAAAUGACAUCUGAAGAAAAACUCAGAUGAAUAUAUUGUCUCUUUUUCGCUUGCCUAAGCUAGUUGCAAAAAGGCUCGAAAAACUUCAAAGGGAUUUUCUUUGGGGAGGGGGAAGCACGGAAAGAAAAAUCCAUCUAAUCAAUUGGGAGGUGUGGUGUGUACCCAAAAGGAGAGUGGGGGUCUAGGUAUUCGGAAAAUUGAUCUCUUGAAUAAGGCCCUAUUGGGUAAAUGGAUUUGGCGGUUCGCCUUUGAGGAAGCAUUCCUUUGGAGGAAGGUGAUUGGGGUGAAGUAUGGCCAAGUGGGAUUUGGUUGGAGAACAAAGGAGGCCCGCGGAACGUUUGGGGUGGGGGUUUGGAGGGAUAUCUUGAAGGAGUCGUCUUGGUGUUGGGAUAAUAUAGAGUUCAAAGUGGGAAAGGGGACUAAGGUUAGUUUCUGGACUGACCAUUGGUGCGGAAAUGAGGUGCUGUCCCAAGCUUUUCCCCAGUUGUUUGCUUUGGCGGCCCAAAGGAAUGCCUCGGUAAAUGAGAUGUGAGAUUCUAGUCUUGGUCAAGGAGGUUGGAACAUAAGACUCUCUAGAAACUCUAAUGAUUGGGAGCUGGACGCCUUAGGAGAGCUGUUGCAUAUGUUGAGCGAUUUGAGGAUUUCUCUUGAAGAGGACUCAAUGACUUGGAAAGGAGGGGGACACGGCCGCUUUCGGAUUAGAGAUGCCUACAAGUUGUUGACAGGGCCUAAUGUCAUUACCUUCCCGAAAAAGAGCAUUUAUGAUAAUUCCUAACUAGCUGAUUGCUGAUUUUCUAGAGCUGAUUGCUGACUUACAUAUUUUGCAUUUUCUAACCAAUCUAUAAUGAGACUGACUUUGUAGCUCAUAAAAAAAAUAUUAGAUCCAGGGAAAUUUAAAAAAUGUAAUCCUUGGAUCAGUAAAGAAAGCUGGAAAAGAAAAAUAAGAUUGAACAAGUUAAUCUAGGUUGUACAUGUCGCUGAAAAUAUCCAGGAAUAAAGAUGAUAAAGAGAGGUCUCCUAUGAAAUUCGCUAAAAAGAAAAAAAGGGAAAAAGCAGCAUGUUAUGAUGACAUUCAGACCUUAUGUAAAAGUAAUUUGAGACUGGAAUUCUAUACUAAUCUGUCCCAGAAAACUCACAAUUGGGAAAAUCCUAGUGAAAGUAGAGACUAGGAAAGGAAAUGAUAUUCAGCCACUGUUAAUAGAAGUUCUGAUUAGUCACAAAUGAGAUGUAUCUGUGUAAAUACAAAAUGUUUUUUAUGUUAUAAGUCCAUGAGCUAUGGUGCUUAGGACUCAAAUAUUUUUAUGUUGGUGACCAGUUCCAGGAGUAAAGACAGCAAGGAAGGGCAUCUCCUACCAAUAUUCAUAGGAAAAAGAAUUACUUAUGAUAUGCCUGUGACUUGAAAUUAAAACCUGGUCCAAAAGUAACUUUGAAAACCUGAUUCCAGGAAAAAAUCCUUGUCGAAGUAGUAAACAUAUAUUUUAAGGCAAGACUCAAUAUUUGUUUAUGCUUUGGGUUGGCCUUUGGGCGCCCUUUUUUAUUAAUAUAUUAAUUUUCUGUGUCUUUACCCAUCAAGAAAAAAAAAUUUUGUUUAUAUUUACUGUCAUUUAUAUUUUUGAAAGGAUUUCUCAUCCUUCACUUGUACUUGAAAAUUCAUAUCAAUGAAUUGUUUAUUUUUUAUUUAAGAAAAAAAAUAUCUCAUGUCCUUUAAGGUUACUAUGAAAUUGUUUGGGAAUUGUAAACAGUUUUUUGUUCUUAAAAAUAGAAAAUUGUUUUCCAAACUUGAAACAUAUUUGGUAAUUUUUGAACAGAUAACAGUUUCUUGAGAACUUGUUAUUAAAAUAGGAUUGUUUUUGAGAGUACAUUCUAAUUGUUUUUACUUAUGUUUUGAGGGUUAUUUAAAAAAUAAUUGCAUAGAUAUGGAGAAUGAUUGAAAAUAAAGCAUUACAAAUAAAUGUCAUUUUUAAGAAAUAUAUGGAAACACAGAAAAUAGGUUGAGAAUAUUCCAAGUUCCCAAACAAACUUUUGUCAUUAAAAACAUUAGAUAACUAUUUUUAAUUGUUUUUUUAAUAACCGAGAAACCUUUCAUGGUUAAGUCCUUCAAACUAAUUUAAAAUUUUUUUCCAUAAAUUGUUCUCACAAACAUUCCAAAAUAGGCUCCAUGUUUUCCCUUGAAGUUGUUUUACUACUCCAAACCAUAUUUGGCGUGAGAAAGAUGGAGUGCUUUAUUUAUUUAUUUUUUUGAUAGGUAAAUUUUUGUCCCCAUUGGGGCUUGAACUUGGAACGUGAACGUCCCACAAACCCUCCCCAUCUCUUUACCACUUGAGCCAGGCCUCAAGGGCGAUGCAAUGCUUUAUAAGAAGACAAUAACAACUUUUAGUCACCUGCCAUGUAUCUUUACUUGUCAAAACUAUCUCUAUGCAGGCACCAUUUGCUGCAGCUUUUUUGGAUUGCCUGAAAGCUCUUUUUGACUGCUGAAGCAGUUAGCAUAUAUGUUACACAAAAGCACUUUAAAGCAAAAAAGUCUGACUCUUGGAGCUGCAAAGCUCCUCGCAAUGAAGUUGGGGGCUAUAUGCUUUUGCAAAAGUGCUAUAGGAGGACGUUUCAGAAUUUAAGGCCCUGAUUGGGAACAGUUUUUUGAAACAGUUUUUUUUGUUCUUUAGAUAUAUAAAAAGAAAAAAAAAAAAAGGAAAACACAUUUAACAACCAGAAAAUGGAAAACAAGGCGUUUUUAGAGAACAUUUUUUAGUAGUUUUCACUUGUUUUCUGAGGGCUAUUUUAAAAAUAAAGUACUACAUAUAAAAGUUACUUUUAAAAUAUAUUUGAAAAUAUAGAAAACAUGUUAAAAAUAUUUCAAAUUCUCAAACUGAUGUUUGUUCUACAAAACAUGAGAGAACAAUUUUCAACAACUGUUUUUAAGGACCGUUUUUUUAAAAUGUCUCCCAUUUGGAGGCUAAGUUUUUUUCCCUGAUUAAAUAUGAAUGUCUUUUUUAGGGAAACACCUUAUUGGAAGUUACAGCGCAACUAGACAAGCCUAUAGACUAGUCACCUUCAGGGCGCUACUUGAAUCAGAGUUGACUAUGGAUUGAAUCAAAAUAUGGAAGAGGAUUUGAGUAGACAUGGCCAAGUAUUUGUAAUAAGACACUUUAAGAGUGAUCUUCAAAUUAUGUGACUAGGAGAUUGGCAUAGGUCUUAGUGUCUUAUCAUCAAAAGCAAAAAAAAUCAAAGUAAAAUAAAUUUUGCAUGCUGAUGCUAGUGAUACAAGGGAUAUCUGAUGGGUAUGCGUGAAUUGUUUCAUAGUUUGAGUUACUUCACACUUAAAAUAGGAUCUAAAAUGUUUGAUAUUUUUCUGUAUUUUCCCUAGACUGUGAAUAUAGCAUUCAUGGUUACAUUUUUUGCUACCACAUCUGAAUGAUCAAAAGAAAUUAUUUCUGGGAUAUUGGGUUGCAGAAAUAGGUGUCUCUAAAUAAAUAGCAAUAUCAUAGUAACCGUGUCUUCAAGUUUGAGAGUGUGGUUAGAUUGUGGAUAAAUGUUAUGUGAGACUCCUUCAUUAUGCUUUAACCGUGGACAGUUGUUUUACCUAAUGAAUUUAGUGCUAAAUUGUAGCUGGACAAUUUCCUGAUGGUAAUUCAAUGUAACUCUUGUUUCCAAUGUUUGCAGCAUUGGCUUGGCAUCCAUUUCAUGAAGACUAUUUUGUAAGUGGAAGUUUUGAUGGAUCCAUUUUCCAUUGGCUAGUCGGGUAAUUUCUCUUCCUGAUCAAGGAUAUUCUUUUUAGUCAUGGAUAAAAUUAAAAAGAUGAUUUGUACUCAUUAAUGUAUCAGUUCAUUUUCUCUUGUUUGUUUGCCUCUUCCAUACCUCCGUUUCUUUUAUGCAUCAAACCCUUUUUCAUGUGGAACCACUCAUAUUCUUCGGUUGUUUCCUGGGCAAAACAUGGAACAAUCUACAGCAGAAAUAAAUGUAAAUAAAGGCCGCCGACUGUUGCCAUGUAUUUAUUUAAUCUAAUUGACACUGAUAUGGAUUGAUUGAUCAGAAUUGGGAUUGGAUUUAGAAGUAAGUGAUGCUUUAUGGAGCACAUAUUUUACAUUUAUUUUAUUGGCUUUGGUUUCUUUAUCAGAAUAUAUGGUAUUAGAAUAUGGUGGUUUUGGCUUUGAGUUCUUUAUUGAAUAUGCAUUGCUCAGUCGAUUAUAUUAUCUGAUUUCUAGGAACAUAUCAUAAUGAAUGGAACAAAACCAAUUGACAUUCUAAUAAGAUGACCAUAGUCAUAGUGGAUUAAAAGGCAUAAGACAAACCCUUGAAAUGAAAAGAAUUAUGAAGUUCUAAGAUAAAACCUAAAGGGACUAGCCCCAACCCCUCCUCUAAGACCUCUGAUUUGCUAUUUUUUGCAUCUAAAAGUUGCACCUAGUCCUUGACUGUAUUAUGUCUUAUCCUCAAGUUAAAAUGGGCUUAUGGAUUCUAUUUUCAUGGUGGAUGUUAUUGAUAUCAUUCCUUACUGCAUGUUUAUAACUGCUUUCAGGUCUUGUAUCUCAUUUCCAAAUACAUUCUUGUGAUUUACAGGCAUGAAACCCCCCAGGUUGAAAUUCCUGGUGCCCACGAUAAUAGUGUUUGGGACCUUGCCUGGCAUCCUAUAGGGUAUAUUCUUUGCAGGUAAGCUCUGAACUGAUUAUUCUUGUCAUUUGUGGUUACCUUGUGUCAUUUUUACUGCAUUUUCAGUGUGAUAUUUAGAGAUGCUGCUUUUGGAAGAUUUGUUUUCUACUCAUAAGUGUUGAACUUUUAACAUCUCUUUUACAGUGGCCCUUUUUUGCCAACACGUUUGAGAUUUGGCCAUAAAUCAUUCAAUUGAUAUUCCAAUUUUAUGAAUUGUUGUUUUUUCUUUCUUUUCCAAAGAAAUGUAUUUAUUUAGAAAAUCAAUUUGUUUAUAACCUGCUGUUGCUUAACUGCUGGUGGGUAAACAUUCACAUCUAGCAUAGGGCGCUUUGUUUCUGUUAAUGUAAUUUUAUUUGGAGGAUUCUGACUCAAAAUUCGGUUGACCGUUUCCAUUGGCUUUCAAUAAAUUUCCAUUCAUGAAGAUGGUAACUGACUAUCAAAAAAAUUAAUCAAGGAUCAGAAACUUGCUGGGGCUAUCUCACUAGUUGGGUCCAAUUUAGACUGCUUUAAUUAGUCAUGAGAACAUCAUUCUGAGAGAGGUUGUUGAUAAGAACUCCAUGUAUACAAAGAAAAGAGCAUGUAAAUUUAGUAAGUUUGUUUGACAUUAUUAGUACUGCAUGCUAGGUAACCUUUUGGUAGAGUUUAAGACAAGGAGACCUUGACUUCCUGCAGUGUCCAAAAAAUCUGGUUUAGAAUCUUGGUCUAUUUUUCCGAAUGUUGUAUAUUUGAUUUUUUUCUAUUUUCCAAGAUGUUUAUUCUGCUACCAUCAUCCUGUGGUUAAGGGAUCAAAUUUUUUUGGUUCCCACUGUAAGAUAGAAUCACAAAAUCAUCUGAUAAAAAACAUGAAGACUAUAUCUAGCUCAAAGUAUGACUAGAGUUUGAAUUAUGAAUUAUGUUCAUAGUGGCCUGUACCUCCUUGUUUUGUUUAGUUUUGAAUUUUAUUUUUUCAAAUGCAAUUUCAAAUUUGUUAUUGGUAAAAGGAGGAUCAAUGAUUGGUAAUUGUCAAGACAGUUAUAGUGAUUGGUUGGAGGAUCUUUUAUUGGAUGUUAUGGGCUUUGCUGGGGACUUGGACUAUAAGAUGAAAAGCUUUUUGGUCACUUACUAGGGUCUCAGAUAGGGAACUGGUUUUAAUUUCAAAGAUUUGGUAUUCCCUUGGUGCAAGGGUGGAGGAACAACUGAGUUCCUUAGAAAUACUGCACUGUGGCCAAUCUUCCUACUUACUUGAGUCUCAGUUCCAUGUUUCUGCUUUUGUGGUUAAGAGACUGAGGAGUUGUCUCAGGGAUUUCUGACAGGUUCAGAUGAUUGGUUAAAUAUUGAUGAACUGUGAUAAUUCUCUUCCUGUGUAAACAAUUGGAUUUUGGGGAUCUGGCUAAUCAUUCCUUUUAGGAAAGUUCUUGUUUGGGAAGUGGCAUUGCAGAUUCAACUCAGAGUAGACAGCUUUUUGGAUAAGUCAUUUGCUUUAAAUACAUUACUUGUGAGGUUGAGAUCUUAGUUAGGUUGAAAUGCUUUUCGAUUUACUUGUAUGGGAAAUGUCAUGCUACUAGACAAUGAAGUCAAUAGUUACUCAUGAUUUUAGGUUGGGAAAGUCAGAAGUGCUUACUAGGUUGGUGGUGAGCAAAGAGGUCCCUAAAGAAUAUGCUUCUUACUCAUUUUUCUGUUUCUACUAACUGGAGAUGGUGGCUUUCCAUUGGAACAGGAGAAUGUAGUUUCCUGUGUUGUGAACCAUGGUUCACGUGGCCUGCGGAGAGAUAAGUUCUUGAUCUUGUCUCUAUGAUUGAUGAUCAGCCCUAUACAUAGUUUGCAGUUCAAAUAUCUUUGUCACAAUCUUCUUUUUUGGACUAAGUGUGAUACAACAUUCCUUCCUAUUCACAGUUCUUGUGAUUUGUGGUUUCUUCCAUUUUAAGGCCUGUUAAUUUGAAAUGUUUAAUUUUCAAGUUCUAUCAAUUGCUGUGCUGUUCCGGCUUUACUUUCCUGUAUAGCAUCUAAUGGUUGCUUUUAUUCAGUCUAUGUAGCAUUAUUGUGGUAGACAAUGCAUGGAAGUUUUAAGUUCUUCUGUGUUAAUCUCUAUUGUGCUUAGGCCACUCCUCAAGUUACUAAACUUCUAGUUUCUCAUGCAGUGGAAGCAAUGAUCAUACAACGAAAUUUUGGUGUAGAAAUAGGCCAGGAGAUACCGUUCGUGAUAAAUUCAACAUGGGGCACAACCAAGGUGGUUAUUAUAUUCUCCUGAUCACUUCAUGGUAUUUCUUUUAAGCCAAGUUCAAAUUCUCUACAGUUCAACUUGUUGGAUUCUAUAACCAAAUGGAUUAUGCUCAGGAGUAUUUUUUACUCUGGAGAUCCACUUGAAUAUCCCAUAUAUCUUCUGCUUUGGUUUGUGUAGUUCCUACAAACUUCUAUGCGUUGAACUGUAAAGUAUUUGAAAUUGUUAAAAUCGUUAUUCAGAACUGGAAUUUUAUUAUUUUUAAGUUCAUUAAUCUGUGCUAGGUUAUGGUGAUCAAAACCCUGCACUUGGUGGUCGCAUGCCUGGUAAUUUCCCGGUACCUGAAACCCCAACAACUCCGGGUCCAUUUGCAGCUGGAUUGACCCGAAACGAGGGAACCAUUCCAGGUGUUGGAGUUGCAAUGCCAUUAACUAUCCCAUCUCUUGAUACAUCAGCUCAAGGAGAGCAGAAGCAGCCUCUUCCUGUUUCAAUUCCUUUAGGGGCACCUCCUCUUCCGCCUGGUCCUCACCCAUCCCUUCUUGCGGCCAACCAGCAGCAGGCAUAUCAACAAAAUCCUCCUCAAAUGCCACAACACCACCAGGCACUCCCACAGCAAAUGCCGCCUUUGCCUCUGCAGCCACCAAAUAUGUCACAGCUACAGCCUCCUUCCCAUUUACCCCUGCUACCACAUCCUCACUUACCUCGCCCUCCCCAGUUGCCCCCAAUGGGCAUGCCUUCAAAUAUUCCGUCUUCUAUGCCAGGAUCCUUGCCCAUGCCUUCAAUGCCCACAUCACUUCCACUGCAGAUGCCUGCUCCAAUGGUACUAAGCUGUGUGCAACUCUAAUUUUUAUUUAAUUUUGUAUGAUAUUUUCUCUUGGACUGGGCUACCUUUGACUGCUUAGUUUUUCUGCUUUUAUGGUCAAUGUGACUCUAAGGUUCAGUUCCUAUGAUGUAUCAGGAAUUUGUUCUUUUUCCUUGUUGUGGCCACCCGUUGGCUACAUAUCUUGAUCAAUUGGCAUGUUGAGCACAUAUCUCGUACACAAACAUUGUCAUGCCAUAUUUGUAUGCCAUAUCCUGUACCAAAACUCUAAUUUUUAUUUAUUUUUAUCUAAUUUUGUAUGCUAUUUUUCUCUUGGGCAGGGUUAACUUUGAUUGCUCAGUUUUUAUGCUUUUAUGGUCAAUGUGACUCCACGGUUCCUAUGAUGUAUCGGGGAUUUGUUCUUUUUCUUUGUUGUGGCCACCUGUUGGCUAUGUCUUGAUCAAUUGGCAUGUUGAGCACAUAUCUUGUACCCAAACAUUAUCAUGCCAUAUUUGACACGUAUUUCAUUUACAUUUGAAGUGUGCAUGUGACAUAGCUUUUCAGUGAAAUGGAGGACAUGCUCCUCCAUAUUGUGCUCAUGCCAGCUGCUGUUGAAAACUGUAUAGUGAAGAAGUGGAGGUAAAUCAAACAUUUUUCAGUUAAGCGCCCUUUAUGCAGAGGGACAUGCUCGGCCUUUCAUGAAAGAGUGUGUAAUUUUCUAGUGAAAUGUGCUAGUUUAGGGCCCCAAUUUGGGCAUAGUUACUGAUUGCCUUUUUAAAUUUAAAUUUGUUUAAUUAUUUAUUUUUUAAAUAACAAAAAGGUCAAUGGCAGAAAAUAUGUUUGGUGAGGCUCUAUAGUUUUCUUCUUUUAAGAGAUGAGUAUUGAAAUUGAAAGUUUAUGGAACAAAAACUUAAUGUUUCUAGGGGCAAAAAGAGAAAUAAAAAAAACAUGUAAUCCAAGUGGCAAUGCAUGUGACUUACUUGAGUUGUUGUUCAUUGAUGAUACUUUAGUCUUCUGUGAGCCUUCUCUAGAUCAAUUGACUUAUUAGAGUUGGUUACUUAUGUGGUUUGAGGCAAUGUCAAUGUUUAGGGUAAAAAAGUGAGCUGAUUUGUAUAGGGAGAGUGGAGAAUUUAGAAGAGUUGGCUCCAGAGUUUGGUUGCAAGAUUGGUGAGCUCCAGUCUUCUUACUUAGGCCUUCCCUUGGGUGCUCAGUUUAACUUUGUGGCAGUUUGGGAAUGUGUGGAGGAGAGGUUUUAAAAAGGAUUAUCAUUAUGGAAAAGACGAUAUAUUUCCAAAGGGACUAGGCUUACCCUAAUCUGUAGUAGUCUCUCUAGCAUGCCAAUUUGUUUUAUGUUCUUAUUUUGUAUUCCUAGGAAAGUCAGACUGAGGGUGGAAUAAAUUCAAAAGGAUCUUCUUUGGGGAGGAGGGACCCUUGAGUGGAAACCUCAUUUAGUAAGAUGAUCUAUUGUCUGCUAAAAAAAAGAAAGGGUGGUUUGGGGUGGCCUAGGGGUUAGGAAUUUGUUGUUCCUAAACAAGAUCUUCCUGUGCAAAUGGAGUUAGUGUUUUGCAAAGGAGAGGGUGGCACUCUUGCAAAGUGAAAGAGAGGUGGUAUGAGGUAGGGUUGUGGAAAGUCAUCAUGAAAGAUUGGGAUAUUUUGAGGUGUAGUAUGACCUUUUCUGUGCGUAAAGAGAGGAGGGUGAGAUUUUGGAAGGAUAAGUGGUGUGGUGAUAAACUAUUGUGCACUUCUUUUCCCUCCUUAUUUGCUAUUGCUUCGUCCAAGGAGGCUUGGAUGGAGGAUGUUUGGAACCAUUCAGCUGAAGGGGGAGUAUGGGCCCCCCUCUUUUCUAGGCGGCUCAAUGAUUGGGAGGUGGUUUUUGUGGAGUGUUUCUUUCAGAGAUUGCAAGGGAGGAGGGUAUGUUGAUGAUCAGGUGACUGAGACAAAGUCAAAGGAUGAGAAAUUUACUGUCAAAUCCCUCUACAAGGCUUUAGAGCUGAAGAGACAAGGCGCUUCCCAACAGGUAUAAUUUGGAACUCAUGGGUGCCAUCGAGGGUGGGUUUCUUUGCUUAGGAGGCUAUGUGGGAUAAGGUCUUAACCUUGGAUCAUAUUCGGAGGAGAGGGUGACCAUUGGCUAAUAGAUGCUUCCUAUCUGUUAAUCACAUCCUCUUGCACUAUGAUGGGGCAAGGGAUUUAUGGCAUUUAUCUCUAUUUGAGGUGUGAUGGGUCCUCCCUGCCUUAGUUAGAGAGACUUUGUUUAGUUGGCAUGGGUCUUUUGUGGGCAAAAAGCGGAAAAAGGUGUGGCGGAUAGCUCUCUUAUGUCUUUUGUGGACAAUUUGGAAGGAAAUAAACAAUAGGGCAUUCAAGAAUGAGGGGCGAUUGGUCUAAGGGCUUAAACUUUCUUCCCUUUGUAAUCUUUGCACAUGAGCUAAGGUGUAUUCAGUUUCAUGUCCUUCCACCAUUGAUUUUGUGGAUUUGUUGGGCUUUGCUUGAGUGCUGUUUUUUGUUAUUCCCUUUUGUUGGUGGCGCUUUUUGGUGCCCGUUGUAUACUUUCUAUGUACUUUGGGGAACUUUUCUAGAGUGCUUCUUUUUAAUAUACUCCUUUUUGUUUAUCAAAAAAAAAUAAAAUGUGGCAAUGCAUAUGAUAUUGUGUUUCUUAUAGUGUAAAAAAAAUUUACUUGGGCUCAAGUCUCCAACAUCUCUAGGAUGCAUUCCAAUCCUUUUUUCCUCGACAACUACUCUGUUUUGUUAGUCGAAGAGGCCGAAUUUUAUUACCCCAACUCUGGAAAUUAGUGUUGUUGGCCCUCUCCUUUUUUGCUCCCCCCACUCUCUCUCUUUCUCUCUGGGGUUUCAUUUGUAUAUGGCCUGCCAUAGUUCCUUGUUUGAUGUUUAUUUUUAUUCUUGAAUGAUCUGUGUGUGUGCGCACGCACAUGUGUGGUGUGUGUUGUGCAGGGAUUGCCAUAAUUUCUUUAUUUUCCAUUUGUUUUAUUCUUGAAUGAUCUGAAUGGUCCCAUGCUCUUAACAACAAAAUCAAUGCAGAUUUUAAAAUCAAUAAUGGUUCAUAUGGCCACUUGAUGUCCGUUAUAAUUUUUGAAAUUUUAUAAAGUCUAAUACCUUGAGUUUUCUGGUCAAGUUACUUCCAUAUCCAAAUAGCUUGCAGAAAUAUUGGUAUCAUAUUUGCAUAACCUGUGCAUGCUUGCUCCUUUGUAAUCUCAUCUGUGUGUCAAUCUAAAAUUAUUUUAUGAUUUAGUAGCAAUUUAGUAGCUCUUUUGUUUGUUUGUUUGUUUGUGUUUCAAUUUUUUUUUAUCAGUAUGCAUGUUUUUUAUUUUUUAUAUUUUUUACAACAUAUAACCAACAUGAUUGCCAAAUGUGUUUCCUAUUUUAUGAACUGGAAACAAAAACUCAAAACAACUUAUUUCCUGCUACAAAAUAGCAAAAUUAGCAAGUGAACCAAAUUCAAGCUUUGCCUUGGGUGGUUCAGUGAUUGAAAACCGUCCAUCUUGUAAAAUGGUGGAUCAGAAACGAUCCUUGCUCUUUCCAUUCUAUAAAAGAUUUUUAGUGUUUGCUAACCUAAGUAUAUUUCUGAGUUCAGGGGAUGCAAGGUGCAAUGAAUCAGAUGGGUCCCCCAAUGCCGCAAGGCCAUUUUAUGGGCAUGAAUCCAAUGCAUGCAGGAUCCUUACCCACUGGUGGUGUACCUCCUCCCAUUGGAAGUUUCCAGGGUGGGGCUCAAAUGUAUGCACCAGGUGGUUCAUUCAACCGAGCUCCAGCUGGACAAAUGCCAAUGAUGCCCGGGCUGAAUCCCUACCAGGUGAGAUGGACUUUCAUUUAUUGGUGUUAGAAACUGUUUUACCUUUCAUUCUUGGCAAGUAGAGAUAGCUACUAUCAGCUGGCUGAAUUUUUUUUUUUUUUUUUGGUAGCUAGUGUGAGUUUUAUCAUAUUUGUUUCUUAUCCUUAGACUCUUUGAAUGUAGUAUUUUUACCAAAAAGGAAAAAUUUUUGGUAGCUAGGACAAGUCAUUCUUCAUCCUUUAAACUGUUUGAAUGACAUCUACUGGUAGUGGUAAUUUUUAAAUGUGGAAAACUUGGAAAACCAUGCAGUUCACACACAAAACCAUGUGAAAUGAGAUCUGUUAAGACAAUCCAUGUGCUACUGACUGAUUCUUUUCAUGCAAUCCUCUUCUUGUCAUGCAUUUAUCUCCCUUUUGGUUUAUGCCCCUAUAAUUUAUCUGAGAAGAUGUAGGAAAAGGAAAUGGUAUUUGGAAUUCACAAACUGUGUUUUCGACUCCUGGUUGUAAGAUCUGAACUUUUCUAUUUCAUGUCUUCUUUGCAACCAAAUGGAGUAUAAGUUCAAGUUAGAGUUUCGAAUUUUCAUUUGCAUAUUAAAAAAGAAAAGGAAAUUCAAGUUGAGUUUCUCCUUAGUUGCUUAAGAAAUUUGGCUAUUCAAGGGAAUUCCAUCUCCUAAAUGCCAUGAAUCCUUUCCCCCUUUUUUACUUUGAUAUCUUUUUUGCUUGUUUAAUUAGUUUGUUUCUUCAGUUAGAUAAAGGAUUGGGGACAAGAUGAUGUCUAAAAGUGUUCGUUUCUCACAACAGAAGACACUUGUACUGGUUAUCUGCUGAAUGUUUGUGCUCCUGUUCCUUUUUUUUAAUUUUUUUUUAUUUAUGCCAUUUCCUAAUUCUUUUUCCCUUCCUGGUACUUUUCUUGAGAGUAGAUUGAAGGGUAGAAGCUCUUAUUAAAUUUCCAACUCAAAAGCUUCGUACAUGAAAAAGCUUAGACACUUUACUUAGGCCUUACUCUCAACUAAGACUAGACACUUUGAAAGGUAAAAGCUCUUUUUUAAGCUCAAUAAAAGCGUCUAAGCCUAUUUGGUUAAUUUUAUCCAAAGAGAUUAUGACUUAAAAAAGAGCUUAAUAUGGAAACCAGGAAAAUGUCGCUUCUUGUAGGAGCUCAGUUUUGGCUUACAAGUUCUUGCAUGUUUUGUAAAAUUUUUAGGAUACCGAUAUUGCCCUUUAAAAAUUGCGACUUUUAAAGCUAAAGCCAAAAACAGGAACCUAUCAGAAACGAAGCCUUAAUGUAUUAGUGGAAAUUAACUGAAAUAGUUUAUAAUUUAAUCCCUGUUUAUAUGUGUGGGUAGUUUUAACUCAUGAACCUGCACGUCAAACAUGGGGAACGGAGAUCUCUACAGUUAAUUUUCUUUCUGAUAGGCAAAUAAAAAAAUUAUUUUAUGUAUGAAUUCCUUGUGGCAAACAAAGCCGUGUGGAAAGUUUUGGGUCUGGAUUUUCCACUGCAAAAUUCUUGGAUUCUGAUUUGCAUACAUGAGAUUUACAUUCUUAUGUGGCUGGGUUUUCUGAACAGAUAUCAUUUAUAAUGCUGCUGAAUCUAAUUGCUACAUUUUUCUUAUUGCAGACCGGGAAUCCGAAUCCAAGCGGAAGCGGCAUGGGAACACUGCCAUCAAAUAUGGGUCAUCCAUCUGGUAUGGCUCCGCCACCACCACCACCAGGUCCGCCGCCGCAUGGCCAACCAACACAAUAGGACCAUUCAUGUGGGCAAUGCGGCAGUCAGCUGGGACAGAAGGGAAACCAAGAGUUGCUUUCUUUCUCUUUUUUCACUCUCAUCCAUUUUCCAUGGCUUGUAACAGGAUUCUGUUUAUUUUUGUUUGUUCUGUAUUUGCCCAAUUGAUUUCCCUUGUACACAACUAGUUAAAACAGUUGAUGUGAAUUUUAUUUACAACCGCUCCCCCUGGUGAAAAAGAACACUGUUCUUUUCUGCAAUCCAUGGAUUUAGAAGCCUUGAUCAAACGCUUUCUAACAUAUGCUGAUAAACAUCGGUUAUGGAUGAUUGGUUAGAAGAUGCUAUGAGGAUGUUUGGUUUAAAAUUAUUUUAUUUUAUUUUAAUUUAAUUUUUUUCUUUUUUUUUUUGGUCUCAAAAUGGAUAAACAAUACUAAUACUUGAAGAAAAAUAAAAAUAAAUUAAAGUAAAUUACUUGAUUUUAAUGAAAGGGAAAGGUCACGUGACAAAAAUAAUAUUAGGUGGCAAAUUGUGAUGGCGGGUGGAAAACACUAAAAUGAAGGGUAAGAUAGUAGUUUUAGUUUUUGAGAGCUCACAGUUCACAAAAGCGGCUGUCGGCUUGGCUCCUGCCAUCUCCGGUUCAUCUCCUUCCGCCGGCUCAUCGCUCCUCCUCCGCUGGUUUUUCAAUUAUCAGUCGACUGCAAAUGGUAAGAUUUUGAUUCUCUAUUUAUCUCAAGCUUUAGAAUAAAAUUUUAAUUGUUGAUCUGUUCGGUUGCUGAGAAAGACACGGAAAGUAAGAAUUUUGAUUAUUGCACAUACUCCGCCAAUGACCAAUACUCUCCUUUUAAAUCUCAAUUUAAUUUUUUUAUAGCAUUUUGCUUAAUUAAUCCACACGCGUCCUUAUUUUCUUUUUCCAUUCUGGUCUGGUCAGAUUCAGCUCCAGUUGUAGCUAACAUAGCUUUGUCAGGCGCCUAGUUGAAUGAAUCGGUACCGUUUUUGUUCCAUUAUAUUAAAUUAUGGAUCAUUUAUUGUUUAUGUCUAAGAUUUUUGUUUGGAUUGGAUUGGACUGGAUUUGCUGCUGUUGCUCCCUUUGGUUUCCGUGAAAAUGGAGGAAAACUAAAUUAAUUGAUAAAUGAAUGAAAUUAUGUUUAAUUUUUAUGGGACUGCUGGUGAAUUUUUUAGGGUUUUAUUAGGUUCAUCUCUCAUUUUUAUGGGUUUUAUUUUGUUACAUUAAUGGUUUAUUUCCCCUAGAUUCGUUUGGUUUUAGAAUCAAUGCCCUACCUGUCUUAAGAUUUGAUGCAUUGUAUGCAUUAUUGUUAGCAAUUGUUCAGUUUCAUUUUCAGAAAUGUUUCUUUGAGAAGAACACAAACCUCUUUGUAAUGUUUCUGGAUAAUGGCCCAUUCUAGAGAAAUUUUUUAAAUUAAACUCUCUAAAAUUAUGCGGCCAGACCACCAGUGGAACAGUAAAAAGCUUGAGCUCUUAAGCUUGAAUCCUCAUGUUUGGGUCUUGAGAAGGACUCUUCCCAAGACACUUCUUCCACUGGACAAUAACUUCUGAACUGAGAUUUCAAACAUGCGUUUUUCCAUGUCAUUUUUGAAAAAUGAAAAACAGUUUUGGGAAACAGAACUGGUGAAGUCCCCCUUCAUAUUCUUUUGCUGAGUUUCUUAUAGGGUUUUCUUGUUCAUGGAUUUGCAGUUGGGUUGCCAUAUGUUUUCACUUUGGUGUUCUUCCAUGCUAAUAUGAAGAUUGUUUUAGAAGUCUUCAUCCUCUGUUACUUGUUGAUUUUGAUAUGGGUGUGAUUGAGAUAUUUUUGUGCUUUUGAAUUUUGUGUUAUGCUUUUCAAUUGAAAGUACACAUUUGGAAGUGGGUUACAUGGAAAGACCUUGUGAUAUAUCACUAUCAACCUUAACCAUAAUGAUGGAAGAAUAAUGUAACAAUUGUGUUUUCCUUCUUUUUUGUUUUUCUUUUUCUGGUGAUACUGUUGCAUCACUGGGGAGACCUCUGAUUAACAGGAAGGGUUACCCCUUAAAUAGGAUCAUCCCCCAAAAUUUUCAUAGUUGAUUGCUUUCCAGAUCACUCUUUGCAAUGGUAAUAUAGACAUUCUAUGGUGCUUUUGACAGCUUUUGAUACCACUUCUUUUUUAUUAGGGUAGUGACCCUAAAUGAGUCAUGAAUCCUUCAAUGUAGACUCUUGCAUGAGUGGUUUCUGGGAUCAUGCAUGUCUUACAUAACCUUGAUUCUGUUCUUUUAAUCUUCUACUGAAAAAUACCUCAUUUCUUCUUUCAUGAUCAACUCUUUUCAAGGACAAGUCCUUAAAUGUCUUUAAGGGCUAAAAAACCUACUUGCUUUAUGAAAACUCUCUGUAACAAUCUUCUGUAUUUCUAUUCCAUCAAAUAGCCCAUAUGUCUUUACUGCUUUGGGAUUGUUCUUAAUAUACCUUGAAAGAAAAGAUGAAGUGUGGGUUACCUUGGGUGUCUUGUGUCUAGGAGAAGGAAGGAAAAAAAAGAAAAAGAAAAAAAAAGAAAAACCGAAUUUGCAAAAUGUGUGUAAUUACCCAAUAUUUAAAUGCAUAUCAAUUGCCUUAGACAAAAAUUACAAUAUUUUUAGCAGCUGAUUUUAUAGAGUUUUUCAUAUCACCUUUAUAUUGUCUUGGUUUACUCUUUUAAGUGGAUAAUCACUUUGUGUCUACUGUUUGGGCAUUUGGGUUUGGAUAAAAUUUUGGAAUUCCAGCGGUUUAUGAGUUUUGUGAUGAGACGACACACUUUUAUCCAUUUUUAUAGUAUCAUAACAUGGGAUCACCUUAAUAUUUAAUGGGUACCGUCCUAUAAUAUAAUGAGCUUAGGAAAGUACGGAUUCAAAUAGUGUGUUCGAGUUUUUUUUUAUUUCACUUAUGAGGGAUGUAGAAUUCUCUAUGAAAAUUCAAUAAGAUGAUGGAAGGACCACUCAGCAUUAUGUCUCUUGUUCGUACUACCACCACCACCUCAUUUGGGGUUCUCUUUUUAAUUUUAAAAUUGAUGCCUAAUAUAUAUAAAAUAAACUCUAAAUGUCCUUUUUGGCAAUUCAUCAAUACCAAAAGUUUAUUUGUUGUUGGAUAACACAUAAUUACAAAUACUAUGAAAAUAGUGCUUUCGUAUGAUAUCUAAACAUGAACUGCUUCUUCAUAAAACCUCUUCUACUAUUAGUAUUACCAGCAAAAGCGCUACUGACUAAAAGCACUCACCCGAAUCACUUCUGAAUUGGCUUUUCUUUCAUUUUUCUACAGUUGUGAUUUUGCUAUGCUUUGGAUGUUUUCACCAAAAAUUGAGUGAUGUAUUGGAACAUGAUUGUGUGACUUGUGUCCCAUCUACAAAAUUUUCUUUUAUUUUUUUCUACACUAUGGUGGAUGUAGUCAUAAACGGGAAUUCCAUUACAUGUUGUGGAUGUAGCUGUUGGGAUAUUUAUAGGUGAAUGAAAAUUAAGACAUACUGUUUUUUAAUUAGACACAACUCUUCUUAAUGGACACAAUUUGUGUCAAAGGAUAUGUCAAGUAUUUAAGACACAUCUCUUCUAAGAGUCACCAGAAUACCUAUAAAUAGCCCCCCACCCAUGGCAUUUCUCAUUCAUUCCAUCAUCAAUUCUCUCCACUUUUUCUCAUUUCUUCCAAGUGUUUGGUAUUCAAGAGAGUUCAAGUCAUCAAGUGAUUUGCUGUUUCUUGUGAUUUGGAGUGCUACUAUCAUAAGAAAGUGAUCGUUGUAUCCUGGGAGACGAUUGUCAACAAACUGUAAGCACUAGUGCGAGACAAAUUUGUCUUAAGGAUAUAGAGUCAAAAUCUAGCCUCGAUCAACCGUUUGUAAGAUUCAAUAUUUACUUACCUUCUCGUUUAUUUAUUAUACAUAAUUAUUUGACCAUACAUUUGUGAUAAUUCCAAAAUAACAAUCUUAAGACGAAUUUUUUUUUUUAAUCUUUUGCUUAUAUCUGUAUUUUUAAUACAGUUAAUAACAUGGCCUUUACAAAUAUUAUUGAUACCCCUGUUGUUACACCUACUACUACCCAUGGUGAGAAACCAGAGAAAUUCACUAGGUUGGACUUCAAGCGGUGGCAACAAAAGAUGUUGUUUUAUCUCACAACAAUUAACUUGGCCAAAGUGUUGCAUGAAGAUGCACCUACCUUAAAGGAGGGAGAGACUAACAAGCAAAUUGUGGCAGCAGUUGAAGCAUGGAAACAUUCAGAUUUUCUAUGCAAAAAUUACAUCCUUAAUGGACUUGACAACACGAUGUGUAAUGUGUAGAGUCAAGUGAAGACAACCAAGGAGUUGUGGGAGUCUUUGGAGAAGAAAUACAAGACUGAAGAUGCUGGCAUGGAAAAAUUCAUAGUUGGCAGAUUUCUAGAUUACAAAAUGGUUGACUCCUAAACAGUGACAAGCNNNNNNNNNNNNNNNNNNNNNNNNNNNNNNNNNNNNNNNNNNNNNNNNNNNNNNNNNNNNNNNNNNNNNNNNNNNNNNNNNNNNNNNNNNNNNNNNNNNNAAGAUGCCAUUAUAGUGAGUCCUUUCAAGUUGCAGCAAUUGUUGAAAAGUUUUUACCAUCUUGGAAGGACUUCAAGAAUUAUCUGAAACAUAAGCGCAAGGAAAUGGGGCUUGAGGACUUGAUUGUUAGACUGAAAAUUGAGGAAGAUAAUCGUGUCUCUAAGAAGAAAGUGGGAAAAGAUCCCAUGGAGUCCAAGGCAAACUUGGUGGAACCAAAGGCUAAUAAAAAGAGAAAGCACUUUGGUGAAGGUCUAAGUCAAGGGAAGAACAAAUACAAGAAGUUUGCUGGGAAGUGUUACAUUUGCAGUAAGCAAGGCCAUAGGGCCAAGGAUUGUUGCUUGAAAGGAUAAAGUAAGGAAAAUAAAGCACAUGUGACUGAGGAAGAGGAGUUGGCAAACAUGCUUUAUGCAUUGGUACUGUUUUUUUGAGGAGUUGGCAAACAACUUUGCCUGAAGAGGAGUGAGUCUAGGAAUGCAUCAUUUUUUGAAAAUAUUUUUCCGUGUAAAGAAAAGCAAGAAGUAAGUUCAAAUAAGGGAACUUAUGAUACUGCAAAUGGUAAUCAUCAAAAUGAGGAAGAACCAAGACGUAGUAAGAGAGCCAAGAAGACAAAGUCUUUUGGCCUAGAUUAUCUAACUUAUAUGUUAGAUAACGAACCCAAGACAUUCAAGGAAGCAAUGUCAACACCAAAAGCCCCAUUUUGGAAAGAGGCUAUCAAUAGUGAAAUUGAAUCCAUCAUGCAUAACCACACAUGGAAAUUGGUGGAUUUACCACCAGGAAAUAAACCUUUGGGUUGCAAAUGGAUCUUCAAGAAAAAGAUGAAGCCUGAUGGAACAAUAGAUAAGUACAAGGCUAGAUUUGUAGCCAAAGGAUUUAAACAAAAGGAAGGCCUUGAUUUCUUUGAUACAUAUUCACCAGUUACGAGAAUAACAUUUAUUAGAGUGUUAAUUGCAAUCACAACAUUGCAUAAUUUGGAAAUUCAUCAAAUGGAUGUUAAGACAACCUUUUUAAAUGGUGAGUUAGAAGAAGAAAUAUAUAUGGAACAACCUGAAGGGUCUGUUGCUCCUGGACAAGAAAAGAAGGUGUGUAAGCUGAUAAAGUCCCUAUAUGGGCUAAAAUAAACACCAAAACAAUGGCAUGAGAAAUUUAACAAAGUAACGUUGUCAAAUGAUUUUAAAAUUAAUGAAUGUAAUAAAUGUGUAUAUACAAAGAAUACACAAAAUGAGUAUGUCAUUGUGUGCCUAUAUGUGGAUGAUAUGUUAAUUAUUGGUAGCAAUAAUGAUGUCAUUAAAGUUACAAAGAAAAGGCUGACCAGUUAUUUUGAUAUGAAAGAUAUGAGUGUCACAGACGUGAUCUUAGGUAUAAAAAUAGCUAAGACAUCUAGUGGACUAAUAUUUUCUCAAUGUCAUUGCAUUGAGAAAAUUCUUAAAUGGUUUAACCAAUAUGAUGAUAGUCCAAUUAAGACCCCAGUACAUUUAAAUCUACAUUUAGCUAAAAAUAAUGGUCCAGCAAUUGACCAGUUGGAAUAUUCUCGUAUCAUUGGUAGUUUAAUGUAUGUCAUGAACUGCACGCAUCCAUACAUAGCCUACGCAGUUAAUAAACUAAGUAAGUUCACUAAUAAUCCGGGAAAAGACCAUUGGAAGGCGUUGAUUAGGGUUCUUAGAUAUCUAAGAUACACCCUAAACUAUGGACUUCAUUAUUUAAGGUAUCCGAUCGUACUAGAAGGAUAUAGUGAUACAAAUUGGAUAUUUGGUACGAAUGACUCAAAGUCCACAAGUGGAUAUGUAUUCACAAUUGGUGGCGCUGUGAUAUCAUGGAAGUCAUCUAAACAAACAUGUAUUGCAAGAUCAACGAUGGAAUCUGAAUUUAUUGCUUUAGAUAAAAGCAGGGGAAGAAGCAGAAUGAAUUCAUAAUUUUCUAGAAGACAUUCCAUGUUGGCCAAACCCAAUGCCUGCAAUAUGUAUACAUUGUGAUAGCCAAUCAGCGAUUGGAAGGACACAAAAUAGCAUGUACAAUGGUAAGUCUCGACACAUCCGUCGCAGACAUAAUACUAUAAGACAGUUACUUGCAAAUGGAAUUAUUUCCAUUGAUUACGUUAAGUUAAAGGACAACCUGGUGGAUCCACUAACUAAAGGAUUGUCUAGAGAUCAAGUAAACUGCUCAUCGAGAGGAAUGGGAUUAAGGCCUAUCACUAAAGAGUUUCAUAAUGGAAACCCAACCUAGCUGAUUGGAGAUCCCAAGAUCUAGGUUCAAUGAGGACAACUAAAUUAUGAAAUACUCUGUGAAGAGCACUAGGGAAAAAUAAAUUCCCACCCAUUCCUAUGGUGAACUAGUGCUAUACAAAAUGUGUUUAGGAUAAGCUAUGCUUUUAAUGAUUCUAAUAAUUUGAAAGAGUUCAAGUGGAGUAUGGUAGAAUACUCGCCAUAGGAAUCACCAAUGUGAGUGUGAAAUGGGGCCGUUUCUAUGAGAAUUUUUAAGGCUGAAAUUCUCUAAAGCACUCAUUAAACCGGGAAUCGUUCAGGGCUAAAAUAAACACAAUCGUGAGAAUCAUUGGUUAUUCGGAAAGGAAUUGUGUGAAUACUAUUGUCUUGAUUUACAUCAAUAGUUGAACAGUUCAAGACAUCACAUUCACUGAUUAGCUAGUAAAUCCGAUAGUAUUUCACUAAGGAAGGUUCAAAGCUACAAACUACCUAUCCUGAUGCAAUCACUUUCCAAUUUUGUACUCUCUUGAUUGUUUAGUUUUCCAUUUGCCUUUUUUAAGUCAAUUUUCAUUCAUGUGGGGGAUUGUUAGGAUAUUUAUAGGUGAAUGGAAAUUAAGACAUAUCGUUUCAAUUAGACACAACUCUUCCUAAUGGACACAACUUGUGUCAAAGGAUAUGUCAAGUAUUUAAGACACAUCUCUUCUAAGAGUCACCAGAAAACCUAUAAAUAGGGCCCCCCCUCCCCCAUGACAUUUCUCAUUCAUUCCAUCAUCAAUUCUCUGCACUUCUUCUCCUUUCUUCCAAGUGCUUGGUAUUCAAGAGAGUUCAAGUCAUCAAGUGAUUCGUUGUUUCUUGUGAUUUGGAAGAUGAUUGUCAACAAACCAUAAGCACUAGUGUGGGACAAAUUCGUCUUAAGGACAUAGAGUCAAACUCUGGCCUCGAUCAACCGUUUCUAAGAUUCAAUAUUUACUUACCUUCUCGUUUAUUUAUUAUAAAUAAUUUUUUGACCAUACAUUUGUGAUAAUUCCAGAAUAACGGUAGCGACAAAUAGGAAUGACAUUGCCAUUAUAGUAAUAGUAUAUUGGAUGUAGUGAUACACGGGAACACCAUUAUUAUUUUAUUUAUUUAGCAUCAUCAUCAUCAUCAUGUUCUUUUGGAUCAAGUCCAAACUCCUCACAUGUUGGACGCUUUUUUGAGGGUUCUGGGAUCUAAAUUAAAGAUGCAGAUGGUUGUACAUGGUAUAGGCAGCAUUGAAUUAUAUGAACCCCCUCGAUUGCAUCUUAGCCUAUCAAUCUUGCUGAAAUGAAACUUCAGUUGGAUUGGGGACAUAGAGGUAUUUGAUCCAAUUCUUUCCGCCAUAAAAUCUAGAGUGUUGGAAGCCCUGGGUUGUUCUAUUCUAUCAGUCAAUGAGCAAGGUUGGCGACAAGCUUCAAAGCCUCACUGUUCUUCAUGCCACAAUGUGAGGCAGAGUCAUACGAUAAUCUUGUACAGGCGAAUUGGAGAACAGAGCGUUUGAAUAAUAUUGUGUUGUUUGGAGACAGCUUUAGGACAUAUGAACAGCAUGUAUCAGAGUUUAGGAGCUCAACUCUUGUUGAUUCCUCAAGGCAUAUCUUGGCUGUUAGAAAGUUCACGCGUGAAUUUGCAAUCAAGACAGUUUCAGAUGAUUAUUUUGGAGCCUUCCAUGAUUCAAGCUGGCAUUUCUUGAGCCUUGUUGCUUGAGCAGCUUUGCAGUUCACAAGCAAGACUGAAUGAUGAUUGAAAACAAUCUUAUUUCUAAUUUUUCAUUGCAUUCAAAACAAGUUUACUGUUAUCUUAAUACCUGCAACAACCCGGAUCAAGUAGAUUAGUAAUCGACACUAUUUCAAAGUCUGUAUUAUCACUAAUAUGCUCUUGGAGAUGCCUCCAAUCUAUCUUGAUUUCGCACAUUGUUUCUCAUUCAUAUCUAUCACAUUUAUUUCAGAAACAUUUGGGGAGGUUGGCUUCUAGUCCAACCAAUCUACCUAUGCUGAAAGCAACACACAUUUUAUUCAUUACAUGAAAAUAUAUUUUAGUCUUCUCUUGGAAGCCAUAACAACAGCAGAGGAAAUCAUUUCUUGUUGUUCCCAUUUAGAUCGACCAGUAACUGAUGGCCGAAACAUUAGGGCAUCAGCCAGAUUACUAGGUGGGAGGGGAACCGACGAUAUGGGCAGGAUGUCGACACGUCACGUGACCAUGAUGGGCAUGUGGGGAGCAGCUUGGAGAUAUCCCGCCAUCCAAGUGUACAGUUUUAUCUUCUGCAAGAACCCAAACAAGAAAUAACUUUUGCAGGUCUGCAUAAAGUAGGUACAAUAACCGGAAACCCCAUGACCAUGAUUGAGGAAAAGUACUUACCAUAUGGAGCAACUUGGAUCAAUUCCCGCGAUAGGGUUUCCUGAGAAAGGAAGAGAAGUAAAACUGAAAGAAGAAUGCAAAUGGUGGGAGAAACCUUGUGAAACACCAUCUUGUGAGGUUGUAGAGAAAUUGUUGUGCCUUCCUCGACCUUUAAAUAGACUGAGGGAGAGGAGAAAAAAAUGAGUGUGCUUUGAGUGGGAAAAUGGUUCAGAAGAACACCAGUUGACGGAGGACCAUCUAGGAUUCCACUUUCAAGCAUCCUUGCACCUUCCCAAGUCAAAAAAAAAAACAAGUUUCCUUGCACCUUCCCAUGUCAAAGAAAAAAAAAAAGCAAGAAAAUUAUUCUCAGGUCUCCCUUCUAAUAAAUGAACACAGUACUCUGACAGCUACACACUCCCGUUCUUAUCUUUAGUUGCCUUUUUUUUUUUUUUUUUUUCCUUUUUGGUUUUUUCAUCAAUUCUUAGAUAGGACAACAAUUAGUUGUUGGUGAACCAACUUUUUCAAAUGAAGGAGCCCAAAGCAUACAAUAAAGUCCAACAAAACCAUGGCAAAAUCCAAAAGGGAAAAAACUUUUGAAGUUUAGAACAAAUUUCAAUAAAACCACAAACAAUACCAAAGCAGCCUCAAAUCUAUCCACAUAUAGGACUUUUUUGGUAAUUUAAAAAAGUUAUGUUUAAAUUAUUGUAGUAAAAAAAGUUAUUACAAAUAUAUGGUAGUUUUUGCCACCUAUGAGAGAGGAGAUGGAGAGAGGAGAGAGGGUGAACGGAUAAAUUUUUUUUUAAACCAAAAUCAUCUUUUCAAAUUUCAAAAAAUUUUAAAAGGGAAAUCGUUUCUUCAAGAGACGAGUUACAUGAAAAAAAAUAUAUAUAUUUAAAAAAAAAUUCCCAAAUUAAAAAAAAAAAAAAAUUCCUCGAGGAACUCGUCUCUUCAAGAGACGAGUUCCCAUGAAAAAAAUAUAUUUUUUAAAAAAAAAUUCCUCAAGGGAACUCGUCUCUUGAGGAAUCGUUUUUUAAAAUUUUUUUUUAUAAUAAUUUGGGAAUUUUUUUUUUAAUGGGAACUUGUCUCUUGAAGAGACGAGUUCCCUUGAGGAAUUUUUUUUUUUUUUUUUUUUUUUUUUUUUUAAAAUUUGGGAAUUUNNNNNNNNNNNNNNNNNNNNNNNNNNNNNNNNNNNNNNNNNNNNNNNNNNNNNNNNNNNNNNNNNNNNNNNNNNNNNNNNNNNNNNNNNNNNNNNNNNNNAAUUUUUUUUUUUUUUUUUUUUUUUUUUUUUUAAAAUUGGGGAAUUUAAAAAAAAAAAUUUUUUUUUUAUGGGGAAUUCUUUUUUGGAAGGGAGGGGUUCCCUGGGGGAAAGGGUUUUUUUUUUUUUUUUUUUUUUUUUUUUUUUUUAAUUUGGGAUUUUUUAAAAAAAAAUAUAUUUUUUUUCAUGGGAACUCGUCUUGAGGAAUUGUUUUUUUUUUUUUUUUUUUUAAUUUGAGAAUUUUUUUUAAAAAAAAUAUUUUUUUUCAUGGGAACUCAUCUCUUGAAGAGACGAGUUCCCUUGAGGAAUUGUUUUUUUUUUUUUUAAUAAUUUAGAAAUUUUUUAUAUAUAUAUAUAUUUUUUUAAUGGAACUCGUCUCUUGAAGACACGAGUUCCUUGAGGAAUUUUCUUUUACCACUCAAACGUCUUCUUAUUCUCUCUCAUGCGUAAUACCCAUAUUUUUCCUUAACUUUUCCUCCACUCAAAUAUCCUUCCAUCCUCUCUCUUAUGCAUGCAGCCAUAUGUUUUGCUCCCAAACCUAUUUAAUGUGGGGACCACAUGUUUUGCUCUCAAAUCUCUUAAAUAUAUGGUGGUGGGGUGAUUUUCUUUUCUUUGCCAUCUAACCACUCCUAAUAACAAAGUUCCCUUGAGGAAUUUUUUUUUUUUUUUUUAAAUUUGAGAAUUUUUUUAAAUAUAUAUAUAUAUAUUCAUGGAACUCAUCUCUUGAAGAGACGAGUUCCCUUGAGGAAUUGUUUUUUUUUUAUUUUUAUAAUUUGGGAAUUUUUUUUAAAUAUAUAUAUAUAUAUAUAUUAAUGGAACUCAUCUCUUUAAGAGACGAGUUCCCUUGAGGAAUUGUUUUUUUAUUUUUUAUUUAUUUUAUAAUUUAGGAAUUUUUUUAAAUAUAUAUAUAUAUAUUUUUCAUGGAACUCGUCUCUUCAAGAGACGAGUUCCAUUAAGGAUUUUGUUUUUUAAUAAAUGGGGAAUUUUUAAAAAAAUAUAUAUAUAUUUUUUUCAUGUAACUCGUCUCUUGAAGAGACGAAAUCUUUUGAAAUUUGAAAAAAUGAUUUUGAUUUAAAAAAAAAAUUAUCCGUUCACCCUCUCUCCUCUCUCCUAGGUGGCAAAAACUACCAUAUAUUUGUAAUAACUUCUUCUACUACAAUAAUUUAAGCAUUACUUUUUUAAAUUACCGUACUAUUGAGAAAAGUCCUCCACAUAUAACAAUGACGGCUAAUUCAAAAAGAGUUUUCAAAAUAAGGACUUUUGUGAAAGCUUCUUUUAACUUUUUGUUGGUAAUUUUUAUAUGGGUUACAAAAAUUCUAUUGUAUAUUAUCAUAUCUUAUUUUAAAUCUUUACCUUAAAAUAUGUGAUUAAAUUUGAAUUGUGAACAAAAGUAUAAAAGAAAUGAAAAAUAUAAAUAAAUGAGAUUAAUAUACAAAAGAAAUGGAACAUCAAUCUUGAAAAUGAAAGAAUUAUUUAUUUAUAAGCAAAUAAGAGUUAUGUGGCUAGCUAUAUGGUCAUGUUUAAUUAAUUGUCACAAAAAAGUGAUUUUUUAAUACUAUAAAAUAAAUUAUUUUUAUGUCUUUAGCAUAAACAUGAUUAAAUACAACCAAGAAACAACAAUGCGACUUUGUUCAUAUCUUAUUUUGUAAAAUCCAUGUGAAUCAAUCAUAUUAAAUCACAUGUCUAAUAUAUGUCACGUUAUGCCUAAGGCCUUUUAAGCAGUAGGUUUUGGCCUAAUUCUAUAAAAUUUACGGCUAUAUGAGCUAUUUAAUCUUAUUUAUGAAGUGAAGUCCACCCCCUCCCUCCUUCCCCCCACCCCCCACCCACCCACAAUGCAUUCCAUCAUACGUCUACUAAUUAGAAAAUGUGAGUCCACCCCCUCCCUCCUUCCACCAACAACCCCCCCCCCCCCCCAAAGAUUUCCAUCAUANNNNNNNNNNNNNNNNNNNNNNNNNNNNNNNNNNNNNNNNNNNNNNNNNNNNNNNNNNNNNNNNNNNNNNNNNNNNNNNNNNNNNNNNNNNNNNNNNNNNUCUCGCUCUUGAUCUCUAAUAUAUUGACAUAUCCAUAUCCUUCCCAUAUAUCUCUUACAUCACAAUACCAUAUCAUUUGAAUUUGGGCACCAAUCUUCAAACAUAUUCUUGGGUUAUCUGGAUGCCUAUAAAACAUGCAUGGAUGACUUUUUCAGAUGCCCAUAAGACAUGGAUGACUACCUAUAAUGGAUGUUGAGGGGGCUCUCCUAUCAUACCUCUUUGUGAAAGUGACACUAUGUGCACAUGGAAUAACGCCCAUAUGCUAAUACACUUGCAUGAGUUAAGAAUAGAGUUUGGGGAGUCUAAAAUAAUUUAAAAUUCAAAUAGUAAACUAAUUAAUAUUAGAAAUUUAUGGACAAAAUUUGGUCUUAAAUAAUUUUAUUAUUUUUCUAUUACAUGGAAUCCUUAUUUUUAUUUAUUUUUUCUAACCAAAUAAACUCAAAAUUAAACAAGACUUUAUGUAUUGGAUUUAUUAAUGAAUCUAGUAAUUUUUGAAAAUCAAAUAGUGAACCGAUGAAUAAAAAUUUAUUCAUAAUGGCUCUAUUUUUUAUUGCACAUAAUUAUAUUCAUAUAAAUUUUCUCACUAUAAAAAUAAACUUCAAAUUAAAUGUCACUUUGUAUUGAAUUUAUUAAUAAGUUUAACAAUUUUUAAAAAUAAUUUGGAACUUAAAAAAUAGAUCCAAUCAUUGAAAAAAAUAAUAUAUCAAAAUUAAUAUAUUAUGAGUUACGACUUUACUAUUUCUUCUAUACACAUAACUAUGUUUUUUCAAAUUUAGAUAAAUAAAUUAUAAAUUAAGCGAGACAUAAUUAAUAUUUUAAAUUUUUAAUAAAAUAAUUAAUUUUUAAGAAUAAUUUUGAAUUUAAAAAUAAUCGAUUUAAUUGAUCACAGAUUAAAUCAAAAUAUUCUAAAAUAUUAAGUUUGUAAGUCAAUAUUAAAUGUGUACAUGAAAUGAAAAACUUGAUUAAUUUAUAUGUUAAAAAAAUUAAAUUUUAUUCAUUAUUCAUUGUAAAUAAAAUAUUGUUAAAAAUUAUUAUUAUUCAUUAUUAAACAAUGAUGCAACUUUGUUCACUCUCUAUUUUGUAAAAUCUACGUAGAUCAGUCAUAUUGAAUUAUAUGUCUAAUAUAUAUCAAGUGGGUUCCAUCAUAAGAAGACAGAUUACAAAAUGUCACCUAGCUUGGUAUGUAAAAAUAAUACAUCUUCCACAUUACUCUCCAUUAACAUUGAUACUUAGUGCAUCUCAUCCUUGAUCUCCAAUAUAUAGACAAAUCCUGUCAUAUGGCUCUUACGCCAUAGUGUUGUAUUAUUUGAAUUUGAGCUCCAAUCUUUAAACAUAUUCUUGAGUUAUCUGCAUGUCCAUGAAACAUGGAUGCCUUCAUACCUACCUCUUCUGCUAUUAGUACUACCAACAAGAGCUCUACAAGCUAAAAGCACUCACUCGAAUCACUUCCAAACCUCUUUGUAAUGUUUCUGGAUAGUAGCCCAUUCUAGAGAAAUUUUUUAAAUUAAAAUCUCUAAAAUUAUGCAGCCAGACCUCUAGUGGACCAGUCAAAAGCUUGAGCUCUUAAGCAUGAAUCCUCAUGUUUGGGUCUUGAGAAGGAGCCACUUUAUACCAAAAUUCCGGACCUUAGAAGAGGACUCUUCCCAAGACACUGCUUCCACAGGACAAUAACUUCUGUACUGAGAUUUCAAACAUAUUGUAGACUCCGCAUUUCGGCUCAUCUCAAUGCGUUUCCCACUCGAUGGCGAGCUCGAUUUUUAUUUGAAAAAUUGAUUUUUAUUCGAUUAAGAAAAUGAUUUGGAGUCGCCACUUAUUUUUGUUUUAUUUUUAAAGGGUAAACAAAAUAAGAAAGAAAAACCCUAAAUGUGACUCCUUGUUUUGGAAAAGGUGGUCUGUUAAAAACCGGAUCGGGUUCGGGGGUCAGGUUACUUAUCGGGAAGGUACGGUACGGACCGUAGCACCCCUCUAAGUCCCUAAUGUCGGGUCUCUACUAAUAGAAUGAAGCUGACGUGGCAGUCAACAAGAAAAUCGAUGAAUACUCAAAUCGAUCAUGCACAAUAUGAGAAGCAAAACACAUAUAAAGAAUGAGCAAAAUAUGAAUAGAUGCGUACCUGGGCGGCAAUCACGAACGCGCUAUCAUGAAACAUGGUUAGUGAACAAUGAACAUAUAUAAUUAAGCGCAUAUCAAGGAAUAGAGUAAAUCGAUCACAUGUGGCCAAUGAAGCAAACAAUCAGUUAAUCAAUCUUGAAAUCUCAUAUGUAGGGCCCCCACCAAAGCCCAUUUUAUAUUGCAUGAAUUAAUUUCAUAAGUUCCAUUAAUUGGAAUUACAAAAUUGAAUUCAUGUUUUAUUUCAAAACGUUUUAAAAUUAUUGAAAUCAUGAAAAUUGCAUGCCGAGGAAAAUGACGAUGAAUUUUAUUAGAAAGUGGAUUUUUGAAACCUAAAAUUCUACGAAUGAACAAAAAAACUUGGAGUUAAGAUUACUAAAACACUCAAAAUAUUAUUUGAAUAAAAAGAAUUCGGAAAAUUAUUUGAGAAAAGAGAAUAUGGAAACUGCUUUUUAAAAAAAAAUUAAAGAUGAUAAGAUGGGGAAAAUGACACUUGGGUCAAAGGUGGCCAUGCCACGAGUGCUUUCCCGUGAGCUGUCUUCAUAUGAAUGUGGUGCAGCUUCCCUUUGGCUUUAUCUUCAUAACACUUACGUCAAAUAUCCGUGCAAGGGUAAUAAUGGAACACUAUACGUGACCUUAAAUUCAUUUUUCUCAUCUUCUGUACAUCAACGGGAACCUUGCCAAAAGCUUGAGCCACAUCAGUAUAAGACAGAACACCUAAUUCACCACAUAUAUUCCUUAUUUCUUCAACCGUCAUCACCGACAUGAGCCCAGUAUCGGACUGAUUUGCGGACUGCAUUAAAUCAAUAUUAACAUACCCACCAGACCAUGCAAACAUAUAUGUGAUCUCAAAACCUUCCUGUUGUAAAUGAGGGCGAGAGUCACGAACACACUUGUGUUCCAUUUGUGUGGUGAUGACAUGGCGCUGCUUCUCAUUGUAGAAGCGCACGAUGCCUUUGAUGGAGAUGCUGUUGGAUUCAAUGGAGUCAUUCCCAAUGGUUCAGGUAGUAAAAAUCAUAAUCCUCACAUACUUUCUAGGCAAAUAUUCCCCUUUCCAUGAACUGUCAACUGCAUGCUCAGUAUCCUGUUGCUUCCCAAAGGCUUCGCCAGCACUAUCAACUUCAGCAAGCAUCUCAGACGAUAACGAGAUAUAACUUAAGCGUGAACCAUAUGAUUCACACACAAUCACACCCAUAUCGACAUUCAUCCAACCCCUCUGAACACAAACCAUUGACAACCUUUAGCUUUCCAAACCGAUUUGAGAGCUUAAGGAUAGCGGAACACUUUAAUAAAUCUCUUCUCUCCCAGCCAUGUCUGAAUUUCCUUCCACAAGUUCUGCUACAAACCCAGCAUUGACCAAGAAAAGAUUUCAAGUUUGGUGGGCAUCUAAUGAGUAUCGGCAUGGUGGAAAUAUGAAUAGGGACGUGAAAGAUUUAAUGGGUAUAAAAUGGUGAUGGGAAAUGGGUUAGAUAUGAGUAUAGAGAGAUGAUCAGUGGGCAUGAAAAGAAUGGGUACGAAGAACGGGUAUGGUGGGGUAUGGAAUGAGAGAUUUGAUAUGAGUAUAGAGAGAUGGUCAGUGGGUAUGAAAAGAAUGGGUAUGAAAGAUAGAAUGAUGAAGGAUGCGUUUAAUGGGCAUUUUGAAAACCAAAAGUGAAGGCAUGUAGGCGGGUGUGAUUCUGAAGAGAGAACCAUUGGACUUCUUCAGUGGGCGUCGCCGGAGACGAAACUCGCGACUAUUGCUCCUCUGAGCUUCCUUAGCACCACGGAUGGUAUCAGUCAGACCCGAGAUCCUCCUGCAGCAGUGAACAAGGCAUCCAAACACUUGUAUCCUUCUCAAAUAUUCAUUCUGAAUGGUCAAGGUCAGCUAGACUGGAGCAGUUCGGUGAAGACAGCAGCAAGAUUGCACUCACGGCAAGGUGCAAUGGCAUCAGGUUCGUCAGCCAAACAUCAAUCAUAUAUGACAUAAAAAUCACAACUCAGAGCCCAUGAUUUCCGCCAUGAGACGACAUGAAAAUAUCACUCUUCUCAUAAACGAUAUAGUCAAUGGCAGUCAUGAAGGAGACUUUCUCUGAAAAUGGCUGUAGUUCACUAGGCAAGGCAAGGUCCUCCUUAUUGUAGAAAUUAGGAAACUCUUGAGUUAAUGGCAACACGGCUUCUUUCUCGUUGAUCUGUAUAAUAUCCUUAGUGACAAACUGAUCCAGAUCAACCACGGCUGUAGUAUUUCCUCAAGGUACAACUUGAGCAUUACCCUGCUUCCUCCCUAUCCGAGAUCUUUGCGCAAACCCAAACCAUCUGGAGGAGCUUUAUUCAUCCUCAACCCCCAUAAGCUUAGCUCUAUGAUAGCUUUACCAUGAAUCCCUCAGGUAGGGACAUACAGCCUGAUGUAUCACAAGGUAGGAUACCGAGAACAGGGGAAUGGCAAAACAAAACAGAGCACAAACCAAUGAAACCAAUAAAACAACCAGAGCCAUGUUUCAUGUUUAGACAACAGGCUUGGCUAUAGGUGAGUGAUCUAGAAUACGUUCUAUGGAGAUAAGAACAAAAUAAGACACCUAUAUGAUGCAUAGUGAAAACUAAAACAGAGCAGUAUCAUUCUCAAAUCACCCCAAGGAAAAUAGAUGAACUAGCCAUAAUAAAAUCCAUGGACCAAACAGGAAUCGUAAAACUGAACGUAUAAUCGAACAAAUCCACAGAAAAUAUCAAGAAAAAGGGAAUGAGACUAUAGUGUGAUAAAGAAAAUCCAAGGAUACAGGGCAGUCAUACCUCUCUUUUCUUCUUCCUCAAGCUCUCUGUCUUCUCCCAAGGCUCCUCCGGAAUCUUCUUUUCCUUUCGCUUGCAGCCUCCCAACUUUCUUUCUAGCUCCCCAAAAAAAAUAUCUCCCUCCGGUAGCCAAGGCACACCUCUCUCUUGCAGCUCCUCCCAAAAUAUCCUAACUGCAGUACUCCCCAAAAAAAAAACCUCACACAGCUGCCUCUCUCCCUCAGAAAGAACCUCUCCAAAAAUCUCCUCCUCUCUCUAAAGCUCUCUUCUCCACCCAACAAUCUCUGCCGAAACAGCCACCAAAAGCCCCCCUACUACUCUGCAGCCUCUGAAUAUCAAGCUUGCUCCUCCAACAAUCUCUGCAGAAACAGCCACCUCCCCUGCACCCUUCUCCUCAUGCAGCUGGCCACCCCCCCUAACGGAAAACACGCUCUCUUCUUCUAGAAGAAUCCUAUGCCACUUGUUAAACCUCCAUUGGCAUCCUAAAAGCAACAUCUGAUUCCGCACCAGCCUCUCAAGAGAAGACACGUGGUGGAGCAAAGCUCUUCCACGUGGCAAAAUGAGCAGUUGCUAGAAUGGCCCCAAAUGGGGGGUCUACACAUAUGCUUUUCCAUUUCAUUUUCAAAAAAUGAAAAACAGGUUUGGGAAACAGAACCGGUGAAGCCUCCCUUAAUAUUCUCUUGCUGAGUUCUCUGUAGGGUUUUCUUGUUCAUGGAUUUGCAUUUGGGUUGUCAUAUGUGUUUGCUUUGGUAUUCUUCCAUGCUAAAAUGGAGAAUGUUUCAGAAGUCUUCAUCCUCUGUUAGUUGUUGUUGAUUUUGAGGUGGGUGAUCGAGAUGUUUUUGUGCUUUUGAAUUUGUGAUGUGCUUUUCAAUUGAACCUAUACGUUUGGGAGUGGGUUACAUGGAAGGACCUUGUGUGAUAUCACUACCAACCUUUUUUAUUUAGAAAUUAGCCAUGAUGAUGAAAGAAUAGUAUAACAAUUGUGUUGUCCUCCAUUUUUGUUUUCCUUUUUCUGGUGAUACUGUUGCAUCAUUGGGUAGACCCCUAAUUAACACAGAGAGUUAACCCCUACAUAGGAUCAUCCCCCAAAAUUUACAUCGUUGAUUGCUUUCCAAAUCACUCUUUGAAAUGGCAAUAUGGACAUGAUAUGACGCUUUUGACAGCUUCUGAUACCGCUUCUUUUUUAUCGGGGUAGUGACCCUAAAUGAGUCAUGAAUCCUUCAAUGUAGACUCUGCCUGAGUGGUUUCUAGGAUCAUGCAUAUGUUUUACAUAACCUUGAUUUUGUGCUUCGUGUACUGAAUAAUACCUCAUUUCUUCUUUGACAAUAAUUUCUUUUCAAGUAUAAGUCUUUAAUGCAAUGUUAUCAAAGGCAAUCGCUUGGGUUGCCUAGAAAAUAAAGUCGCCUCUUGAAAACCCAAACAAGGCGGUUUCAAAGAGGCGACACCUAGGCAGUCGCCUUGGGAUAAGACACAAGGUAUAGAGGUGAUCGCUUUUGAUUAUGAGUUAAGAUUUAACAUACUUUGAUUGAAAUUUCAUUCAAUCUAAUAUAAAAUGAAAUAUUAUAUUAUCAGUCAUAGUGAUAAUGAGAUGGAAAGCUAUUAAUCUAGUUUCGAUGGAAGUAAUGACAAUUUUAAUUUCAAUUAUGACCAUAAUAAUGAUGCCCAAAGUUUCUCUAUGAUGUUCAUUCCCUUAUUUUGUUUUAUAAUACAAUUUUUAGUAGUUUGAAAAAGUAGAAUAUGUAUUUAAAUAGGAUGGAUAUCUCUAAACAAUAUAAUGUUUCUUAUGAUGUAGGAUAUAAUAUUUAACAUUUUGAAUAAUUAUUACUAUUUUGUUAAUUUAAUAAGAUAUCAUGAGGGAUGAAAAAUUAAUAGUGUAAUAGAUUGUUGAAGAUGACGUUUAUAUUGGUUAAGUAUCAAAUAGGUAAAUGUAUGUAUAUUUUUUUAUUGUUUUACUAUAGUUAGACUGUAGCCUUAUUUUUUGUCUUUCACCUUGGGUGAAAAAGAGUUUUAUUGCCUUGGCAUUGCCUUAUGCUUUUGACAAUAUUGCUUUAAUAUCUUCAAAGACUAAAAAGCCUAUUUGGUUUGUGAAAACACACAGCAACAAUUUUCUGUAUUUAUAUUCCAUCAAAUUAUCUAUAUGCCUUUGCUUUGGGGUUGUUCUUAAUAUACCUUGAAAGUAAAGAGAUAGUAUGGGUUGCCUUGGUUUUCUUUGUGCCUAAGAGAAGGAAGCAACAAGAGAAAAAAAAACAACCAUAUAUUGCAAAAAGUGGUGCAAUUACCCGAUAUUUUAAUGCAUAUCAAUGGCCGUAUACAAGCACUUACAAUAUAUUUAGAAGUUGAUUUUAUUGAGUUUUUCAUAUCACCUUUAUGUUGUCUUACUUUGCUGUUUUAAGUGGAUAACUUUGUAUAAAUGUUGGAGUUCCAGUGGUUUAUGAGUCUUGUGAUGAGACCACACUCUUUUAUCCAUUUUUAUAGUAUCAUAACAUGGGAUCACCUUAAUAUUUUUAUUGUAAAGUAUGGAUUCAAAUAGUAUGUGUUUGAGUUUUUUUGUUUUUUCAAUUUAAAGGGAAGUAGAUUUUGUAGGGACCCCUCCCCUUGGGAAACACGUGGCACGCAGCUCAUAGUGACGCGUGGCACGUGUUAUCAGCCGGACCAUCAUCAUCCGGAUUCCCUUAAGGAUAUGCAUGGUGCAGUUAUCCUAUCCGGACCGCUUCAAGGAAAGGCAAACGACGUUUCAUCUUCUCCUAUCCAAGGAAGAGCAAACGACGCUGGCAGAGCGUACACAUCCGGAUAGCCUCCACAACACAUCCGGAUAAUCAGCAUGAGCCAUCCGGAUAUAAAUCUUCUGGAUGGUCAAUUAAAGUAAAGCGAGUCUUACACGCAAUCACAACAAGCAGCCAUGGCCCACAUCCCAUCACCUGCAGAAUGAGAAGACAAGAGGAAGUGACAGCAAGUCACUUCCCACGAUCAUUCUGCAUAAUCGCUUCCCACGAUCUCUGACGGCCGCAUCACCUACCAUAGUCUCUGACAGCCAUUCGUAGGAUGAUAGUGCUCCUACUAACACCUAUUGUCAUCAUCACAACAGAAAAGAUCUCCUCACCAUUAAUGAGAGGAACAGUACCCCUGAAGCUGGAUAUAUAUACCUUCGCACGAAGAAGAAAAGGGGACCUCCUGGUAAUCUCUUGAUACCUAGAAAAAGGCCAACUGAUUUAUAUAUCUCUUUCUCACCAUGGCUAACAAAACCAUCGGAGGGUGCGUCCGGACACCCUGUCCGGAUGCCUUUUGCAGGUGCAACCACUGAAUCAAGAACCCCUUGUGUGUUGAGAAUCACGUAUCCAUCCAUAUAGCAGCAACGUGGACCAUCGGGUACGCGAGGCGACAACAUUGGCGCCGUCUGUGGGAAACUUCUACUUUUUAUUUUGAUUCAGUCACUAGCAAAGAUGGCCACACCUUCCCAAAGUCGAUCAUCUGGUAGAGAGGAAGAAGAUAAUUACGAAUGGCGUCAAGCCAUCGAAAAAAGACAGUUGGCGAGCGAAAAACAGCUAAAAGCUCUCCUCCAGGAGACGGAGAGGUUAAGGGAAGAAAACGCUGUGUUACGCAUUCAAGCCUCAACAUCAGGACCUCCUCGUCGUCAGCGCUCAAAAGGCCAGGUGGCAAACUCAAAGCCAGAGCCAGAAUCAAUAUAUCCUGGGUCAACAGGAGCUAUCCCAGGAACGUACAACGCAAGGCCCUAUGAGCCACGCACACCCAUGCCUCGAGCUCCCCGUGAGGAAAGCUCAGAUUCCACUCAUUUCUCAGCAAAAAGACAGCGUGAUAGAAAAUCACAGUUGUCAAGUUCUAUGCGCGCAAGACUAGGCCCACAAGAGCCUGGGAGAUCAAGGCCACCAGCAGCCACAACCCGGGCGCCACGCCCCGAUCCUAUGAUCGCUCCCAUGGUGCAGAACGUACCUCCGCAUCGUGACCCCAUGGUCACCCCAGCGAUGCGGAACGUUCACUCACACCUAGCGGAACGACCAGCUGGGAGAAACCUUCCAAACGAGCCACCCAUUGGCUCCAUCAGCAAAAGGCUGGAUGACAUGCUCUCCACGCCCUUUUGCUCUCAUAUCACUCAUUACGAACCCCCAAGGGGAUUCCUCGUACCGAAGUUUUCCACAUAUGAUGGGACCAACGACCCCUUCGAUCACAUCAUGCACUAUCGACAGCUUAUGACGCUCGAUAUUGGNNNNNNNNNNNNNNNNNNNNNNNNNNNNNNNNNNNNNNNNNNNNNNNNNNNNNNNNNNNNNNNNNNNNNNNNNNNNNNNNNNNNNNNNNNNNNNNNNNNNNNNNNNNNNNNNNNNNNNNNNNNNNNNNNNNNNNNNNNNNNNNNNNCAUGCACUAUCGACAGCUUAUGACGCUCGAUAUUGGCAACGAUGCAUUGUUAUGCAAAGUAUUCCCCGCCAGCCUUCAAGGGCAGGCCCUCUCAUGGUUUCAUCGCCUACCUCCUAACUCUAUUGACAAUUUCAGGGACCUCUCUGAAGCAUUCGUGGGACAGUACUUGUGCUCUGCUCGACACAAGCAGAAUAUCAGCACCCUCCAGAACAUAAAAAUGAGAGACAACGAAUCAUUGAGGGAAUUUGUGAAACGAUUUGGCCAAGCCGUACUCCAAAUAGAGGUUUGCAGCAUGGAUGCUGUCCUACAAAUCUUCAAGAGAAGCAUUUGUCCAGGCACUCCAUUUUUUGAAUCACUGGCAAAAAAGCCUCCUACAACGAUGGACGAUUUGUUCAGACGUGCUAACAAAUAUUCAAUGCUCGAAGAUGACGUGCGUGCAGCCACUCAACAAGUAUUGGUUGCCGGACGGGCUUCUAGAGAUAACGCGGACAGGCAUGCCAAGCCUCCGGACCGUCCAAAACCAGUUGACCGGAGACAGGACGGGCCGAGUCGUCCGAAUAGGUCGCCCGUCACACCCCUAUCCGUAUCAUACGAAAAACUUCUCCCAAUGAUCCAGGGGUUGUCCGACUUCAGGUGGCCUAGACCCCUCGAAACGGACCCAUCCAUAAGAGACCGCAGCAAGAAAUGCGCCUUCCACAAAGACCAUGGUCAUACAACAGAGACGUGUCGAUCCCUCCAGUAUCUAGUUGAAAGGCUCAUCAAAGCAGGACAUCUAAAACAGUACCUCCGCUCAGAUACUGGAGGAAGGGACGUAUCUCAGCAUCAUAACUCUGAGGCCCCGAGGGCCCCAGUCGCCCCCAAGGCUGUGAUAAACUAUAUCAAUGGGGGCCCGUCUGACGAGGAAUACGGUUCCAGGCGUAAAAGGCAGAAAUUGCUGCGGGCCGCGUCAAUACGCGAGCGCAUUAAUUCCAUCCGGCCGGGUCUUACUGGAGAGGGCCCUCGCCCCAUAGAUGGGACAAUCAUUUUCCCACCAGUAGAUCCCACCCGGACGCUACAGCCACAUCGCGACGCCCUCAUCCUCUCUCUAGAAAUAGGAGAUUUUGAUGUAAGACGUAUCUUGGUUGAUCCAGGCAGUUCAGCCGAUCUAGUACAAGCAUCAGUCAUUGGCCAUAUGGGACAUGGUCUCGCGGGUCUCGAAAACCCCGGACGAAUCCUAUCCGGAUUCAACGGAUCAUCAACAACAUCCUUAGGAGACAUUAUACUGCCGGUUCGAGUUGGACCAGUCAUUCUCAACGUGCAAUUCUCGGUGGUGCAAGAAUUGUCACCCUUCAAUAUCAUCUUGGGACGCAUAUGGCUUCACUACAUGAAAGCCAUCCCUUCCACAUAUCAUCAAAUGGUGAGUUUCCUCACCAAUGAAGGGCAAACUGACUUGUAUGGCAGCCAGUUAGCCGCUCGCCAGUGCUACCAAAUAGCACGUGAAGCAGUCGCUAACCAGGAGGAUGCAUCUCCCCCUGAACCUAGCAUUGCGCGCGACCAAUAGCAAUUAUUGGGUCCGGUGGACAAGGAUCCCCCGGUAGCAGAUCCUUUACAAACAAUCCAAAUCUCAGAAGAGAAUGAUCACCUCACAAACAUCAGUUCCCUCAUGACACAAGAAGAAACCCAGAGCAUACAGAAUAUCCUUCGAAGUAACCAUGACAUCUUCGCAUGGACACAUUCGGAUAUGAAGGGAAUUCAUCCCUCUAUCGCCUCUCACAAGCUUAACGUCUUUCCAGCAGCCAGACCCAUUCGACAGAAGAUUAGACGAUUUCACCCGGAUAGACAAAGAGUUAUCCAAGAUGAAAUUAACAAAUUGUUGGAAGCCGGAUUCAUCAGAGAGGUAUCUUANNNNNNNNNNNNNNNNNNNNNNNNNNNNNNNNNNNNNNNNNNNNNNNNNNNNNNNNNNNNNNNNNNNNNNNNNNNNNNNNNNNNNNNNNNNNNNNNNNNNCCAUUCGGACUCAAAAACGCUGGCGCCACGUAUCAAAGAUUGAUGACUAAAAUCUUCAAACCUCUGAUAGGCCGCUCGGUCGAGGUAUACAUUGACGAUAUCGUGGUUAAAAGCAAAACUCGAGAGCAGCAUAUCCUCCAUUUACAAGAAGUAUUUUACCUCUUGCGAAAGUAUGACAUGAAGCUAAAUCCUUCCAAAUGUGCCUUUGGCGUGAGUGCUGGCAAAUUUCUGGGAUUUAUGGUCAGCCAAAGAGGCAUAGAAGUCAGCCCGGAUCAAGUCAAAGCAGUCAUGGAGACACCUCCUCCCAGGAACAAAAAGGAGUUACAACGCCUCACAGGUAAGCUCGUUGCGUUAGGACGUUUUAUAGCCCGCUUCACUGAUGAGUUGCGACCCUUCUUCUUAGCGAUACGAAAAGCUGGAAAGCAGGGAUGGACGGACAAUUGCCAAAAUGCGUUGGAAAGAAUUAAACACUGUCUUAUGCAUCCGCCCAUCUUGAGCAGCCCCAUCCCAAAGGAGAAGCUAUAUAUGUAUUUAGCUGUCUCAGAAUGGGCAAUCAGCGCCGUUCUAUUCCGCUGCCCUUCGCCAAAGGAGCAGAAACCUGUCUACUAUGUCAGCAGAGCUUUGGCAAAUGUAGAAACCAGGUAUUCAAAAAUGGAGCUAACAGCCUUAGCUCUUCGAAGUGCUGCUCAAAAGCUCCGCCCCUAUUUUCAAGCCCACCCAGUGAUUGUACUGACCGACCAGCCCCUUCGUAGCAUUCUCCACAAGCCAGAUUUAACUGGGCGAAUGCUACAAUGGGCCAUCGAAUUGAGCGAAUUUGGAAUCGAAUUCCAACCCAGAUUAUCCAAAAAAGGCCAAGUAAUGGCCGACUUCGUGCUCGAAUAUUCACGAAGACCCGACCAGCACCACGAAUCAGGUGAACAGGAGUGGUGGACUCUACGAGUUGACGGAGCCUCACGCUCAUCAGGCUCUGGAGUUGGGCUCUUAUUGCAGUCCCCAACUGGGGGACAUCUGGAGCAGGCCNNNNNNNNNNNNNNNNNNNNNNNNNNNNNNNNNNNNNNNNNNNNNNNNNNNNNNNNNNNNNNNNNNNNNNNNNNNNNNNNNNNNNNNNNNNNNNNNNNNNNNNNNNNNNNNNNNNNNNNNNNNNNNNNNNNNNNNNNNNNNNNNNNNNNNNNNNNNNNNNNNNNNNNNNNNNNNNNNNNNNNNNNNNNNNNNNNNNNNNNNNNNNNNNNNNNNNNNNNNNNNNNNNNNNNNNNNNNNNNNNNNNNNNNNNNNNNNNNNNNNNNNNNNNNNNNNNNNNNNNNNNNNNNNNNNNNNNNNNNNNNNNNNNNNNNNNNNNNNNNNNNNNNNNNNNNNNNNNNNNNNNNNNNNNNNNNNNNNNNNNNNNNNNNNNNNNNNNNNNNNNNNNNNNNNNNNNNNNNNNNNNNNNNNNNNNNNNNNNNNNNNNNNNNNNNNNNNNNNNNNNNNNNNNNNNNNNNNNNNNNNNNNNNNNNNNNNNNNNNNNNNNNNNNNNNNNNNNNNNNNNNNNNNNNNNNNNNNNNNNNNNNNNNNNNNNNNNNNNNNNNNNNNNNNNNNNNNNNNNNNNNNNNNNNNNNNNNNNNNNNNNNNNNNNNNNNNNNNNNNNNNNNNNNNNNNNNNNNNNNNNNNNNNNNNNNNNNNNNNNNNNNNNNNNNNNNNNNNNNNNNNNNNNNNNNNNNNNNNNNNNNNNNNNNNNNNNNNNNNNNNNNNNNNNNNNNNNNNNNNNNNNNNNNNNNNNNNNNNNNNNNNNNNNNNNNNNNNNNNNNNNNNNNNNNNNNNNNNNNNNNNNNNNNNNNNNNNNNNNNNNNNNNNNNNNNNNNNNNNNNNNNAAGGGAAGUGGGUGGAGGAACUACCCGGCGUCCUGUGGGCCUAUCGAACCACACCCGGACGACCAACAGGAAAUACUCCUUUUGCCCUCACAUAUGGAAUGGAUGCAGUCAUUCCCACUGAAAUAGGUCUUCCUACUAUCCGGACUGAUGCAGCAAAGCAAAAAGACGCCGACACGGAACUAGGAAGAAAUUUGGACUGGGCAGACGAAGUCAGAGAAAGCGCAUCCAUCCGGAUGGCAGAUUAUCAACAAAGAGCAUCAGCGCAUUACAAUCGAAAAGUCAGGCCCAGAAACUUCAAAAAUGGUACGCUAGUACUUAGAAAAGUUUUUGAAAAUACUGCUGAAGUAGGCGCAGGAAAAUUCCAAGCCAAUUGGGAAGGACCCUACAUAGUGUCUAAGGCAAAUGAAAAUGGAGCCUAUCAUUUACAAAAGCUAGAUGGCACUCCGUUACUCAGACCAUGGAAUGUGUUUAAUUUAAAGCAGUAUUAUCAGUAGAAAGUGUACACAAGUGCAAAUGAGAAAGAAGUAAGUUUUAUUGAUAUGAGUAAAUGUAAUUACAAAGAGACAUCCGGACUACAAAAAUAUACAGAAGGAAAAAUUACAGCAGAAAAAUUGCAAGAAGAGAUAAACUAUCAGGGAGCAGGUUUCUCAUGGAGCUUCUUUUCUUCACUUGGAGGAAUUGAAGGGGUAUCUCGCUUUAUACCGUUCUUCUUCAUGCAGCAGCGAUACCCAAAUAUAAAUGUAUCAUCCACUUGUUUCUGGUAAUCCGCUGCAAGUUCCUCCCUUUCCACAGCAAACUCCCGUUCAAGUUCCUCUUUUUGCACAUCCAAACGCAGCUGCAAGUCUUCCUUCUGUUUCUUUUCAUUCAAAACUUCUGUCCGGAGUCGACUCAAUUCAUCCCUUAGCCGGGCUGCCUCACCCUCCGCCUCAUGAAGGCGGCCCGCAAUUGAUUCUUCUCGACCCUUUGCCUCACCCAACUCCACCCGGAGGGCUUCAUUUUCCUCUCGCAUGGUGGAUAGACUGGCCUCAGCCUCCUCCAUCCUCAGACGCAGUUGAUUUUCAAUCUCUUGGUGCCGAGAGGAGAAGGUCCUCAUAUAGUCUGCAGUCUGCAGCAGCUGAGUAAAAAGAGCGUGUUGUUGAGACAUGCUGCGGAGGCCCCUCACCAGCUAACACACAAACAAGAAAAGCAAAAACAUAAAUCAUACUACAACAAACACAUCAGUGCAACAAAAAGUCAAAAAGCAAAAACACAAGACAACGGUGUACCGUUUCUAUCAUAUCAAACAUCUUAGCAGAGGGCUUGAUGGCUUUCCAGUCAGGAGUAAUCUGCUUUAACUUAGCUUCCAACUCCGCGUAGCUGAAAGGGCUAGCGGGAGCGGCGUCAUCAGCAGAUUCCUCCUCAGAUGAGGAAGGAGAGGGUAGCUCGUGUCCCGGAAUCGGAGCCCCCAUAUUUUCAUCCGGGCACAUAGGUCCGGAUGCAUCCUCAGCCGGAAUUAUUGCCGGAGCGGCUGAGGUCUCAGUAGCCAUCUCCACCUCGCCUCCAUCCGGAUGAGCGUCAUGGGCAGAAGCGCAGCUAAUUUCAAUCUCUUGCUGCCGCUCUUGAAGCCGCUCAAAGAGUCCGGACUGUAGAUCGCGCGUCAAACGCGGCUUCUUGAGGGGAGGCCCUUUCACCAGGACUAUAGCCAGGCGAUCCGGGUCGUCGGAAGGCUGACUUUGGCUUUCUGCUCCCGCUUCCUCCAACGGGGCCGUUUCAGCUGCAUCAGCAUCCGGAUUAAGGUUGCCCGGACGGUUGAUGGAUGCAGCUUCCUCAGCCACGUUAGCCAGACGCGCAGCCGCCACCAAGGAAGGACCUGAGUGAUUCAACCCCGACAUGCGUCCGGGGCCGCUUGAGAUAGAGUGCGGAGCAGCAUUUACUGGCUCCUCUAUCAAUACUUCCCCCUCAUAGGUAGUUUGGGGAGGAGGGAACUCCUUGGGAGGAGUGGGUUCCUUCACAUCCUUCCCAUGCUUCUUCACUAGCUUCCCCCUCUUGCCUGGAAUUUUCUUCGAAGGAGGGUCCGGCCCCCCCUUCUGUCCGGGAGCCUUCCGGAUAGUGCCUUCAGUCUUUUUCUGAUCUCUAUCCUCCAGGAGCUUUCGCCGCCUUUCAGCGUCAGCCUCUUUAGCUUCCUGAUAGAGGGGGAGCUCCUUCACUGUAUAAUGCUCCCCAGGCACUAUCUCAUCCUUUGCCAGUUUCCUAGGAAGAAUAUUGAUAACAUAUUCCUGAGGCUCCCGGACGACCUCUGUCAAAUUCCGCGCGGAGAGCAAUGUUUUGUAGGCCCUCUCCUUGGGGUCUAUUUCAAAUAAUUUGCAGACGCAGGCAAAGGACGCCUUUUCCACCCAAUCCACAAGGUGGCCCCUCAAUUCCAAACCUGCAUUGUCAGCAGCAAAAGGUGAAAAUUCUGUCCGGAAAAAUCAGAAAAAAUCAGCAAAGCAAAAUCCGGAUAAAAAAUCGCAAAACAAGAUUACCCGGAAUUUUUAAGCUAUAAUUCGGAGAAAAAGGCCUCGACGGAUGCUGCGAUAGCCCCGCCCAUCCACCCCAGACUGCCACCAGCCCCUUCGCCCCUCCCUUUGUCGAAUCUGGCAGUUCUGUCACCAUUUGAAGGGAGGGCAGGUGAGCGGACACACUGAAGAUAUCAUUCUUUGCUUUCUUCAGGGAAUAGACAAAGAACAAUUCCAGUAGCGUAAGGUCGAGGCUGUACAGCAUGUUGAUAAUGCUGCAUCCCAUCAGCACCCGGACAAGGUUGGGAUGAAUGAAGAUGGGUGGAAUCUGAGAGAAGUGGAGGAAUUCCUUGAACAAGGCUGGCAGAGGGAACCGGAGCCCCGCGUUGAAUUGUUCCUUUGUGAAGAGGAUAGCGUUUUUUCCACCUUUCUCAGUAGGCAUAGCCGCCUCCUCGUUCACCAGGUCUAUCAAUACGUCAUGGGGGAUGCGGAAUCGCUCCCGAAACUCCUUCGCAUUUAGUUUAUCUAUCGCCUUUUCGCCAGCCUCGCUGACCCGGACAGACGAAACAGUCUUUUUUGGAGCCAUUUCUUACCACAAAGCCAAAGCAAAAUCUAUACGCAAAAACAAUGCAAACGGUUCAGACCAAGCAAUCAGAAAAUACACAAACCCUAACUCAAAGCCGUCAGAAAAACCCCUCAAAAACCCCUCCAAACAACAACAAAGUACCAACAUUCAACAACAAUUGCAAACGACUCGUCCAAAACAAUGCCCAAGCAAGCCAGAAAACAAGUGUAAAGAACCAGCAAACGCAACCAAAGGAACGGCAGUAGCAAAGAGAUACGUACCAAAUACAGCACCGAAGAAGAAGAACGGGUACCGCCUUGAUACAAAAUCACCAGCAGCAAACCAACAAAGUCGCGAUACAAAAGCACUGGUACAAAAGAGCUUUCGGAGUUUUUUUUCUCAGAAAAGCAAAGGGCGUAGAAAAAGCAGUAAGAAGAAAGACUCUCAAGAGAAUGCAGUAGGAAAAAAUACAAAAAGAGGUACAGUACCCUAUUUAUAGCAGGACAGCCCCUCGGAAAGCCAAACCAACAGCCAUGUUAUCAUUGAAACGACAUAUUGUCUGGGGAUACGCAGGGUCGGCGGCUCGUCAUAAAUGCCUUUUUGGCUUCCGCACCCCCACUCGCCACGUGGCCCAGUCAGACGAAGGGACUUCUUCAGUUUUCAAAAGCCAGUUAUUUUUAACCAGCCCAUUUUUUAGGCAAAAUAGGCAAGUUAAAAAGGGGGGCAAUGUAGGGACCCCUCCCCUUGGGAAACACGUGGCACGCAGCUCAUAGUGACGCGUGGCACGUGUUAUCAGCCGGACCAUCAUCAUCCGGAUUCCCUUAAGGAUAUGCAUGGUGCAGUUAUCCUAUCCGGACCGCUUCAAGGAAAGGCAAACGAGUUUCAUCUUCUCCUAUCCAAGGAAGAGCAAACGACGCUGGCAGAGCGUACACAUCCGGAUAGCCUCCACAACACAUCCGGAUAAUCAGCAUGAGCCAUCCGGAUAUAAAUCUUCUGGAUGGUCAAUUAAAGUAAAGCGAGUCUUACACGCAAUCACAACAAGCAGCCAUGGCCCACAUCCCAUCACCUGCAGAAUGAGAAGACAAGAGGAAGUGACAGCAAGUCACUUCCCACGAUCAUUCUGCAUAAUCGCUUCCCACGAUCUCUGACGGCCGCAUCACCUACCAUAGUCUCUGACAGCCAUUCGUAGGAUGAUAGUGCUCCUACUAACACCUAUUGUCAUCAUCACAACAGAAAAGAUCUCCUCACCAUUAAUGAGAGGAACAGUACCCCUGAAGCUGGAUAUAUAUACCUUCGCACGAAGAAGAAAAGGGGACCUCCUGGUAAUCUCUUGAUACCUAGAAAAAGGCCAACUGAUUUAUAUAUCUCUUUCUCACCAUGGCUAACAAAACCAUCGGAGGGUGCGUCCGGACACCCUGUCCGGAUGUCUUUUGCAGGUGCAACCACUGAAUCAAGAACCCCUUGUGUGUUGAGAAUCACGUAUCCAUCCAUAUAGCAGCAACGUGGACCAUCGGGUACGCGAGGCGACAACAGAUUUCUCAAUGAAAAUUAAAUAAGAUGUGAUCAGAAGGACCACUCAACACUGUGUCUCUUGUUCAUACCACCACCAAAUCACCACCUCAUUUGGGGUUCUCUUUUUAAUUCUAAAAUCGAUGCCUAAUAUAUAUGCAAUAAAAUCUAAAUGUCCAUUUUGGCAAUUCAUCAAUACUAAAAGUGUAUUUAGUGUGAGAUAACACAUAACCAAAAAUACUAUCAGAACAGUGUUUUCCGAAGUAUAUCUAAGCAUUCAUAAAACCUCUUCUGCUAUGGGCUAAAAGCACUCAUCCGAAUCACUUCCAAAUUGGCUAUUCUUUCAUUCUUUUCAACAGAUGUGAUUUUGCCAUUGUUUGGAUGUUUUGGCUUUCAUAUUUGCCUAUAAGAAAAAACACUGGCUGAUAUUUUUGUGGAAAUGUAAUUUAGGCAUAAGCCUGAUCUCUGAACAAAAGGGAAGGCAGUGAGUGCCUUGACAGCCCCCUUUUUGUUUCUUUUUCAUUUUUACUGGUAACCAUUUUUUGGUUCAUGGAAUCAAACCUGAAAUCUCCCCAACCCUUUCCAUCCUGAACCAGGCCCUAGGGGAUAAUGCUUAGUUCCCUGAGGGGAGCCUGAUGGCAACCCUAGGCGCACAGAACAAAGAUAACCCACUUUGUAUCCCACUAUCCUAGGUCCAAUUGCAACUUCUCCAUGUUUGUACUUGGAACAUUAUCAUUAUCUGUCGGAUUAUCAAUUGCUCAUUUGGCUUAGAGAGACCAUGUUUUGUAGUAAUAAAUGUGUUAGGAAUUUGAGGCUAAUCCAACCUAUGGUAAUCACCUUAGAGGGGGGGGUGAAUAGGGUGAUUGUCUCUUUUUCACAAAUUUAAACUAUGCAAAAAUAAGAGACAAUUAUAUGCAAAUAUAUAAUAAACAAACUAAACACAAUUGCAUAUAAUUUAAAAGAGUAGGGAAGAGAGAAUGAAAACACAAGAUUUAUAGUGGUUCGGCGCAACCCGGCCUACAUCCACUCUCCUCUAGCUUCAAUCCCAAGCUUGAGGUUCCACUAAUUCAAGGCUUCCAAACCAAGCCUUCAAGCAAUACAAUUGGAUUAUGGUUCCAAUCCACCCUCUUGGACUUUUGGCUCCAAGCACCCUUUACACUUCUCAAGAGAUACCACACUCUUGGAAAACUUCCUCUCAAAGAUUUACAAUUACAAGAUCUCACAAAAUCCUAGUACAAAAGCUUUAAGCUCAAAUGAUACAAGAAACUAGGAUUGAAUGGUGCACUAAUGAUAUGCAAGUUUUGGAACAAUGGUGCACUCAAAACACUUCUUCAAAGGCUCAAAUAUAUUCAAGAAACGUUUAGGAAGGUUAAGCUCCUUAAACAAUGAAGAUUGGAGCCUUUUUAUAGAAGAAAAAAGUCAAACUAGCCGUUUGGGGUUCGACCGGUCGAGCUGGGGGUCGACCGGUUGACUAGCCGUUAGCAUUUAAUGCUUGGCAGGUGACCGUUGGGCCUCGACCGGACCUUGACCGGACCUCGACCGGACGAGGUUCAACCUUGACCGGUUGAACAACCGUUCUGGAAGAAAGAGAAAAAUUUUGCAUUUUUUCGAACGGUCGACCGGUUACUGUUCAUACACCUCAACCGGUUGUGCUGGGGGUCAAUCGGUUACUGUUCAUCCGAUUCAACCGAUUGAGCCAUUUUUGGGUCAACACCCAACUUUUUCAACUUAAAACCUUUAAAACAAGUUUGGAAGAUAUUUGACACAAGGUUUUAAUUGAAAACAUGAAAUCAUCCAAUUUUAAAAGGAUUUAAAAUGAAUUAAAUCUUGGAUGAUUUUGGUGCAUAAGUAAAGAAUGUAAUGCAUGAAAAAACCUAGUGCACCAACAACCUUACAAAGAGAUCUUAUGAAGCUUGGGUCUUGAAAAGCACUUCUCUUUGAGGUGGUCUUCUUCUUCAUGAUUUCUCUUUGGCUUGAUAUGUCUUUGUAAUUGCCACUUUGGAAAUCAUCUUGCCUAAUCACACUUAAAAUAUAAUCAUUAGUUCUAAACAAUGUUUUGUUAUCAUCAAAACCGAGAUUAACCAAACCUUGGUUUCACAAAAUGCACCAAAUAUUGGAGUGAUGUAUUGGAACAUGAUUGUAUGACUUGUUUCCCAUCUACAGAAUUUUCUUUUGUUUUUAUCUACAUUAUGGUGGAUGUAGAGAUGAACGGGAAUGCCAUUAAUAUUUUAUUUAUUUAUUUAUCUAUUUAUUUAUUAUUAUUAUUUGUUUAUUUUUUAAUCUCACAUAGUGAAGGAUGAUUGGAUUUCUCUUCCAAAGCAUUAAUUAAAGACUUUGGUUUCUUAGAUUUCUCAAAAAAAAAAAAAAAAAUUGUACAAACGAUUCUUUUGAGCUGCGGUUUCUUCCCCUCUUCGCUUUUGGUUGAAAUCUACAACUAGGGCUUUCCCAUAGGGAAACAAUUAGAUGAUUUAAAUUGGUGUUGGCUGCAACUGAUCUUUGAGCAUUUUCUAUAUAUAAAUGAACUCGGACCCGCUAACUAUAGUAAUAAAACUAUCUUGUAAUGCUUUGUUAUUAGGAUAUUUUUCUUAGACUUGGGUUUGUUAAGAGACAGUCUUAUAUGGUUACAAGAUGUACAUGUGUCAUAUGCUCAUUGGUUUUUUUCUAUUAUUGUUAGGUGAAUUGUUAGAGAAUUUGCUUGUUAUGUCUACUAUAUAUAUUACUCUGUAAACAGCAGAAUAGUGAGAGAGAAAAAUAAAAAACAGAAAAUCACUUUACCAUUCUCAGUUCUGUUACCUUCCUUCCUCGUCUCUAUUAGUUUCUUUACAUGGUAUCAGAGCAAUUUCAAAGAAAAUUGAGACUGAAAAGAUGAUUGUCCAAUAUGUUUAAUGUUCAAACCUGUUCCAUUGCCCAUCAUGAUCUUAUCUUGCCCAACAAAUUCAGUUUUAUUCAUCAGAUUAUGAAUGUCUGGUAUGAUUUGUAGCUCCAGAAUCUGGGUACCAGCUAGAGUCAUAGGUAAAUUCAAGAGUAGUAGCAACCAUGGCAGUCAUUCGUGAUGAAUCUUGAGUAGAAGGAAACCCAUUCUAAAAUGAAGAUGGAAACAAGCAAAUUUUUGGUAAUAGAAGGAACAUGAAGAAGAUAAUUUAAAGAGAGCAUAUGACACAUGUACAUCUUGGAAACAAGCAAUGACUGAUGAAUUGAUGGCUCUUUUGAAGAAUAAUACAUGGUCCUUAGUCCCAUUACCACUUGGAAGAACACCUAUUGGCUACAAAUGGGUAUUUAAAGUGAAGGAAAACCCCAAUGGCUCAAUUCAGAAGUGCAAAGCCAGGUUAGUGGCAAAAGGGUUUCAUCAAGUUGCUGGUUUUGAUUUCAUAGAAACUUUCAGUCCAAUUGUUAAACCUGGAACAACUCGGGUUAUGCUUACUAUAGCUUUGUCUAGAGGUUGGUUAAUUCAUCAAUUAGACGUUAAUAAUGCCUUUUUGAAUGGAGUGUUGCAUGAGGAAGUUUUUAUAGAACAACCCCUUGGAUUUAUUCAGCACAACCAGUCUCAUCUUGUUUGUAAAUUGCAUAAAUCUUUAUAUGGCUUAAAACAAGCACCAAGGGCCUGGUUUGAAAAGUUAAGUACAACCCUAUAUGCCUUUGGAUUUAUCUCUGCCAAGUCAGAUCAGUCUUUGUUCAUUCGUGUGACAAAAAGUCAUUCUACCUAUAUUCUUGUAUAUGUAGAUGACAUUCUUAUCACUGGUAGUAGUGAACAAGUUGUGAUGCAUCUUAUUACCAGUUUGAAUAGAGAGUUUGCCUUAAAAGAUCUUGGAGAAGUCAACUAUUUUUUAGGGAUUGAAGUGAAUCAUACUUCUGAAGGUAUUCACCUUUCUCAAGGAAAAUACAUAACUGAUCUAUUAUGCAAAGCCAAAAUGCAAGGUGUCAAUCCUAUUUCUACUCCUAUGACCAGUGGACAGAAACUUUUAGGCUAUGGAAGUGAAUCAGUUCAAGAUGUCAAGUUGUACAGAUCAAUUGUAGGGGCUUUGCAAUAUGUAAUAGUUACUAGGCCUGAAACUGCCUAUAGUGUUAAUAUAGUAUGUCAAUAUAUGCAAGCUCCAUUAGAAUCUCAUUGGAAAGUAGUCAAAAGAAUUCUCAGAUACUUGAAAGGCACUCUUCAUCAUGGAUUACAUUUAAGAAAGUCUCCUACUCUUGAUCUUGUAGCAUUUUGUGAUGCUGAUUAGGCCUCUAAUCCUGAUGAUCAAAGAUCAACUUCAUGAUGUUGUGUAUAUUUUGGUUCAAAUUUAGUCACUUGGCAAUCAAAGAAACAACAUACUGUAUCUAGAUCAAGUACAGAAGCAGAGUACAGAAGCCUAGCUAGUUUGGUUGCAGAAAUCACUUGGCUACAAUCUCUUCUCUCAGAAAUUAAAGUCACUUUGCCUACACCACCAAUUAUUUGGUGUGAUAAUCUCAGCACUAUUAUGUUAGAUGCUAAUCUAAUAUUGCAUGCCAAGACAAAACACAUUGAAUUAGAUUUGUAUUUUGUCAGGGAAAAGGUUCUACAAAGAAACGUUUCAGUCCAACAUGUGCCUUCCAUUGAUCAAGUAGCAGAUGUCUUGACUAAAGCUGUCUCAAGCACUUAGUUUGUAAAUCUAAGAAACAAACUCAAAGUAGAAAAUCUUUAUACCUUAAGUUUGAGGGAGAAUGUUAAGAGAUAGUUUUAUAUGGUUACAAGAUGUACAUGUGUCAUAUACUCAUUGGUUUUCUUCUAUUAUUGUUAGGUGAAUUGUUAGAGAAUUUGUUGGUUAUGUCUACUAUAUAUAUUACUCUGUAAACAACAGAAUAGUGAGAGAAAAAUAAAAAACAGAAAAUUACUUUACCAUUCUCAGUUCUGUUACCUUCUUUUCUCGUCUCUGUUACUUUCUUUACAGGGUUUGAUGUUGUUGACUUUGUAUUGGAUGGAGUUGCUUGAGUCCAUAGUUGGAUAAAUCUCGAUUAGUUAAGACCUGUAGUGUUUUGGUUUAUGCUGGUUCCUUGAUGGUGAUGAAUAAGGUGGAUCUGUUUUUAUGCCCGUGAAUUUGAAGUUAAAUCUUUUGAUGUUGAAAGAAGUAAAACUGAAAGAAGAAUGCAAAUGGUAGGAGAAACCUUGUGAAACACCAUCUUUUGAUGUUGUGGAGAAACUGUUGUUUCUUCGUCGACCUCCAAGCGGAUUGAGGGAGAGGAGAAAAACGAGUGUGCUUUGACUGGAAACUAAUACCUUAGAAGAACACCAGUCGAUGGAGAACCAACUAGGAUUCCCCCAACAAACAUCCUUGCACCUUCCCAAGUAAAAAAAAAACCACUAGAGAGCAAGAAAGUGAUUGGGGUGAGGUGAGCAAGAAAGUCCUGAUAAAUGGACUACCACCGGUCUUUAUUUCACCUGGUCAAACUACAACCACUACUCCUGUCCUUUUAAAUUGCUAUGUUGUGUUUUUUGGUUGGGGUGGGGUGAGCAAGAAAGUCCAAGUCUUUCUUGUAGAACACGAUGAUACAUGUAUGACCACCGGUCUUCAUUUCUCCUACCCAAACUACAAGUCUACAAACCACCAGUCUUACCCUUACCUUUUAUUGCUAGAUUGUUUGUUUAGGGAGGGAGGGAUGUUUAGAAACAUUUUUUUUUAUUUAGAAAAUCACCUAUUAAGUUUUUCCUUAAAAAAAUAAUAAUAUAACAAUAGCUGCUAAAUAAAAAAGAGUUAGCAGAACAAAGAAUUUUUAUGAAAGCUUCUUUUAGAUUUUUGUUGGUAAUUUUUAUACGGGUUAUGAAAAUUUUAUGGUACAUCUUUAUUAUCAUACCUAAUUUUAAAUCUUGGACUUAAUGUGAAUAAAUUUGAAUUGUGAAAAAAAGGUAAAAAAAAAAAAGUGAAAAAUAUAAAUAAAUGAGAUUAAUAAAUAAAGAAAUGGAACAUCAAUCCUGAAAAUGAAAGAAUUAUUUAAUUAUAAACAAAUAAGACUUAUGUGGUUGUAUGACCAUGUUUAAUUAAUUGUCACAAAAAAAAAGUGAUUUUUUUUACAUUAGAAAAUAAAUUAUUCUUCUACAUAGAACAAAGGAAAAACAGCGAUGCAACUUUGUUCAUGUCAUUUUUUGUAAAAUCCACAUGGAUCAAGCAUAUUGAAUUACUUGUCUAAUAGAUGCCAUGCCCGGUCUAUCAUAUGAUAACUAAUUACAAAAUGUUGGUCUCCACUAACAUGACAUAGUGCAUCUUGACCUUCAUCUCCAAUAUAUGGACAAAUCCAUAUUCUUUCCAUAUAGCCCUCACACCAUAGUGCUAUAUCAUGCAAAUUUGGGUACCAAUAAUCAAACAUACUCUUUGGGUUAUUUAGAUAAUUAACUACCUAUAAUGAAUGUCAAGGGGAUCACUCCUAUCAUACCUGUUGGAGAAAGGUGACACUAUGAUAAUUAUCGAUUUACCGACUAGAAUCAAUCAUUAAUCAAGGUGAGAUUAACAUGCAAGAGCCCGUCAAGGUUAGAAAGAAAGAGCAGGAAGACUACUGUAUUUUUGAGAUAAAUGUUAUCUCCAAAAACUUCCACAUUAUCAAUUAAUGUGAAAAUUACAAUUUUAGGAUAUAUAUUAUUAAAAGGAAAAGUGUGUUUUUAUAAACAUCCUUAGAAAAAAAUCACAAUAUCAGAACUUAGGUUUGGAAAAUCCAAAUAAAGAAAGAAGAUUUUUUUUGGUACUCCUUAAUCUUUUUGAUUCAAUGUUACUUUCUCCAACCUUCUCACGUCUCUCACUUUGCUCCACUUUUCCCCUAAACCACCGACAAAUUCCCCAUUUCACGUGAACCUUAUAUGAACAAACUUAAUGAGAGUAGAUGUCAAAUUUUCAAUUUUAGCAUAAAUUUGGCUGUCAUUAGUACAGGUAAGGUGGACUAAAGACUGUAUUGGUUGAAAGAUUAAUGUGGAUGGGUUGCCAUGUCUAUAGGGUUUGGUGAAUUGGAGUGAUGGCCCAUUGAUGCCCACAUUCAUGGCUUCUUAUUCAGGCCCAUUUCUAUACACACUUUCUCCAAUAACUUCCUUUCAGUGUCAGUGGUGGGCCUUCAACUGCAUCGAGCAUCUCAAUUCUCAACUUUCCUUGCCUUAUUAAUAGGCUUAGGGAUCCAUUCUCCCAUAACCCCUUUUUCUUUUGUAUUUUUUUUCUUUUUUUGUUAUCUUUCUCCAUAAUUUAGAUCCGAAAGCCUUUAGGAAAAAGAAUAACAGAUAGGAAUUUAAAUCAUCUUUUUCUUUACAACUGAAUAAAAGAAAUUGAUUUUUAUUUUCUAAAUCAUUUGGCUAUUUUUCUUUUACUCUCUCUCUCUCUCUUUUUCAAUUUGAUCUAUGUCUCAAUUUAAUCCUUUUUUUUAAUAGCCUUAAAUUAUGUAUAAAUAUUAAAUAAGCCCUUUUAAUAAGAUUUUGUCAAAAAUGAAUGGAGAAAUCCAUGGAAUAACAAUAACUUGACUUUUUUCUAAUAUUAUAAUAUAUUUAUGUGUCUAAAUCAAACCAGUUUUUCCAUCUUCUUUUCUAAAAAAAAUUAUUAAAAUAAUAAUUUGAAUUAGAUCAUAAUUUAUGAUUGAUAUUAUUUUAAAAAAUAUUUAAGAACUAAAAUAAAAUACUAUUAUUAUAUAUAUUUGGCUCACCUCAAAAUUAAAAUCAAGCAGCCAAAACUAUAGAGUAUUCAAUUGUUUAAAUUAUGGAAAUAAUGGAAAAAUAGUGUGAAUUUUUAUUAUAUGAAAAUUAUACAAAUGGAAGGAAACAAAAAAAAUAUAAAAGAAAUUAAGAAAUUUAUGGAAGUAAAACAAAAGGGAAGAAAUUAAACAAAUAUUUAAUUCCCAAAAAUAUUAAAAAUUUUAAAUUUCAUAAUUUUUUUAUUGUUUUUUAUAAUCUUAUUCACAUCUUUAAACAAAGAAUGGGGACUUUCAAAUUGAAUGUUGAUUUUUUUUUCUUUUUAUUUUUUUUAAAUACAAAUAAAUAAAAAAGAGGGUUAAUCGUAUCAAUCUUUUCUAGUUUAGACCUAGAAGACUUAAUUCUAAAAUCAUUGAUAUUGUUUUGAAAAAUUCUAAAAUUGUUAACACGACUCAUACAUGAAGACAAAAAAAACAACCAAAUAAAAAUACCGUAAAAAAGUGCAUAUUAAAAAUUCUAUACAUUAAACUAUAUACAUAAUCUACACAAUUAAGAUAAAUAUACGAAGACUUAGCUCAUCGAGUGAAAUUUCAUACUUUUACAUUGUAAUUAUUGUGGGGUAAAAUCAUGAACUACUUCAUAUUUUAACCAAGUUUCUAGGGGAAAAAAAAAAACUACAUUGGAAAUGAUAAUUCACAUAUUCAAUAUCAAAUUACAACUAAGAAAAGAAUAAAUACUAAUUGUUGUAGUAAUGAGAAUUUGGUUAACAACAUUGUGAACAAUCACAAAAAUGUAAAUUUUGAUAUGAAAUAACAUUUGAGUAGUAUGUCUAUGGCCAAAUCCAAAUGAGAAAGUAGGGAGAAGUGUAUAACAUUCAAAAUAACCCCUAAAAUUCUAUUACAAGGCUUGCUAACUCAUUGUUUACUAGAAACUAAAAUAGCAUAUUCUAUACUUUUUAAUUUCAAUAAACCUAAUUGAAAAUGCAUCACAGAAAGCCAAAAAGGGGAAAAAGAAAAAGAAACCCUAUAACAUUGUGGACAAACAAUCUCUUGAGAUUAAGAGAAAACAAAACAAAAAUUUUUUUUUAAUGAUUUUUAAAAUAAUACAGUAAAAAUUCUAUAAAAUAAUAUUCUUGAGAUUAAGAGAAAUUAUUAUGUUAUUGAUUAUUAAUAAAUGAAUAAUUUAUUAAUUUAUUUAUAAAAAUGUUUAUUAAUUUGGUAAAAGUAAUAUUUUUUAUUGUAUCACACUUGUAUAUGUAUGAUUCGUAAAUCCAAAAAUAAUAAAUGUAGUUGAAUGUUAAUACAUAGAACCCUACCACACAUUAUCGAAGAAGGGGUAGUUAUUCAUUGUAUAAUAGAAAGACCCUUAAAACGAAGAGAUAAUGUCAAAACUCAAUAUCCUAAAAAAUAAGGAGAUUUCAAGUAUGCUAUGAUUUUGAGAAAAAGUUGAAUUAAAAAAGUUGUAAUCGGUUACUCAUUACUAUAUGAAUUUUUUGUUUGCAAUUUUUUUAUAAACCUUAUUAAUUAUUAAUUUAUAUUUUCUCGAACCUUUAAGAUUUCUAAAAAAAUUAUUAUCUUAUGCAUUUAACGAAAUUAUUAAUUUAAUACAUUGGUCGGAGUUAAACUAGAAGAUUUUACUAUUAUUUGGUUACAUUAACCUUUCAAAAAUGUGAAAAAAAAAAAAAUCAUUAAAAAAAUAAUGAGUACAAAUUUGAAAACAAUAAAUAUUUCUUGUGUGUGCUAUGAUUGAGAAAGCUAUAUUUUAGAAAGAUAGGAUUAUUUGUACAAAUAUGGGUAUCAUUGAUAGUGUAAUUUAAACCAUUUGAAAAGAACAUAAUAAAGGGAAGUUUUCAGUGAGUAAAAGCUUUGCUUUUAAACAUGUUCUUUUGUCUAGCUUUUCAGAUGGAGGAUGAAUUGCAGCUUAUCUCUCAGAAUCUCUCACCUGAUGGAUGAAAUAUCCCCCAGCAAUAGAGGGUUGGACUGCUCUAUCUUUGGUGGCCAUAUGGAUUGAGGUUGGUUAAUUAGCUUAUAGCUCAAGCUGGGUAGCUGGCUGAAGUGAGUUUGCAGUUCAAAUCCAUAGACCUGGUUCUUUACAUGAAGAAUUCAGGGAGAACUAUGUAUAUAUAUUGUCAGUUCAGAUAGUCUCAUAAGCAUCCUGGUACAAAAUACAAAAGAGUUUUGAACCAUGAAAAGACAAGCCAACUAAAAGAUUUCUCUUUCUUUUCCUUUUAUUGAUAGACAAAUGGUUUACUACCAAACCUUUCAGCCCAAAACAUACUUUUCCCUUUCCUUUUCCUACCCUAACUACAACCACCACUCCAGUCCUUAUCUUUAAUUGCUUUUAGGUCUAAUUUUUAUGGUUAGUGAACCAAUUUUUUCAAACAAAGUAGCCAAAACAUACAAUAAAGUUCAAAAAAACCAGGCAAGGCCUCAAUGAGGCAAAGCUCAUAUCCAUCCAAGGGUAACAAUAAAGACCAAGUCAAGAGAGUUACCAGAACAAAGACUUCAGUGAAGUUUCUUUUGGAUUUUUGUUGGUAAUUUUUAUAUGGUUCAAGAAAAGUCUAUGAUACAUCUUUAUUAUCAUACCUAAUUUUAAAUCUCGGCCUUAAAACAUGUGAUUAAAUUUGAAUUGGUGAACAAAAUUAUAAUAGAAAUGAGAAUUAAAUAUAAAUAAAUGAGAUUAGUAUACAAGGAAAUGAAAACUCAAUCAUGAAAGUGAAAGAAUCAUUUUAGUUAUAAAUAAAUAGAACUUAUAUGGCUGCAUAUUCAUUUUUAAUUAAUUAUCACAAAAAAUGAUUUUUGAAUACCAUAAAAUAAUUUUAAAAAUCAUUUUUAUGUCUUCUAGAUAGGCGUGAUUAAUAUAGAAAGAACGAUACAACUUUGUUCAUGUUUAUUUUAUAAAAUCUAUAUGAACCAGACAUAUCAAAUCAUAUGUUUAAUAUACGUCAAGUGGGUUCCAUCAUAAGACGACUAAUUACGAAAUGUCACAUGUCAUUGUAUGUAAUAUUACAUCUUCAAGAUCACUCUCCACUAACGUUGAUACGUAGCACAUCCCAUUCUUGAUCUUCAAUAUAUAGACAAAUCCUCUCAUAUAACCCUUACAUCAUAGUGUUAUAUUAUUUGACUUUGGGCACCAAUUUCUAAACAUAGUCUUGGGUUAUCACGAGACAUGAAUGCUCACUUACCUACUUGAGUCAAGAAUAGAGUUGGGGGAUCUAAAAUGGGCUUGUUGUAUCUUAAUGGUGAAAUUGAUCUUUUACCAUUAAACAUUUUGAGAUUGGUUUGACGGUCUUGAUUUGGUAGUUGGAAUCGAAAAUUCUUCAAAGUGGAAUCAAUAUGCAACAACCCAUCUCAACUAAAAAGAAAUAGAGGGAGACUUGUUUCUUUGGGAUGUGUCAAUCUCCAAAAACUUUCAUAUCAUCAUCGAUCUAUUAACAUGGAUGUUACUAUUUUAGAGCACCAUAACAAAGUAAGAAGAUUUUUCUAGCUCUCCUUGGUGAUCUCUUUAAUUCAAUACAACUCUCCCCAACCUUCUCACGUCUCUCACUUUACUCCACUUUCCCUUACAUUAUUGAGAAAUUCACCAUUGCAUGUGAUUAACCUACUACAUAUAAGAACCUUAUAUGAAGAAACUUAAUGAGAGUAGCUGUCAAAUUUUCAAUUUUAGCAUACAUUAGGCUGUCAUUAGUACAGGGGAGGUAAAGUAAAUAAUGAAUUGGUUGAAAGAUUAAUAUGGAUGGGUUGCCAUGUCUCUAGGGUUUGGUGAAUUGGAGUGAUGGCCCAUUGAUGCCCACAUUCAUGUCUUCUCAGGGCCAUUCUUAAACCUCCCUUCAGUGUCAGUGGUGGGCCUUCAACUACAUCAACCAUCUCAAUUCUCAACCUUCCUUGACUUGUUAAUAGGGCUAGGAAUCCAUUCUCUCAUAACCUCCUUUUUUUUUCUUUUUCUUUUUUUUUUUUAAAUUUUAUUUUCCUUCCUAUUAUUUCCUUUUUUUUUUCCUCCCUAAUUUAGAAAUCAAAUUUUAUUUUUCUAAAUCAUUUGGAUUUUUUUUAGUAAACUUUAAAGACAAUUUUACAAUUUCAUCUUUGUGGCAAUUUAAUCCUUUUUUUAAAAAAAAAAUAAUAAUUAAAACCAUAAAUUAUGUGUAAAUAUCAAACAACCCCUUUGAAUAAGAUUUUGUCAAAAUUGAAUAAAGAAAUUCAUGUACACACAACAAUAACUUGGCUUUUAUCAAAUAUUAUGAUAUUUAUGUGUCUAAAUCAUACCAAAAUUUCCAUCUAUUUCUUAACAAAAAUUCUUUAAAAAAAUUAUUUGAUAUUGGAUCAUAGUUUAUGAUUGAUAUUAUUUGAAUAAAAAUUGAAUUUUUAUUAUAUGAUAAUUGUAAAAAUGGAAGGAAACAAAAAUAUAAAGAAAUUAGUGAAAGGUAGGGAGAGAAAUUUAUGGAAGUAAAACAAAAGGGAAGAAAAAUAAAUAUUUAAUUUCCAUAAAUAUUAAUAAAAUUUAAAUUCCAUUUUUUUUUUUACUUUUUAUAACCUUAUUCACAUCUUUAAACAAAGAAUGGGUACUUUAAAUGUAGAUUUUUUCUCUUUUUUUUUUCCUCAUUGGCAUUUUUUUUAGCAAAGUCGGCUUUUCUUCACUAUUUUUAUAGUAAGAUAAAUAAAAAGAAGCUAUUUAAAAAUGAAUAGAAAAAGAAAAAAAACCAUAAAAAAUUUAUUUUAUGAUAUAUAUUAAAUUUUCUUCCUAAAAAAAUUACUGAUGAUACUUGAAUUUACCCAUUAUUAGUUAUAUAUAUAUAUAUAUAUAUAAAUUAAAAUUUCUCCCCAAUCUUUAACAUGCUGCCAACGUUUUGAAAAACUAAUAUCCAAACAAGGCCCUGACGACAUGAAUCACGUGUGUUUUCGGACUAUUCUUAUACUGAGAUUUACGAAAUAAAAAAAUAAAUAAUUUUUAUUUAUUUUAAUCAUAAUAAAAAAUAAAAAAUAUUAAAAAAAGGAAAUAAAUAAUUUUAAAAUUAUAAAUUCAAACAAGCAAAGGGGAAGGGGGGAAGAGGGAAGGGGAGGAGGAAAGGGCCAAAGGCACCGCGUAUUUUCAAAGUCGGCGAUGAUGCUGACGUCAUCACAUCUCUUUCCCUCUUCCUCUCUUAAUAAAACUUUGGCUUUUGCUUUUCAUUUCAGCAAAAGCAACCUCCCUUCUCUCUGACACCACCGUUCCAUCAAAUUUCGCCCUCCUAAUUAAUCGUCUUCCAUCCAUCGCCGAUCACCCCCUCCUUUGACCAAUCUCAAACCUUCGGAAUUCGACGCCAUAGAUCGUUCAGGUCUUCACUGCAGAAGCCUAGCUCUGAAUUAAAAGGUCAGGAUCAUUUUUCUGUUAUUUCUUUGAAACCUUAACCUAACCCUAGAGGGCCCAGAUGGCGGAUUUUGGAAACAGCUUCGGAUCAUUCGGAAAAUCCAAGUCCAGGCCCUUCUUCUUUGGUCGCUCUAUGACUGUGCGCGAAGCCCCCAUCGAGGCGCCUCAGCUUGACCGGAGCGGAUCCAUGAGGAAAUUCUACAAUUCCUUCGAAUCGGUGAUUUCUACUGGAAAUUCCAUCAAGGGGAAGGUAAAGAAGCUCUGCAGUUUAUUUGAAAAGGCGGACGAUUCACAAUCCCAGUCGCAACCCCAAUCACGAUCACAAUCACCCACUAAAUUGAAGGCCUCGAAACUCGGUACUACUGAUUUGAGGGUUUCUUCCCUUUCUGGCAAUCAUUGGAUUGGGCUACCAGGCGCUGAAGAUCGAAUUGUGGUGUAUUUCACUAGUUUGCGGGGAAUUCGGAGGACUUACGAGGAUUGUUAUGCAGUUCGGAUGAUUUUUCGUGCAUUUAGGGUUUGGGUGGACGAGAGAGACAUAUCUAUGGACUCUGCCUAUAGGAAAGAGUUGCAAUGUGUGUUGGGAGAGAAGAAUGUGAGCUUGCCACAGGUGUUUAUUAGGGGGAAGUAUAUGGGAGGGGCUGAUGUGGUGAAGCAGCUUUAUGAAACUGGUGAAUUGGCUAAGAUUCUUGAGGGCUUUCCCGUUAGGGCACCUGGGUAUGUAUGUGAGAGUUGUGGGGAUGUGAGGUUUAUUCCAUGUAUGGAUUGCAGUGGAAGCAGGAAGGUUUUUGAUGAGGAUGAAGGCUUAUUGAAGAGAUGCUUGGAGUGCAAUGAGAAUGGAUUGAUUCGAUGUCCCGAUUGUUGUUCUUGAAUUCUUUUCUAUAUGGGUGAAAGUGCUUUGGUUCUUAUAUUUUGGUGUUCUCUGAUUGAUCAAUACUAAUGAGUGUAGUAUCACUGAAUGUAUAUAGAAAUAUGUUUGCCCAUGGUUUGGAUUCAAAAACUCAUUGGAGUCAUUGGAUUUUCACUUUGUCAAUGUACAUUUUUCAUGAAUUGUGGGGUUUUAUUUUCACCACCUCUGUGAUCAAUACUAUUAAAUAAAAGGGAAUGUUUGUUGCACACAACGUUGCAAUUGCUGUACUUCAUGUCUGAUUGUUUCUCCAUCUUCGUGGGGAUGUAAAUUUGAUUCUUUCUAUACAUCUAGUAUCAAUUUGCUGUGGCAGAUUCAUCUGUUUGAGGCUUUGUCGUCAUGAUCUCUAUGAAUGGCAUUAAGAAAUACAAGCACAAAUUAUCAGAUAUAGAACUGUUGCAAAUAUAUUGAUUGUAAAUUGCAAGAGUUUUUUCAUCUUCAUAGUAGUGUAAGUCUGUUCUAUAUGUAUUUGGUAUGAUUUUUCUAAAUCAAGAUGUAAGAAAUGCCUUGAAUGAGGAACUGCCAUGGGCUGCAUGUCUUUUGCUGCUUGUGGUGAGAAUUUAAUGAAGGCAGCUUACUCCUAAUUCAGUGAAUGUUGUGAACAUGUUUAUCUAGGGUUUUUGCUCUCACCCCUUACCUUGACUUCUCUUCAUCAGUUGGCAUAAUUAUGGGUUUGCUUCAGUUUGCAAAUUCUUGCUGAGUUGUGUCAUGUCUUGAGUCCUAAUUCUUCUUAGAUGCCUAAAUUUUUUAGGGCAAAAGUUUUCAUAAUUGUAUUGUGUUCACUGGAAUUCGGGUUUCAUCUCAAAUUUUAUUCUCAUAAGUUAUUUUUUCCCCUUUUCUGUCAAAUUUUAAGAUGACACUCUUUUGCAAAAAAGUAUAAGAAGUGCAAGUUGAAGUUUCUGUUACACCUUCCUUCAUUUGGAUUCUUCUCACUGUUUGGAAUAAUGUUUUUAGGUAUAUUUUUAUUUUUAUUUUUUGAUGGGUAUGUUUUUAGGUUUAUUUUGUCCAUAAAUUUAAUGAUUUUGCUAUGGAGGGACUCUAUCCUAAUUUUGUUGUAGAACUGCUUUGCAAAUUGCUAGCCGAUUUAUUAACAUUUGUUUAUUGCUUAUUGUUGGCAGUCCACGAGCUGGCUCAUGUUUCCUUGAUUUUGCCAGACAUUUUUUCCUGUUUUUAUAUUUAAAUUUUGUUGUAAAUUGUAGCCUGAUGAACUCAAUGAGGAUGUCUGAUUUCUUAAAAUUCCCCCUUUUCCUCUGAACAGGGACUGAGUUUAUCCUUUAACUUGAUUCUUGCAUCUUGUCCCUGUCAAAGUUCAGUUGAUUAUUAUCUCUAGUUAUCCAUCUAUGCAAAGUGCUUUUGUCAAAUCAUGAAUUAUCUUUAAUAGAUGAUUUAACCACAUUUUACUGGAUUCUUCUUCCCUCAUUAUGAAAUAAAAGAUUGUCCGUUUGCCUUUGUAUUUUGUUUUUAGGUUUGAUGAAUAGGAGGAACAUAAUCCUACCUAACACCUUUUACCGCAUUUUCAAGUUGGUUUUCUUUUCAUAUCCCUUCAUAACAAUUGCUCUAUAAUUUCUUGUUGUGGCUGUAAACCCCUUAUAUCAGAUCAGUGACUCAGUCAAGGUGGAGAAAUUGAUGUUCCCCUUGAAUAUCUCCUUUUCUAUUUGUUUCUUUGGCCUAGUAGUUGUAGGGGUUUGGUUUUCUGCUUGGGUUUUUUCUGGAACCAGAAUCUAGAACAUGGGUUGUUCAGAUAUCCGGGCAUUCAGGAUAUGACAUAUUAACCCAUUUCCAUACUGGUUGUGACUGGAUUAUUUCCAGUUGAGUUAUGUCUCCAUCAACAAAAUGUUGAUUGUUACCCAGGUCUAUCCAAUUCCCAAAUUUUCCAUGUUGAGGGACACUACAGGCUCUGUUCAUUUACCAAGAAGUAGAAAAGGACACUCGUUAGAAUCUCUCACAGCGGUGCCGUAACUUUUGUUCAUUCUGCCAAAAUUCAAUGUUUGUCGUCCUCUUAGCUAUCAAACAAAAGCACUGUUACUAUGUUACUGAAAUUUUUUAGAGGAAUGAAAGGUAUUUGCUUUUUCUUUUCUUUUCUUUCUCAGGUCUUGUGCCUGCUUUUCCCUGUCUGUAUGAUAUAAUCUCAUCAGGCAGUUCCAGCAUCGCCAAGAUUUUUGUACCUUGCUUGUUGAUACAUAAUAUAAUACAAGUGGAUCCACACAUUCUCUUGUGACCGACAUAUUGUAAAAUUCCUCAAUAGUCUUAAAGAUGAGAACAAGGAUUGCAGCAAAAUAGAGCCACUAUCAGGAUGGAAAUGCAUGGCAAGGCCCCAAGUUACAUUUCCAGGAAUUUUGGCAUCAUAUGGAUCGGUUACAUUUCUGGGAAUUCGCUGUGCCUGCUAUUGACUAAGAGGAACACAUUCAAGCUCGAUCUCCAGCACUCCCCUUUCGACAUUCUGUAGUUUGAGACUGACGUCCUGCAUCACCUUCCCAUCUGUCAGGCUUAUGACACUGUCUUUUACCAGGGUGUUUUCUUUGCUUGCUACCAACUUGCCGAAUUCCAUUGGUUCAUUUAACGUGGAAUUCUCGUGGGCUAUGGCAGCAGAAACCAGAGGUUGGAUGUCAAUCUCGGCCUCCCCCAUGAAAUCAUCGGUUGAGAAUGUAUCCUUGUCAUACACAAACUGCAAGCCAUAAUUCCCAACAAGUUUUUAAUGUAAUUGAUGGUUGCCCUGCUGUAUAAAUAUAUGACAAAAUGGGGUUCAACCAAAAUGAAAAUCAAAAUAUGCAAUCUUGAGAAGUUUGUAGGCAAAAGGCCCCUUGAUUCAUCAGUAAUAUACUUCACUGGUAACUCCAAUAAGGCUAUAAUCAAAAUUCUUGGAAGUUCAUCAAACCAACCGGCUUCUAAGCAUUCUAAUCUUUUAUUGAUCUAAUGCUACUGGUUAGAGAGACGUCCCCAUGGUAGCAGAAUGUAGAGGUAAACUGUCAUAGAGAGCUUGUUUUUAUGUCCAGCCCAUGUUCUGACAGCAUCUAACCAAUGUUUAAUGUUAUAAACAGAAAUGGAGUUUACCAUGUGCAGAAGAGGAUGGAGGGCUAGUUUUUAUCAAUUACUUUGUGCUAUACAAAGACAAAGUUCAGUUUUAGUCUCUAAUAACUAAUGACCAAGAAUAAAUUGAAUCUUAUCUCCUAAGCUCAAGUGCAGACCCCUAGCAAAAAACCAUUCCACUCCCGUGCAUAGCCUCUAAUAGUUCUUCCCCAUACAGUCAUUUUGCAGACUCUAGUUCAGAUCAUAUGGUAGGACUAAAGCAGUGAUAUACCUGAAUAAGUAGCACAUGCUAUGAUACGGUUCACAUAUAUUAGAUGAAGAGCAAGGACAGGUAAAUGUGGAUUUUUAAUAUUUUAGUUGUGUUUUAAUUUCACACGUAUGCAUUUUAUACAUGUAGAGAUUAGAGGCAAACGUACCACUCUUAAUGGUGGAAUUUGUUCUGGAAUUGACAACAUUAACCUUUCAUUCCAUACUGGAUUAAGGUUGUUCUUUAUGACACGCGUCUUCACCGACUGCAACAAGAUAUGUGAUUAUUGACACAAUUCCUUUCAUUUUCAAUUUAGUAAUAAUAAUAAGAAAGUUGAUCAGUUCUGUGCAGUGGGAGAAGAGGCUCACUUGUUGUCCCAAUGCAAGGAGAACGUAUGGAUCACUUGUCAUUACAUCACGGACAGCUAGGUUGGUGCCUUUGACUACAUUGACCUUUAUCAAUCCAACAAAUUCGAUCAUGCCUGCCUGUAGGAGUACAACAAGGGUAUAAGAUUUAGUAUUGAUGUAAAAUUUCCAUCCAAGGUGAUGACUUGGUGAUACAUUUUGAUGCUCGCAUGUGUUUAGUUUGUAUAUCAUCAAUGCAACAUGGAAUACCAUUAAUUAGUUUGUAUCAUGUUUCAUAAAACAUGGUUUCCACAAAGAAUACCUUUUGAGAGUAUCAUCUCAAGGAAGAGAAGCCCCAAGAAGCCUAAUUCAAGUUAACAAUCAAAAAGUGGCCAGACACAUCAGUUUCUUCCCUGGUAACAGCCCAAGUAGAACUGAAGAAAUCUGAGAAAUAUGCUGUUCUUGUUCUCAAACAACCUUUGGAAUGAAAAUGGAUUUUUGCAGCAAAUUUAGCAGAGCACACUUCUAUAGUAGCAUAUUGAAGUAGAAAUGAAAGCAAAUCCAAACACCCCUUGAGCGAGCUGAUAAAAAUAAAGCCUUGAUCAUACAAAAUUAUUACCGAUGAGCUGCUCUUCUUGACAGGCUUGUGCUCAGGCUCUUUUCUUCUCCAACUAUUGCGAAAUGCCAGCCCAAGUCCAUGGAGACGAUGGGUAGUUGUCUGUUUCUCAUAGUGCUUCUUCUCUGGGGGUAAACCAGACUGAUUGCUUGAAGAACCACCUUGGGAGGAUGGUGAGCACAAACCUUGAGGUGGAAAGGGGCAGAACAUCUGUUCAUCAGAGUUGAAAAAUUGUUGCAUCUCAUAUUUUCUCCUGAGUAUUCAAGAAGUGGGUUUCUGAUUCAGCAUGGUAUAAGUUCCCAUUAGAAAUUUAUGCCAAGUGUAUUAAUAGUAAUACCUAAUGAAAUCAGAGCGUUCCUCUGUAGAGGAAUCUGGUCUUGGUUUUCUGAUGUAGUCCGGAAUGGAAGCUUCAUACUUCAUGUUUGCCUCACUGUUUCCACCCAUACCCGUCAACGUAUCAACCUGUUCAUCUGUCCAUUCAUCUAGCUUAAUUGAUAAAACCUGCAUCAUAAGCAUCAUAUGAAUGUAGAAAUUUGUUAUACAAGCGUGAAAACUUUAUGAUACAUUUUGGUGCAUGAAUAUUACUCAACUCCUGAUUUAUAAAUCAAAUAGGGUUUUCAUAUUAGUAUCAACCAUCUGGCCCUCAUGCUGGACUGAGCAGCAGAUUCAGCCUUAUGGUUUUUUAUGUUGCCUUACAGAAACUGUGCUGACAAAGCAAACAGACAAAUUAAGACAACAUGGCAUUUACUUGAUAUUCUUAAAUCCUGUCACAAAAGAGAUAGGGAAACAAAGCUACACUGUAAUAGGUUUUUAGGUAGCUCUUAUAGUGUUCUUGUAACAGAUACAGAGUCUAUAAAUGCUCAUAUUCCAAUCACAGGAUGCUUAACUGAUAAACUGUCAUCAAGAUGUGCUUGAUGUAGGAAAAUAAUGGUAAGAUACUACUCAUAAUAGAAACUAUAAAGAGAUGGAAAGACUUGUUGGUUUGGGCAUGUGAAACACUUCCAUUAAGAGUAGAUCCAGCCCUGGAAGACUGUCUCCAAGUAGCAGGUGGAUGUCACCCUUUACUAUCUAGGAUACGAUAACCAAUAUGCAACAAUUAUCAAUAAGCGAUUCUUUUCCUCUAGAAGCAGAAAUAGAGACAAGUGAAUGGAAGCAGAGAUAGCAAGCUAGAGGAAGCAAGAAGACAGAGAGGAUAGAGACAAGUGAAACUAUGGUGGCAGAGAGGCAAAGAAACAGGAGGAAGAAGACUUGAGGCUGUUGAAGAGACUGACCCUCAUGUCAGCAAUGGGGUACAGGCUGUUGAAAGAAAAUGAUUCUUCCGGUAGCAAAAGCUAGGGUUUCACUUUCUUGAAGGUAUGAAGAAAAAUUCAAAAAGCAGAGAGAACAGGUUCCAAAAAUAUUUUCUGUAAUGAAAGAAGAGAUUUGACCAACUUAGUCUCGUAUGCAUGUGAGAACAGUACACCCCAUGAUCCCAUAAUUCCACUAAGGCUUAAGUGUAUUCCAUAGCUAUCAUGAAGGUUCUACUUUUAAUUCAACAUGUACAAAGGUCUUUCCCUUGUUUAUGAGAAGCCAAGACUGUUGGAAGGAAAAAGCUGAAUCCAUGAUUGUUCACUUCUUUAUAUCAUCAGCCUCUCCAUGAUUGAUCACUUCUUUAUGUCAUCUGCCUCUUUCUUUGUUCUUUAGAAAGGAAGAAUUCCUCACACAGAAUUCUGAAGGUCUUAAAAUGCCUAAUUAGUGCCAUUAUGUGCAGCUGUGACAUUAUGUUAGUUGAAUAUAAUUAGAAAUUAAAAAAUUAUAAGAUAGGAGCUUAAGAAGAAUACUUUGGACACAGUACCUUUGAGACAUGUGCUCCGAGGCUUCUAUGUACACCAGAACACUUGAUACAAAUAAAUACUCCAAGACUUACAGAUCUGAUAUUCAAAUGAAAUGAUGACAAUGCAGUAUAAGUUGAAUAGGCACAGAGCAAUGAAGAAACUUAUGUAAAUGCAUGUAUACACCAAGGAAGAUUGAUUUGGAAUGUUAUUUCAAUAAACAUAAGAAAAAGGAGAGCUGCUUGACAUUUAUAUUACACAUGUUCCCUAAUCUUAACAAACCGAAAUGAAAAUUUUGAGUUUGCUUUCAAAUUAGAGAAAUAUAUCCACAAUUAGAUGACAUAUCAAAUACAAAAUAGGAGAAAAACAAAUCCAUUUUACUAGCUCUGUUACAUUUGUAAUAUGCAGCAUAUUAAAUGGAAACAAAUAAGAGAAUAUGUUGAGGGCCACAAUGAUGUAGCAAAAGAUUUGGAAAACUUUGAACAGUGAUUAGGUAAUGCAAGAUGCACAUUUGAACUAAUAUUGCUCAUAUUUCUCUUUUAUCAAGAAAACAAAGAAACCAUACAAGGGUUUUGACAUGGAAAUGGAACAGCCUCACUUAUUUUUUAUUACAAACAAUAGAAUCAGUACUUACAGCAUGAGUGGCCGAAUCAGCAAUUCUUUUUUCAUUCUAUGCCCCAGACCCCUUCGUCAACCAGGCUUGGGCAGGACAGCAGACCAAGUACAGGUGCUGGGAAUCGUGUUAGGCCUAAUUCCUACUAGUUCGGCUGGAUUAUUUGCAGAUGUACUUUUACAUUACUGACAUGGUGAUCAGUAGGGCUUUUGAUAAAUUAUGUAUUUUUUAAUCCACAGGAGAUCAAAUUCAGAUUUCUGUUUCAAGUUAAUCCCAUGUACCUUCAGAGAUCCUUAGAUUCCUAGGCAGUUUCAGUAUACAUCACACACAACAAAAUUCUAGGCAACUUAGCUACCCUCCUGAAAUGAGGUGCUAAUAAUUUAGUUGCAUUGAAUGUUAAAAUUCUGCUGCUAGAAGUAUUGGUUAAAGUUUCUUUAAGAUACGUACACAUUUACAGUAUGAUUUCCACCAGUCCACAUCCAUGGAUGAUAUGAUCCAUGGGGCCAGUUCUCAAAUAUUCAAUAUGUCACAUUUGUAUUAUUUAUUUCAUGGUCAAAAGCAUAUGAUCAGAGCCUUUACCUUUUAUCUUAUAUGGAUUUGGUACAAAUUUCUCACAAUAGUUCACUUUGACCAUUAUCAUCAGUAGACAAAAAUAUCAAAAGCAAAAAUUCCUGGUUCACUCACCAGUAAACAGAAUACUUACACCCAUUUUGGAUCUGGAGAUCCACAAUCUGCACAAAUGUUAUUUCCUGAUUGACACAAAAGAUUCUCCAACCUUCCUCGUGGACCUGAUCAAUGAAAAACGUAGAGAAUAUGGACAAGGUUAUCUUAACUUUAUUAAGUCAAAGCUUCCAAGAGACAUCAAAGGAGAUAUAUUUCUUCAACCAGCAUUUCAAAUAUUAUGGCCAUAUGAUAGUAGUUAUAAGUAAUGGAGAUUGAAUAUUGCUCUAUAGAAAACACAUAUGGUAAGACAAGCAUUUACCAACACUAGAUGACUAUAAAGACAAUUUUGAGCAUAGGAAUGAUUCAUGAAAGUAACAAGCAAGCAAGUAAUGAUCAGAAGUUCAAUGGUUAGAAAUUGAUGGAAGCUACUGAUUAACCUACACAAGAUGGGGGAACUAACCCUUCAUUAUUCAUUUGAUUAUAUGUCAAAAUGGUUGGAUGACCAUGUUCAAGAAUUACAAAAAAGAAAAGAAAAGAAAAGAAAAGGAACAUCUAAUAGGCAUUGGUUCACAUUCAUAAUGUAGAUGAAUGAAGAUCCACUACAUAAGAAAAGCAACCAUUAAUUUUAUUGGUUCAUCAAAAUAAUUAAAUGCUCAUGAUAGGCAUACAUAUUUCUGUAAGUGUUAUAUUCAUACAUGUAGACCGGAUAUCCUCGACAAAUACACUUUUUAAUAAACUUGUUUAUAGUAUUUUGAAAUCUAAUUUAGGAUUACUCGUCUCUCCUGCUUAUAAAACUAAAAUACAAGUGGAAAAGAAACUUGGAGGUCAUUAAACUAAUGCAUUCAAUAUAUAGCUUUUUCUUGAGAUAUGGUUGGAGAUUGCUCCUAGAACUAUGCAUUCAAUGUGGAGGUUCAUUACAACUAUAAACUGGUAGGCAUUAUGUUUCAAACUUAUAAACCCCAUAGUUUACUACAUAAGGCAGAAUUAUAUAUGCUGCAUGCUAAGGCUCAACAAAAAUCAUAAGUAAAUAUCACCAUAAAUGGCGUUGAAUUAUUCCCUUUUCGAGGAAAAUCGAUCAAGUGUGCUUCUGCAGGAAAAUACCAAAAUAUAAAGGAUAAAUAUGCUUCUCUACAGUUGAAAUUAAAUGUGAUAACCUUCAAGCAAAGAAAUCUUUUAGGAAAUUAGAUUAAGUGAUUUCAUGGUAAUUAGUAACCUUGGUCUUUAUGUGUCAUAUGUUUCACUGUUACUUUUAGAAUAUCACUGUUUAGUUGUAACAUGAAAUGCAAACCAGAUCAGAUAGAUUAGUACAUGCAAAAGUGAAAUCAAGUUGAAAUACUGAAACAGCAUCACUUAUUGCCCAAAAAGAGUAACAACUAAAACAAUAGACUCAAAUAUUAAGCUCAAGAUACCAGAAGAUGUUUGUCCUUCCUUUCGACAAUUCCAAUAGAUGUCUGAACGUAAGAGGUCCAGUAGGGAAGACCCUGUUCCUACAAACCCAACAACAUCCUUUAAGAAAAUCUCAUUUUUCAUAAGAAGUUUAACAUCAUAAGCACUUUUUAUCUCUUGCUUACUAAAAGUAAGUCAUAAUUCAAAAGUAAAAUACUCAUUGAGGAUAGAUAAGCAAUAAGCGGUCUAAAUCAUACAAGAUCAGGAUGAGAAACAUCAGCAUGCUGUCAAAUGAAAACUAAUUUAACCAUGUUGCUGAGAGAAACACCAAUACUUUGAUAACUAACAAGAUUCAGAAAGAUACAACCCGACUUAGAGAAAAAAUGUUCCAGCCAUGAUACCAUACUGACAUUAUUAUAGAGAUUUGAGGGCCAAUCAUGAUGAAGCGUAAUUUGAGAAAUUGGGUACUUUCCAGGUAUGACUGGGAUACACUAAUGAAACAGCCUAAUAACUUUAAGGUACGGUGGGGUUCAAAACAACACUAGGCUUCUCAUGAUUAAUAAAGUAUGGAUAAUUUGGAAUAAAACUUAUUAAAUGAGAGAAACUUUAUGUAGAAUAGUGUAAAAUUAAUGGCUUUAAUUACUUGAACCAAAGUGGCCCUCAUCAAAUUUCAUUUCAAAGAGUAGCAUUCAGCUUUCAAGACUACCAAUAAUCAUAAGUUAAUUACAGAAUGUACGAUAAGUUAACAAAAAUUCUUCUAGUUACCACAUGUGUAAAUUAAUAUUAUAGUUGAGUAUAUAUGGGUCUUUUAGUGAUGUAUUCCAGCUGUAUCAAUAUCCUAUAUUUCUAUAGUUUGCCCUGUCAAUGUCUAGGUAUUGUUGUGACUUUCUUGUAUCCAUGUCUAUGCUACAUGGAGAAGAGACAACAUGACAGCAAUGGUAACAUUAAACUAAACUAAAUGGAUAAAUACAUUGAUAAAAGAUCUAAUAGAGCAAUAAAAGAUCAUGUAUGAAGUUCAUCUUCCAAAGAUCAGGGACAUGGCUAUGUCACAACCAAAUUAAUUGCAAUGAGCUCAUUGGCAAUCCACACCAAAGAAUAAAUAACUGAGAGGCUGAAACAGGCAGAAAAGCAAACCUUUUAUGUUGGAGGAGUAAACAAUAGAGGAUGCCUAUUGCAAUCCUUCAACAGGUAAUGAAGACUCGAAACAGAGGCUGAACUAGCAAAAUCUGAUCCCAGCCAGCCCCGUCUCUUAGGGAACAAUCAUAAUGAGUAAGAAAAUGAAUUGAGGAUAUGUACAUGGAGGCAUAGGGAGCAGAAAUGGACAGUAUGUAUACAACGUAACAGUCAGAAAAAUAUAAGCUGUGGUGGCAUGUUUAAACACAGUAGUGAAGGUAAAAACAAAGCAAAUGGAUUGUUUAUUUCAUAUUCAGAGAUUAGGCAGUAGAGUUGGUUCAACUAUUGAUAUGAAAAGAAGAACCAGCUUAUCAAAUCGAGGUCCUUGAAACAGAUUAAUAAAUCAGAGGUACAAAACACAGUAAAAGCGGAAAAUAAACAAGGUUAUAAAAUUAACCUAUUCUGAAUGUUAUCCAACCUAAAUGCUCAACCAAAACACGCAUCACUCUCCACAUAAGUUAAGUUUGAAUCUCACAAUGCAUCAGACUUGCUCCGCAUGAUUAACUUUUAACAUGUAGUAUUCAUAAUAAACAAAGGGAGUCAAAAUAGAAGCUACAAUGUCAUACCUACCCUCAUCAACAAGAGAUGGGCAAAAAAGGUUUGUAGAGCACCACUGCCCCUCCUCCCCUUCUCCACCCUCCCCACCCCUCCAUACCUCCUCCACCCAAUGGACAUAAUUUGGGCAAUCUCUGAUGCCAAUCCCGGAAGGAACUGAUAUAAAAGAUUUGAUCUCAAAAUUCUAUAUACCUAAAAUUGGUUUAACAAUUGAUUUUCAGUUGGAAAAAAUCUUAAUAUCUUCAUUGAAAGUCAGCUGUCUCCCAUACCAAAGGCUAAUCCACUGAUCUCUUUAUCUUCCCAUAUCACUCCAGUCUUCCAGCUUCUUUUCCCAACAUGGCAAACUAUCUUUUCUGGUCUUGAAGCAUAUGAGGUAAAAGAUUGUUAAAAAACACUUAGACCCAUCAUAUUCAUCUAAUUUGGAGCGUCUCAACCCAUAGUCAGGAAAACAGAUAUAUACUGUUUUCCAUCCCUAUCUCUAUCAUUUACUCGUUUCAUCAUUCAAAGAAAAAAAGAAUCAUAUAUUCUUUCUCUCAAGCAGUUUAAAAUUCUACGCUUUCAGGGUAUGAUCUUAGUUUCUAGUCCACAAAUCUCCACCAUGAUUCAGUGAACUGCAUGAACCACCCCAAACUCCACUUUCCACUAAUGAAUUUAUGACCCGGGCCUUUCACUUACAUAUCUAAAGAAUGAGGGAUAUAUGAUUCUUGUUAUCAUAGAAACAUGGCCAAGAAAAAGACUAAAAACUCAGGGACCACCAGAGAGUCAUGAUUAGGUUCUCUGUUUGGUGCUCCGCUGACAAAAGUACAAAGCAAAAAAUUGCAGUUUAAAUUAUGAGAAACUAAUUGUAGGCUUGUCACAGUUUACCUCAAAGAACUAAUAAAAUUAAACCAUUUCCAAAACUAAAAAAUGCUUUUGCCAAUUCUUUAACUGUUGGUCUAACAGUCAAAACAACAUCAAUUGGCUGUUGGAUGACAUUAUUUUUAACUGCAAAUACAAGACCAGAUAAUUUGCAACCAACAAAUUACAUUAUAAAACCUUGUUCAUCUAUUUCACUAUAAUUAUCCUAUUUUUAUUCAAUUCUAAUAUAUAUAUUGAUUUUCCUUUUGAAAAAUUAUCAUAAUUUUGAAACUUAUGUUCAAACUAAUUUUCCCAAAUUCACCCAAUUCCAAAACAACAAUCCUGGUUUGGCCAAUACCCAUUUAUCAAUUUUGUUUUGCAGACAAACUCUAUAAUCAUAGUUCCUUUCUGUAACUUUUCAGGGUUAGCAACAGAAAUCAUAGCCUUCUAUCCCACACCACAAAAAUUCUUUUUCUCACAGAAAUAUGGGAAAACUAAUUAAAGGAAAAGAACAAGCCCAUCAGCUCUUAACCUUCCUUGUACCCUUCUACCAAUCGGUACAUGAAUUCAUUUGCCAAAAUUAUACAUACAUCAAAACAAGAGAGGGAACAAUUGAAUUUUUACAAAUAAUCAAGAACUUAGGCAUAAAAUUUACAAUAAAAACCAGAGAAAUUUACCAGAACCAUUGUUGGAAUCUGUAUUGUCUUGCCGUGUGGGCAUUUUGAGUCCCCAAGCGUUCAGACCCAGGUCAUCAAAUACAGCUAAAAUCUGAAUAUACCCAUCGUUCCUCUGUAUGCAGCAAAAUCCAAAUCAACCCAGAUAUCAAAACACAUUCAUAAUUCAAAACAUGAGGAACAGAGGAUGAACAGAGCAUUAAAUUUGAAAAGGGUACUCACAGAUACAAUGAAAAAACAAAACCUUUGAUUGAAGUUGGAGAUGAAUUGAUUAUCAAUAAUGGAUUGUGCCACCCAAAAGGAAAUUUAAAUACAAUUUGUAUUUGGAUAAUGGAAUUAUUUGGGAAAGAAACAAAGCCAAGAUUCAGGAUAAUGAUACGGGUAUGAUGAGAAGAAUCAGAACUUGGCUUUUUUUCUUUCCAACCAUUUUUUUUUCAGUUUUUUUUUAAUAAAAUAUAAAUGCCACCAAAAAAGUCAAGGUGGACAUUGGAUUUUGGGAAUGACCCAGCUUUUUGGUUGGUUGGUUGGUUUAUCAAUGCUGGAGCACUUCUGUAUCCCAACCGCUGCCAUAGCGCGUGUAAUACACUCUCGUUUAAAACGUAAAAAUUAAAAAUAAAUAAAUAAAAGAUAGAAAUAAAUCAAGCAAAAUUUGAGAUUUUUUUUUUCAUCAGGAAAAUUGAUUCGAUUAUUAUUUUUCAAUUAAUUAAAAAUUUCGAAUAUUUUAUCUUUAAAUAUAAUUUUAGCUAAUUUAAAGCAUUUUGUUAAAAAAAAUUUAAAUCAUAUUAAAUUUACUUCUAAAGAGUUGAAAGUUCUUUUCAAUUUCAAUGAGAAUUUUAUUUAGGUAAUUUUGUUAAAAAAUAUUUAUUUUUUAAAAAAAGAUCAUUCCGGCUUUUUCCUUUGAUUUCACACUUAUUAGCUGAUGUUUUGAAAGAGUUUUUGAUAAAAUAAAAAGAAAAAAAAAUAGAAAAGUAAAUUUUCAAAUUAUGAGUUCUCUUCCACUCGUUAAUUCACGAGGGCAAAAUAGAAGUAAUUAUUCUCUAGUUCUUUGAAAUGUUAGAGUAUAUUUGAAAGUCUAUAUCUUAUAAAAUUGAUUUUUAGAUUAGGAGGGUGUCCGGUAAAAUAACUUAAUGACUUAAUUUAAAUUAUUAAAUAAAUUAAAUAUAUUAAUUAAAAUAACCUAAUAUCAUAACUAAAUUUUUUUUAAAUAAUUUUAAAUAUUAAGUUAAAAUAAUUAACUUAUUCUUACUUAAAUAUAAUAUUAUAUUAAAAAAUAAUUCAAAAUUUAUAUAAAUUAAGCCGUUAACUUAUUAUUAAGCUGAUUUAUUAAAUACUUGCCCAAAGUGAAUAAACAAGCCUUUUAAAACUUUGUCUCAUGGGCUCGAGGGGGACGUUGCGGGUGAGACACCCACCAAACCGACCAACCUCAACGUGCAAUACAUUACAUGGAAGAGAUAAAGCUCCAAGAAGUUGAGAUAAAGCUGUCCACGUUUUAUCUGGAAAAUCAUGAUUUUGUGAAUUGGUUGAGUUGGGUUUCAACACUCUUAUUUAAGGGGUUGUAAUUAAGGUAGUAAGUCCUUCAAUAAAUAGGAAUUAACUUAAAGGGGUAAACUUGUAUUUAGGUGUCAAUUAAUGUACCUUUUAAUUUCAAUUCAUAAAGAAAGAAGAUUUAAAAAAGAUAAUUAAUUUAGAAUUUUGAAACUCUUUCCAUGAAUCAUGCUUGGUUGCAGUUCUAUUUAUUUAUUUAUUUUUAUUUUUAAAAAUUUUGGUUGAAUAUUGUAGAAUGAUCAAGAAGUAAAGAAAGUAAAAUAAUUUUUUUUACAAUUUUUUUAUUUUUAGAAACAAGAUACAAGGUGGAUGCAUGGGAAUUUAUCUCUAUAUAUAGUUUAUGCAUUUUUUUUUUCAAUAGGAUAAUUUGUAUAUUUUAUCAUUGAAAUUAAUUUCACCCAAAGCGAUGGAAAUCAUUCGGCACAAUCCAAUGUGAUGUUGCUUAGGAAUUGUAUUAAAUGUUACAAAAAUGUAUUAAUACUACAAGAAAUUAGGUUUUUAGCAAUAAAAUAUUUUGUCACUAAAAAUUUGAAUUUUGCCUACAAAAGCAUUUUUUUUUUAUGAAAAGUAUUUCAUGUCUUAUUUGUCGCCUUACACUCGUCAUUGAAAGUAUCCAAUGAAAAGUCCAAUUUCAUCUACUAAAGUUUUUCCUGAUAAAAUAUAAAUUUAAUUUGUAAAGGGUUUCUCCAAAGAAAUAUUGCAUCAAGAAAGGGACAAAUUUUCAUCAUUGAAAAAGAAAAAAAAAAUGUCCCAAAACAUUAUUAAUGAUUAAAAGUGACAAAUUCAUUUUGUUGCCAAAUUUUUAAUAAAAAAUAAUUGCCUAUAAAAAAUAUCAUCAAUGAAUUAUAAAUUUAUUGUAGAUGAUAUGAGAACAUUUAAUAUCAAAAUAUGUUUCAUUGGGAAAUAUCUUUAUUUAUGUGGUUACAUAUAAAUAAAAUUGGAUUUUUAAUAAUUCUUAAUGGAGGUAAUUUUUCUUGAAAAUUAAAUUUAUUAAGUCUUGAACUUAUGAAAAUAAUUUAAUUUUAAAAAAUUUAAGGAAAUAAAUCUUAUGAAUUAACAAUAAUUUUAAGAAGAAUUUAUAGCUUUUUGAAUACUUGAAAGAUAAAAAUUUUCAAUUAUUAGAAAUGUUAGAAGUACUUAAAACAAAGGAGAAAAGUUUACUUUUGGAAAAAUUAUUCUCAAGGAUUUUAAAACAUUUAUUUUAAAAUUAUUUUAUAAGAAUAUUUGUUGAUAAAGUUUUUCUUAUUGGAUAAAGUGUUUUCCAUGUUUUUUCAAUUUUUUUUUCAAUUUCCUUAUUACACCAAUCCUCAAUUAAUGGAACAAUUAAAUAUUUUUUUAAAAAAAUUUCAAGAUGGAUAAUUUAUUAUUAAGGGAAUUACUAAAAGUUGUAUUUUUAGUAAUUUUUAAUGACAUAAAUUAUUAUGAAAAUAAUAUUCCAUAUUUAAGGAUAUUUAUUAAAUUGAAAAGGUGUAGGAAUAAUGAAAAUAAGUAUUAGGAGGAAUUUUAAAUAUGAGAGCUAAAGUUCCAUCUUAAAUUUAUUCUUUAAUAUUUAAAAUAUUUUCUUUAAGUUUAUUUUUGAGAAUCCUUAAGAAUUAAUUUUUUUUUUAGUUGGAUAAGAUGCUCUUUAUUUUUCAAAAGUUUCAUAAAUUGGAAGUUUUCUUAUUACACAAGAGAUUCCAAUUUGGGCAAUAAGUAUUUUGAAAAUUUUCGUUAGAGAUAAUUUAUUAUUAAAGGACACUACCAUGAAGGUUUAGUAAAACUUAAUUAGUAAGUUGAUGGAAAUAGAUUUCUUUGAAAAUACUAAAGUUCCCUUUUAAAUUUAUUAUUUAUGAUUUAAACUGAAUCUCAGAAGAAUUAAAUAUUUCUUAAUUAGAUAAAGUGCUCUCAAUCUUUCAAAAUAUCAUAAAUCAGAAGUUUUCUUAUUACACAAGAGAUUCCAACAUGGAGAAUAAGUAUUUAGCAAUUUUUAUUAGAGAUAAUUUAUCAUUAAAGGACAAUGCCAAGAAGGUUUAAUGAAACUUAGCAAUUUAAUGAAAAUAGAUUUCUUUGAAGAUAUUUCCAAGAUAAAAUAUUUAUUAAAAUUAACAUAUGUGAAAGAAGGAGAAUUUUAUGAAAAUAGAUUUUAAAAUCUAAAAGUAAAGAUUUUAUCUAAUUAGCUUUUGGAUAAAAUACUCUCAUAUAAAUUUUAAGAUUUUCAAAAUUUUGUUAUUCUAGGCUUCCAAUUAGGAAAUAAAUAUUUCUUUAGAAAUGUUCAUAGAAGAUGAUUUAUUCAUUAAGGUAAUUAUUAAGGUUUUGAAAGCUCUUAAUUACUUCAAAAUAUUAAGUGGGAAUGGACCCUCGGCAAGCUCAUAGCUUCCAAGAUCAACUCAUCUUGAUUUGGCUUAUUAUGUACUAUCCUAAAGACGGUUUGGUCCAAGAAAUCAAAGGAUAUGAACUGUGAAUUUUCUUAAGAAUAAGAUUACAUAUGUUUGUAGUGAGAGUAGUCAAUCCUAAAGAUGAAACUUUUCAUUUAGUCCUAAGAGCAUUACAUUAUUGUUAAACUUACCAACUACCUCGAAUGCUCAUUGAUCAAUGCAUGAAUUUAAUUAUUUUUAUAGGUAUCAUCUCUUUCUAUUCCUAUCACCUCUAUUUUCUCAAGUGGACCUCAUCAAGUGAACUAGAAAAAUAAUUUAGAUAUAGUAACUAACAACAUAAAAGCUAAAAUAGGUAACAUAUAGAGCUAACCAAUCCUUAUGAACAAACCUAGUAAGAAGAAAAAGUGGUAUAUAUAUCAAAGAUGACCUAAGAUGGAUUCGAAUACCAAGUGUCUCAUACUUAGGUGUUUGGAUAAUGUGUUGUAACAACAACAUAUGUUUAUUGUCAUGGUCUAUAACAUUCUUUUUAGUUUGCAAGGAAUAUUUGGUGAUAAGGGUGGAUCAUUUAGAUAAAUUGCCCUUAGGAUUAUUAUGAACACGAGGUUUGUGUGAUCUUAAAGACCUCAUUGAAUUCCUUUAGGAUGACUAAGGGGAUUCUCAAGGAUUAGAAGAAUGUUCAUAUGGAAGUCAAAGGUUUUUCAAAUUCUUCUACCAUGAAUAAGAAGAACAAUACUAGAUAAGAAAAGUUUAAUAUAAGGAAUGGAAAAACAAGCUCUAGAUAGUUAUUCUUUUGUGACCUUUUUUGGACAUUGGAAAAAGAAUGUUCGGAUCACCUAAUGAAAAUGGAAAGUGCACAUCAUAUUGUCAUUGUUAAAUGUAUAGUGGUAGAUACAUUCUAGGCCCAAUAUUUGCAAUUCUUUACAGGUUUUCAAAAAGUGAGAAGGUUACAUGAUAAGAAUGUAGUUACCUUAGCCUUGGUUGCAAGAUUAACUAUGUAGGCUAGUGGGAGAUACUACUUCUUUCUUGUAUUACUCUACUACCACUCUUUCCUAAUAAUAGGAAUUGUCUAAUCUCACUAAAAUUAAGGAUCCAAAAACUAGAUGUCUAGGACAUUUGACAUUUUUAUUCUAGAAGAACUUUUAGUCUAUGAAUCUUGUAUAGAAGGUAAAAUGAUCAAGAUAGUCCUUUACUACUAAAGAACAUAGAGCUAAGGAAUAUUUGGAAUUAGUAUAUAAUGAAAUGUGUGUGACUUUUAGUGUUCAUGCAUGGAGAGGGUAUGAGUACUUCAUCACUUUUAUUGAUGAUUACUCUAGGUUUAGUUAUAUGUACCUAAUAUGUAGAUAAUUCAAUGCCUCAGAUAAAUUCAUUUAACUUAAGACAGAAUUGGAUAAUCUAUUGGAUAAACAUAUUAAGACACUUUAAUUAGAUCAAAGUAGUGAGCUUAUAUCUAGUAAGUUUGAUCAUUUCCUUAGCGAGUAUGUGAUUAUAUCUUAGUUGAAUGCACUCGAAAUGUCAUUGCAAAAUAGAGGAGAGAAGAAAUGUUAUUUUUAUUAAUGAAAAAGGAAAAUACUUCCAACUUUGAAGGUCAUAGGGUACGAAUAUAGAAUAUUCUAAUGAUUCUUCAUUUUUUAAUCUUAUCCUUUUCCAUGGUGUUUUUGCUAGAUCUUUUUAAUGGGUUCCUUCUAGAGUUUAUAGAUAAUGAUAUCAUAAGCUCUAGGAUAGUGUGAUUUUAUUUCAUCAUUUCCCAAGCUUUUAUAAAAAAGUAAAGUGUUUGUGACAUUGAAUUUUGGGGGGUUGUAUUUAUUAUUCUAACAUGUGGUAUUGUACAAAGCAUUUAGUUGUAGACUAGAGGUCAUUAGAAUCUUAACAUUUUUUCCUUGCAUUUUUUUUUUCAAACAUAUUAUUAGAUAAACUUUAUUCCAUUCUUUUUCUAGUUUUUCCCAUUGUAAGUGAAAAAAAAAAUCUUAUUCUUGAAUUGUUAUGUUUUACGCUCUACGAACCACCAUAAAAAGGAGGAGGGAGGGGGGAUUGAGCAGUUAUUCUUGCUCAUAUGAUAAUGUGUUGGAUUGAACAUCCAUGACUACGAUUAAUAUUAUAAAAUAAAAAUGGUAUGCUGCUUAUUAGUUGUUGUAUGUAUAAUUUAAAAGUUUUAUGUUCUUCCUAUCUCUAUUUACAGGUUGCAAAGGCAACUAGUUUGUCAAAAAAAAAAAAAAAAAAAUCAUUACACCGAAAAUCAUGAAGAUUGCAUCAAUGAAAUCAUUAGGAGGUUGAAUUAGGUUUUUCUAUAUUAUGAUUUAUCUUUGUAGUCAUUACACUACUGUUUAUUCAUGUGUUGAAAGAAAAUUAUAAUUUUUUUAUUGAAAUAUUUUGAUUUAAUUAACAAAUUUUCUUCAAUAACUAUCCUUGACUCAUGCUGAUUUUCUUAUAUUCAAAUCCAUUAAAUCAAAGGAAAAUACUAAAGUACCAUAGUGGUACCUAUCGAACAAAAAAUUUACAUUAUUAAAUAUGAUUAAUGGUGAGAUCUAGACUAUUAAAUAAUUGUAUGAACGAAUAAAAUUAAGGUAUAAUGAUACAAAUAAAUGAGACUAGAAUGUAAAUAAUAAGAUUAGAAAAUAUAUAUUUAACACUACUUGAUCGAUGAUGUCUUUUCGAUAGGUAUAAAAAAAAGUACGAUUCGAUAUACUGAAACCCCAUUCAAAUGUUACCAUUUUUUCUCGGGAUGGAAGGACAAUGUUUUGUUCAUCACAUAAUAUUAGCCUGGCCCUUACGGCAAAUUCUCUUUCAUACGUUCAAAAACCAUAACAGCCAUUCAUUUCAUUAGAAAUUCUCCAGCACAGUUUUCUUCCAUGGACUUGACUUAUUGAUACAGAAAGUUGACCGCGACCAAUCUUAUGGACACCAAUUUUAUGAAUAAAAUGUAAGCUUAAUCUUGUCAUUAUGUCAUCAUGCUUGCGAGCUCAUUGGUUUACCCAUAAUCAUUCCAUAGAUCAUAUUUGUGUUUGAUGUAUGUAUGUUAGAAGAUUUAACUUAGUCUUCAUGGAGCUUGAAAGUCAUUUUUUAUUUUUUUUAAUAUUUCUAAGUUUUUUAUUUGAAAGUUAGAAAUUGAAAAAAAAAUAAGCAUUUUUUUUAAUUACCAUUUGAUAUAAAUUUUUUUUCAGAAAUCAUUUUUUCUUUAGCAAAAUAUUAUCAAUAAAAUAAAUAAAUAAAUAAAAACCCACUUGGGUUAUAUCUAAAUAUUAAGGGUGACUGAAUGCUAAAAAUCCAAGAAUCCUAUGCUCCAGCUUAAACAGGAAAAAGUAGUUAUCUAACACAUUAGGGAGGAAGAGGUCUCAUCUGAGCGAGGCUGAUGGAAACUGGUCAUCGAAGCAGUCAACACGGUUGUCAUUUAGUGAGGUUUUACCAAAAUGAGAAGCCCAUGAAAUUUUCCUGCUCCUGGGGUUCUCACCAUUGAAAACUACACAAUCCAUGGAAACCACGUUCAAAAUUUCUACGACCAUUAGCUAGCACAACAUAAACCAUUUCUUCUGGAUCUGUUGUACAAUUUGGGACUGAUUUCUGCAAAGUAACUAACCAUGGCUUUUGUUGGAGAGGCUUUUCUAUCUGCUUCCAUUCAGAAGCUUGUCGAUAUGUUGGCCUGCCCCGACCUCCGGAAGUUCGCCCGCGAAGAACAAGUCCACGCCGAGCUCAAGAAGUGGGAGGGAAUACUGCUGAAAAUCCAUGCAGUGCUUCAUGAUGCUGAGGAGAAGCAGAUGACUAAUCGGUUCGUGCAGAUAUGGUUAGCCGAGCUCAGAGACUUGGCCUAUGAUGUUGAGGACAUCUUGGACGACUUCGCCACUGAAGCUUUACGGCGCAACCUGAUCAAAGAUGAUCCUCAGCCAAGUACUAGUACGGUACGCAGCCUCAUCUCCUCCUUAUCUUCUCGUUUCAAUCCAAAUGCUUUGGUGUAUAAUCUCAAUAUGGGGUCUAAGAUAGAGGAGAUCACUGCAAGAUUACAUGAGAUUUCUACCCAAAAGGGUGACCUGGAUUUGAGAGAGAAUGUUGAAGGGAGGUCCCACAGGAAGAGAAAAAGAGUCCCUGAAACAGCUUCUCUGGUGGUCGAGUCUCGUGUUUAUGGCAGGGAAACUGAUAAAGAGGCGAUACUUGAAGUGUUGCUGAGGGAUGAAUUGAUUCAUGAUAAUGAAGUCUGCGUGAUUCCUAUAGUCGGCAUGGGAGGUGUCGGCAAAACUACACUUGCCCAGCUUGCCUACAACGACGACAGAGUGAAGAAUCACUUUGAUCUGAGGGCUUGGGUUUGUGUUUCUGAUGAUUUUGAUGUUUUGAGGAUAACAAAAACGCUUUUACAGUCAAUUGCUUCUUAUACCCGUGAGAUCAAUGAUCUAAACUUGCUUCAAGUCAAGAUGAAAGAGAAAUUGUCUGGAAAGAAGUUUCUGCUUGUUCUAGAUGAUGUCUGGAACGAGAACUAUGACAAAUGGGAUAGCUUGUGCACUCCCUUGCGAGCUGGGGGACCUGGAAGUAAGGUUAUCAUCACUACUCGCAACAUGGGUGUCGCGACACUUACCAGAACGGUUUCGCCUUACCUUCUGCAGGAGCUGUCAAAUGAUGAUUGUCGAGCUGUGUUCGCGCAGCAUGCAUUGGGAGCAAGGAACUUUGAAGCUCAUCCGCACUUGAAAAUAAUUGGAGAGGAAAUGGUGAACAGGUGCAGGGGCUUGCCUUUGGUGGCAAAGGCCCUAGGAGGCAUCUUGCGAAAUGAACUAAACCAUGAGGCAUGGGACGAUAUAUUGAAGAGUAAGAUCUGGGAUCUACCAGAAGAGAAAAGUGGUGUUCUUCCAGCUCUCAAAUUGAGCUAUCAUCACCUGCCAUCUCAUCUGAAGCAGUGCUUUGCUUAUUGCGCUAUUUUUCCCAAGGGAUAUGAAUUCAAAAAGGAUGAAUUAAUCCUUUUAUGGAUGGGAGAAGGAUUUCUGCAGCAAACAAAAGGGAAGAAGCGAAUGGAGGACUUAGGUUCCAAAUACUUCUCUGAGUUGUUAUCAAGGUCGUUCUUUCAACAAUCAAGUAACAUAAUGCCACGAUUCAUGAUGCAUGAUCUCAUCCAUGAUUUGGCUCAAUCUAUUGCCGGAAAUGUAUGUUUGAAUUUGGAGGAUAAGUUGGAGAAUAAUGAGAAUAUUUUUCAAAAGGCUCGCCAUUUGUCAUUCAUUCGUCAGGCCAAUGAGAUCUUCAAAAAAUUUGAAGUUGUCGAUAAAGGGAAGUAUCUUAGAACUUUUCUAGCUUUACCCAUCAGUGUAUCAUUUAUGAAAAGUUUGUCAUUCAUAACUACGAAGGUGACACAUGACCUCUUAAUGGAAAUGAAAUGCUUACGGGUACUAUCUUUAAGUGGCUAUAAGAUGAGUGAUCUGCCGAGUUCAAUUGAUAAUUUGAGUCACCUACGAUAUCUCAAUCUAUGUCGCUCUUCAAUUAAAAGGUUACCUAAUUCAGUAGGUCAUCUGUAUAAUUUACAAACCUUAAUAUUACGAGAUUGUUGGAGUCUCACUGAGAUGCCUGUGGGGAUGGGAAAUUUAAUCAACCUUCGACAUCUUGAUAUUGCUGGGACAAGUCAAUUAGAAGAGAUGCCCCCACGAAUGGGCAGCCUGACAAAUUUGCAAACAUUGUCUAAGUUUAUUGUGGGGAAAGGUAACGGGUCGAGCAUACAAGAAUUGAAGCACUUGUUGGAUCUUCAAGGAGAACUUUCCAUUCAAGGAUUGCAUAAUGUGAGAAAUACUCGAGAUGCAAUGGAUGCUUGUUUAAAGAAUAAGUGCCACAUUGAAGAACUAACAAUGGGAUGGAGUGGUGAUUUUGAUGAUUCACGAAAUGAAUUGAAUGAAAUGCUUGUGCUCGAGUUGCUACAACCUCAAAGAAAUCUGAAAAAGCUCACAGUUGAGUUCUAUGGAGGACCGAAAUUCCCAAGCUGGAUAGGGAAUCCUUCAUUCUCAAAAAUGGAGUCCCUGACCCUUAAAAAUUGUGGAAAAUGCACAUCGCUACCAUGUCUUGGACGACUAUCUCUACUCAAAGCCUUGCGCAUUCAAGGAAUGUGUAAAGUUAAAACCAUAGGUGAUGAAUUUUUUGGGGAGGUCUCUCUUUUCCAGCCUUUUCCAUGCUUGGAGUCUCUAAGGUUUGAGGAUAUGCCAGAAUGGGAAGACUGGUGUUUUUCUGAUAUGGUUGAGGAAUGUGAAGGAUUAUUUUCUUGCCUUCGAGAGCUUAGAAUAAGGGAAUGUCCCAAACUGACUGGAAGCUUGCCCAAUUGCCUACCUUCUCUGGCAGAGCUCGAAAUUUUUGAAUGCCCAAAGUUGAAGGCUGCACUUCCAAGACUUGCAUAUGUUUGUAGCUUAAACGUUGUAGAAUGUAAUGAGGUUGUGUUGAGAAACGGGGUUGAUCUGAGCUCCCUCACUACACUAAACAUUCAGAGAAUUUCCAGAUUAACUUGUCUAAGGGAAGGAUUUACCCAGUUGUUAGCAGCCCUUCAAAAACUGGUGAUAAGAGGAUGUGGGGAGAUGACAUCUUUGUGGGAGAACAGAUUUGGAUUAGAAUGCCUUCGGGGUCUUGAAAGUAUAGAUAUCUGGCAGUGCCAUGGACUUGUAUCCUUGGAGGAGCAAAGGCUGCCGUGCAAUCUCAAACAUUUGAAAAUAGAAAACUGUGCUAACCUGCAGAGGCUGCCUAAUGGUCUGCAACGUCUCACAUGUCUUGAAGAGUUGUCAUUACAGAGUUGCCCCAAACUGGAGUCAUUUCCAGAGAUGGGCUUGCCACCGAUGCUGAGAAGUCUCGUGCUGCAGAAAUGCAACACUCUGAAGUUACUACCUCAUAAUUACAACUCAGGUUUCCUUGAAUAUUUGGAGAUUGAACACUGCCCAUGCCUCAUUAGCUUUCCAGAAGGUGAGCUGCCUGCCUCACUUAAGCAACUGAAGAUCAAGGAUUGUGCAAAUCUACAGACUCUGCCAGAGGGAAUGACGCACCACAAUUCUAUGGUUAGCAACAACUCUUGUUGUCUUGAAGUCUUGGAGAUCAGAAAAUGUUCAUCCCUUCCAUCCCUUCCAACAGGCGAGCUACCCUCCACCCUUAAGCGGCUUGAGAUAUGGGACUGCAGGCAAUUUCAACCAAUUUCAGAGAAGAUGCUGCACAGCAAUACUGCACUUGAACAUUUGUCCAUUUCCAAUUAUCCAAACAUGAAAAUCCUUCCAGGAUUCCUCCACAGUCUCACGUAUCUCUAUAUAUAUGGUUGUCAAGGUCUUGUGUCCUUUCCAGAAAGGGGCUUGCCCACUCCCAAUCUCAGAGACCUUUAUAUUAACAACUGUGAGAACCUGAAGUCCCUUCCUCAUCAAAUGCAGAACCUUUUAUCUCUUCAAGAACUGAAUAUUAGGAAUUGUCAGGGCUUGGAGUCAUUUCCAGAAUGCGGUUUGGCCCCCAACCUUACUUCGCUCUCAAUCAGAGAUUGUGUGAAUCUGAAGGUGCCAUUAUCUGAAUGGGGCCUCCACAGGCUCACUUCUCUUUCAUCACUGUACAUUUCCGGUGUAUGUCCAAGUCUGGCAUCUCUUUCAGAUGAUGAGUGUCUUCUUCCUACAACUCUGAGCAAACUUUUUAUCAGUAAGCUGGAUUCCCUGGUCUGUCUGGCUCUCAAAAACCUCUCUUCCCUUGAAAGGAUAUCCAUCUACAGAUGCCCUAAGCUCCGGUCCAUUGGGCUGCCUGAAACGCUAUCAAGACUUGAAAUAAGGGAUUGCUAACAACAUCCCAAGAUGAAUUCUGCGCCCUGUAUAAAAAAAGGGAAAAAAAAACUCACUCAGGUAUGCCUAUUUGCAACUCAAUCCCAGUUUCAUAUUGUCCUGUUAAUCUGAUUUUCCAUGUGUUUAUUGAAGGCUUGGGUGGGCGGUGGCUUUUGACAGCAUCACCGGCUUAUGGCUAAAACCGAGUGUAAAAUCUCUUGCCCUGCUUAAGCUGUUUUGUUCUUAUUUGUUUCAGAUCAAGGAAGCCGUUCAAUGACUCACUUGUCGUUUGCAUUGUGUUUUUCCCUCCUUCAACAAGGUAUGCCUACUGCCUAUUCACAGUGUGCAUCUCCCAUUUUCAUUGGCAAAAUUCUGAGUUCAUUUCGAAAUAAAGAAUGGAAAUUUCUCUCUACUACAUACAGGAAGGAAAGAAAUAAAGAAGAAUAGAAACAUAUGAAAUCCAAAAUUUCCGAACAUUAAGCAGCAAAUUCACAUGGUGAUGGUAUGUUUUUUACCUCAAUCUUAGGUGAUUAUCUAUUUUGUUUUUCCUUUUGACAAUUCCCGAUAUGGGUUCCCCAAUUUUGUAAGUGGAUGGUUCCUUUUUGGAAUUUCUUAUUUCAGGUAGGAAGAAAAGAAUGAUGAAGGUGGUCAGUGCUUAUCAGGACUUGUUUUUCUGGUUUCUGCUAUUGUACACAAGCAUGAAUAUGUAUGCUAUUCUCAGUUACAUAUCAUAUACUUCUAUUGAUUUAUUUAUUUUCCAACUUCAAGUAAAGGUUGGUGUAGCGUAGUGUUUAUGACUUGUUCUAUUAUACUCCUCAAGCUGUUGUUGCAGAGGGGCCAGUUGCCUUCUCUUCUGCUUUCACACAGCAAUUUGAUUAGGCCCAAAUGCCAUAACCACCCCUUAAUUAACACUUACUCCAAGGCUUAACGAUUUGAAGGCUCCUGAUGGGACUUGACUAUCCCACAACACACCUAUCCUAAGGCUCUUUUUACCUAUAGUAUGUCUUAACAAUCACAACGGAGACUGACCAUCCCACAACACACCUGUCUUGAGGACUUUGGGCUUGCCUUACACACCUAUCCUGGGAUUAUUGUUUUAGCUAUCAUUUUCUCAAUGAGUCAUAGACUCGUAAUAUCACAUACCUAACAACUCUUCCCUUAACAUUCCAUUUCUAUACCUUAACCCCAUGACCUAGUUCCAAUACCACUUUUUGUAUGUUUGGAAAAAACUUUGAUAUCACUUGUUGUGUUGGAAAAAGCUCUAACAUUGAUUUAAUUAACUAUUUUUAUAUCCAUGGAUGAAAGAAAAUAAUUUCAUUGUACCAUAAAAAUAUUAUAAAUGACAAAAAAAAUCUCAUAUUUCUCUACUCCUUAUAUAUAUCUACACAUUGAAUCAUGAGCUAUUAUUCUACUUGGGGUUUUUCACUAGAUCUUUCUCAUAUUUCUAUCUAUCAUACAUAGUUUUUAUAAACUCAUUUUCAUCGUGUAAAUUUUUUGCUUUAAAAUAUAGAAAAUUUGUAAAGAUAUUUUAAUAACUUUUCUGGUAUAAAAAAAUCUAAUAUUAUAAUAUCAUAUCAACAUAGCAAAUAUUGUAUGUAAAAUUCAAUACAAUAUAUAUAUAUAUAUAUAUAUAUAUAUAUAUAUAUAUAUAUAUUAAUUAAGAAUUUGAGAUAGAUGACAACUAAUAAGGAAUAUAUACUAACUAGUCGAAUCCCAUUAAAUUUCAUGUACUUCUUUGUGUGAUUUUAUUAAAGCCAAGAAAAAUGGAACAUGUAAGAAAAUUGUAGAAGAAAUUUUGGUUAAAGGUGGAAUAAAUUAUUCUCUAAUAAGAAUGUAAUAUAUAAAACAUAUACUUCAUUAUCUGUAAUAAAUAUGGUCUUUCCUACGUAUUUAUUGGAUCUUGAAAGGUGGAAAUUAUGAAGUGGUCGAAUAGUCUAGUGCAUGAGGGGACCAUGGCUUAUGAGGGGACCAUGGUACACAAGAGGACCAUGGCUUAGGCGGAGACCAUGACAUGCGGAGAAGUUGUGGUAUGAAGUGAAAAUAUGGUUAAGAAAAGUAACCAAGUGGAGUAUAAUAACUGGUUGCCUUGAUUAUGGUAUAGUAAAGCAAUCGAGUGCAUCAAUAGAAAUAUGUGCAAAAAAUCUAUGCGUGUGUGUGAUGAAAUAUGUGUUACGAAGAGAAAAGAUUAACUCCAUGAAAUUUAAUCCAAGUUAGAAAGUGUCUCAAAUUACCAUUUUGCAUAUUCAUUUGAUAAAAGAAAUAUGGUUUUAUUAUUUGGCAUUUUCUAAAAAAGCUUAGGAUAUAUUUUUUAAAAUUAAUUAAUUUAUUAAAACCAAUUAAAUAAGUAAAAAGCUGCCAUUUUCCCUAUCUUCUUAUGGUCUUCUCUAAUGGGCAUUAGUUCACAUUUCACCUCACGAAUAUGAACUCAGAAGAGCAGCCCAUGUGCGGCAUUUUCAACAUACCAACCCUGUCGACCAACCGAGAAUAAGUCCAAGGACAUCCACUAAAGGUCUCACAUUUUGUAUUUUUGUGACUGGAACAGUCACUUUCCAUCGUUCAGACCGUCUGGACCGUCACUUCCACGGAAUUCAUUGCCGUAUUUCGUAUUUCCAAAUACUUUUCUUCUGAAGAGUUGCAGACUUCCCCUAAUCAUUUUUUAGCUACAAACUUUUCUUCUGAAGAAUAUCUAAUAUCUUACAGAUCUGUUGCAGAGAGUUCCCUUAAUCAAUCCCUUGUUACCCACAAGAAAAGAAAAAAAAAAGAAAAAGGAGAAAACAUGGCUGGUUUUGUUGGAGAAGCCGUUUUUUCUGGGUUCAUUCAGAAGUUGGUCAACAUGGUCGCCUCGCCGGAGCUCUGGAAGUACGCAUGUGAAGAGCAAGUGGAUUCUGAGCUGAACAAGUGGAAGAAAAUAUUGAUGAAGAUCUACGCAGUGCUCCAUGACGCAGAGGAGAAGCAGAUGACAAACCCCCUGGUGAAGAUGUGGCUACACGACGUCAGAGACUUGGCUUAUGAUGUGGAGGACAUCUUGGACGACUUCGCCACCCAAGCUUUGCGACGCAACUUGAUCGUGGCUCAACCCCAACCGCCCACUGGUACCGUUCGGAGCGUUUUAUCUUAUGUGUCUACUAGUCUCACUUUGAGUGCUGCUUGGUCCAAUUUAAGUAUGGGUUCCAAGAUAGAGGAGAUCACUGCCAGAUUACAAGAUAUUUCAGCCCAAAAAAGGCAACUGGAUUUAAGAGAUAUUUCUGCAGGUUGGUCUGGUAGAAAGAGACUACGGAGACUGCCAUCCACUUCUUUGGUGAUUGAAUCUCGUAUUUAUGGCAGGGAAACAGAUAAAGCUGCCAUACUUGCCAUGCUGCUCAAGGAUGAUCCAAGUGAUGAUGAAGUCUGCGUGAUCCCUAUCGUCGGCAUGGGAGGUAUAGGCAAAACUACUCUUGCUCAACUUGCGUUUAAUGACAAUAAAGUGAAGGAUCAUUUUGAUUUGCGAGCUUGGGUCUGUGUUUCCGAUGAUUUUGAUGUUUUGAGGGUGACCAAAACUAUUCUGCAAUCACUUUCUCCACAUACACGUUAUGCCAACAAUCUUAAUUUGCUUCAGAUUGAGCUCAGGGAGAAACUUUACCGGAAGAAAUUUCUUCUUAUCUUGGACGACGUUUGGAAUGAGAAUUUUGAUGAAUGGGAUAUUUUGUGCAUGCCGAUGAGAGCCGGAGCGUCAGGUAGUAAGCUUAUUGUCACAACCCGUAAUAAAGGGGUUGUAUCUGUUACCGGAACUUGUUCAGCUUAUCCCCUUCAGGAGUUAUCAUAUGAUGAUUGUCUAUCUUUAUUCACCCGACAUGCAUUAGGGGCAAGAAACUUUGAUGCUUAUCCACACCUGAAAGAAGUUGGAGAGGAGAUAGUCAGAAGGUGCAAAGGCCUGCCUUUGGCAGCAAAGGCGCUUGGUGGCAUGUUGCGCAAUCAACUAAAUCGCAGAGCAUGGGAAGAUAUAUUAACAAGCAAGAUAUGGGAUCUCCCGGAGGAGAAAAGUCAUAUUCUUCCGGCUCUCAAGCUAAGCUACCAUCAUCUUCCUUCUCAUUUGAAGCGGUGUUUUGCUUAUUGCUCGAUAUUUCCAAAAGACUAUGAAUUCGACAAAGAUGAAUUAAUCCUAUUAUGGAUGGCAGAAGGUUUUCUGCAACAAACAAAGGGAGAGAACCAGCCUGAGAAGUUAGGUUGUGAGUACUUUGAUGAUUUAUUCUCAAGGUCAUUUUUUCAACAAUCAACUCAAAAUUCAUCCCAAUUUUUAAUGCAUGAUCUUGUUAACGAUUUAGCACAAUCUAUUGCUGGAGACAUAUGCUUUAAUUUGGACGAUGAGUUAGAGAAUAAUAAGCAAUCCACGGCUGUUUCAGAGAAGGCUCGUCAUUUGUCAUUCAAUCGUCAACGUUAUGAGAUGAUGAGAAAAUUCGAAGCGUUUCAUAAGGCUAAGUGUUUGCGGACGUUAGUUGCUUUGCCACUCACUACUUUUUCUACAUAUUUCAUUUCAAGUAAGGUGCUAGAUGACCUUUUAAAAGAAAUGAAAUGUUUGCGGGUAUUGUCAUUAAGCGGUUAUUUCAUAAGUGAGAUGUUACCAAAUUCCAUAGGUGGUUUGAAACAUCUGCGCGCGCUAUUUGAAUUUAUCUGAUUCUUUGAUGAAUAGGUUACCCGAUUCAGUGGGUCAUCUUCAUAAUUUGCAAACACUGAUAUUACGCAAUUGCUAUAGACUUGUUGAGUUGCCUAUGGGAAUUGGAGGCCUCAUCAACCUUCGACAUGUUGAUAUUUCUGGUGCAGUUCAACUACAGGAGAUGCCCCCUCAAAUGGGAAACUUAACCAAUUUGCAAACAUUAUCCGACUUUAUUGUGGGCAAAGGUAGCAGGUCGGGUAUCAAAGAAUUAAAGAAUUUGUUGGGUCUCCAAGGAAAGCUUUCCAUUUCAGGGUUGCAUAAUGUGGUAGAUAUUCAAGAUGCAAGGAGUGUUAAUUUACAGAAGAAGCAGAACAUCAAAGAGUUAACACUGAAAUGGAGCAGUGAUUUUGGUGAAUCAAGAAAUAAAAUGAAUGAGACGCUUGUUUUAGAGUGGCUACAACCUCAUAGAAAUCUGGAAAAGCUCACCAUUGCAUUCUAUGGUGGACCAAACUUUCCAAGUUGGAUAAAGAAUCCCUCAUUCCCUUUAAUGACACACUUGGUUCUCAAGAAUUGCAAGAUAUGCACAUUGUUACCGGCUCUCGGCCAAUUAUCCUUACUCAAAAACUUGCAUAUCGAAGGGAUGAGUGAAGUUAGAACCAUAGAUGAGGAGUUUUAUGGAGGGAUUGUCAAGUCUUUUCCAUCCUUGGAGUUUCUGAAGUUUGAAAAUAUGCCAACAUGGAAAGAUUGGUUUUUUCCAGAUGCAGAUGAACAAGUGGGACCAUUUCCAUUCCUUCGAGAACUUACAAUAAGGAGAUGCUCAAAGCUAGGUAUACAGUUGCCUUAUUGCCUACCUUCUCUGGUUAAACUUGAUAUCUUUGGGUGUCCAAAUUUGAAAGUUCCCUUUUCAGGAUUUGCAUCUCUUGGUGAAUUAAGUUUAGAAGAAUGUGAAGGGGUGGUGUUCAGAAGUGGGGUUGGUAGUUGUCUUGAAACAUUAGCUAUUGGACGGUGUCACUGGCUUGUAACGUUGGAGGAGCAAAUGCUACCUUGCAAACUUAAAAUUUUGAAAAUACAAGACUGUGCUAACCUGGAGGAGCUGCCAAACGGAUUGCAAAGUCUCAUUUCUCUCCAAGAGUUGAAAUUAGAGAGGUGCCCCAAACUGGUUUCAUUUCCAGAGGCCGCUUUGUCACCCUUGCUCAGAUCUCUGGUGCUGCAGAACUGCCCAUCUCUCAUAUGCUUUCCAAAUGGUGAGCUGCCCACCACGCUCAAGCAUCUGAGGGUUGAAGAUUGUGAAAAUUUGGAGUCUCUACCAGAGGGAAUGAUGCACCACAAGUCCUCUUCCACUGUAAGCAAAAACACUUGUUGCCUUGAAAAAUUGUGGAUAAAGAAUUGUUCCUCUCUCAAGUUCUUUCCAACAGGGGAGUUACCCUCCACCCUUGAGCUCCUUUGUAUUUGGGGAUGUGCAAACUUGGAGUCAAUGUCAGAGAAAAUGUCACCCAAUGGCACAGCUCUUGAAUAUUUAGACAUAAGGGGCUAUCCAAAUCUGAAAAUCCUACCAGAAUGCCUUACAAGCCUCAAGGAGCUCCACAUAGAAGAUUGUGGAGGUCUGGAGUGUUUUCCAAAAAGAGGGUUGUCCACCCCCAACCUCAGGCACCUUCGUAUUUGGAGAUGUGUGAAUCUCAGGUCCCUUCCGCAUCAAAUGAAAAACCUCACAUCUCUUCACGUUCUCAGCAUACGGGGUUGUCCAGGAGUGGAGUCCUUUCCAGAAGCGGGCUUGCCCGCCAAUCUAACAUCACUUUAUGUUGGAUGGUGUGAGAAUCUGAAAAAACCCAUAUCUGAAUGGAGCCUCUAUACCUUCACCUCUCUUUCUGCAUUGACCAUUUGUAGAGUGUUUCCCAAUAUGGCUUCUUUUUCGGAUGAAGAGUGUCUGCUUCCUCCAUCUCUGACCUAUCUUUCCAUCAGUGAACUGGAAUCUUUAACCUCCAUGGCUCUCCAAAAUCUGGUGUCUCUAAAAGAACUAGCUUUUUAUUGGUGCCGCAAGCUCAGGUCCUUGGAGCUGCCUGCAACACUUGGAAGACUUGAAAUCAGUGAUUGUCCUAUAAUAAAAGAAAGCUGCUCAAAGGAGAAGGGAGGAUAUUGGCCCAACAUCGCCCACAUCCCCUGCAUUCAAAUAGAUGGCUCAUACAUCCAUUGAAAGAUAGCAGAGUCAGAUUGAAAUACACUUUUCUCUUGUCAAGAAGGAGGAAUCCUUUCAAAUUCAUGCUUACAUUAUUCAGUCAGACUGAGAUUGAAUUACAACCCCCUUCUGCUUUUCUAGCCUUUGUUUACUUUCCAAUAUUUCCAAUAUUUCGUGCUCGAAAGUAUUUCAAGAGAUCCAAUGAUUCUGAAAUUGUAUGUAAUUAUUUCUCUUCAUAAUGCUGGUGAAGUUAUAACCAAUUUAUGUUCUUGCCUCAUACAUUCAGAGGGAUACGGCUUGGUAGAGAUGUGGCAGGAAGCAGAGGGUGAAGAUGACAGAAGAUCUUUGACAGAGGUUACUCACUGAGCUGGGGGCUAGGGAUUUGAGCACAUAGCUUCUUACAAAGAAGUUACUUCCCAAUAUUGUGGGAGUAUUGUGAUUUGAUUGUAUUGUCUUACUAUGAAAGUGGGGUGAUCAAAUUGACCACAUUGGUGAUGAUCAAUAAAGCCACGGGAAUGGUUAGGAUUAACAUUUACAUCAUUAUUCAUCCUGAUCUCAAUUGUCCCACUUUGGUUAUGAAGUGUUGCCUUAUUGUGAAAGGGGUUUUCAAAUUGACUACAUACUCUUACACCAUUUGUUAUGCUCAAAGUAGUCAUCUAAUCUAACAACCAAUUAAUUGCUCAAAAGAUCAAUGUGUUUAUGUGAUUCAAGGAACAUCAAAUUAGUCAUAAGCUAAUACAAUCUUAAGGUCAACACUAAGAUGAUAAUACUACUAAUGGGUUGUUAUUAAUUUAUAUUAAAGUAUUAGAGUUGUACAUAAUUCUAUAAAUUUUCAAAUUAUUAGAGAACAAAAUAAUUUUCUAAAUGCUUGGGAAGAAAGAUGCAUAUAUAAAUAACAUGAUUAGCAUAAUUAAGUGGAGUUGAUUUUUGUUACAAAGAAGGAACCAUAAAACCAAUGGGGGUACAUCAUUUCCUUUAUGUUAUAGGAAAUUGCCUUAGAAUGUAGCACUGCUUCCAAUAUUAUUUGCAUAAACAGAAUAUAUAAUUAUAAUUAUUAUAUAUAUAUAUAUAUAUAUAUAUAUAUAUAUAUAUAUAUAUAUAUCUAUAUAUAUUAAAAUCCCUUCAAAAAUGUAUAAAAAGCUGUUAACAUUUGUGUCCCCUUCCCCUUGUCUCCCUUCAGUGAUGCAUAUUAAUUCAUCUUUCACCUCAAUGAGCGGUGCUUGAUAUUGACAUGGUGGGUAUGGAAACCGUGUGGACCUCCCAUUGAUUGAACCAUUGAAUCCAAUGCCAGCCUCCCAGUUUCAAAAUAUCAAAGCCAUUCAACCAUGAUAUUAACAUGAUUAAAAUAUCAACAUAGUUUCUCAACAUGAUGAUAACUGAUCUUUAAAUGUUUUAGGAAAACAUUCAAGUGCUCGAAUUCGAAUUCAAAUCAAGGGGAAAAGGGCUUAGAUGCAACAUAGUAAAUUGUUUUGGAUUUCCUUGAAACAUAGUAAAUUUAGUAUUUUUUUCUGCAAGCGUUUAUAAUUAAUGGACUUAGAUGUGGAUACCUAGAUGCAGUUUUCUAUUCCAAUAUUAGAGUUGCUAUGGAAAAGAUGAAUGAAGGAAACCUAUAAAUGAUGAAACUUAAGCUAGCCAAGGACGCAGAGGAUUCAAGUUGGUGCCGAAUCAAAGAAUGAAGAAUCAUGCAUUGCUUUCCAAAUAUUCCUAACUUGUAAUGUUUACUUGUCACUCAUUCAGCCUCUUCCAUUGUAAUCCUAAACUGAAACUCCCUGUAAACUAUCUUGAACUAUUACAUUUUCAUUAAUAAUGUUUCCAAAGUUCUCACAAGUUCUCAUUUUCCUUUCCUGCUUAUUUGACCUCCAAUUUCCAUUGUACAUUCAGAUGGGUCCAGCUCGACAGGAAUGUUCCAUUCCUUGAUGAAUAGAUGAUUUUGGCUGCAGUUGCUAGUCAAGCAAUGAAAGCAAACAAAUACGUACGUCUGCCCAUCUGCCCAUUCACGAUACCUGACUUCCAAUUUCAGUGGCUUACCAUUUCCACUUUCAGAUACUAAUAGAAAAUUCCUCUGAAGAUGUAGGAAGGGGAAAAGAAUGGUGAAGAUUAUAUGAAAAUUUUCCUACUCAUAGCUGCAAUCUAUUCCCAUGUUGGUAUGUUAUUGAUUUCUCCAAAAGAUGUUAUUUUUUUCCUUUUAUCUAUUUGUGCAAGUUGAUUGACUUCAUUCUUUAUACUAGCAUACUUCUAUCACCAAUUUAGUUGUUUUUUGUAAGAUGUUUCAUUCAUGUCUUCACCAAGAGGUGGAUUUUGUGCAAGUUAUGUCUUGGCAUCUUCUCUUAAUUUUGUUCUCAUGCUGCUUUGAUCCUCUGUUUUGGCAGACACAACUUUCUUCUAGCUUAGUGUGAUUGACCUGACUUUACAUAUAUACUUAUGAAUUGUUUUGCUGCAAAGCAAUGCAGUUUCAUGUAUGAAACUCUGAUGUGAUAUCUUUUGAUUUUAAAAUUCCGGAUUGCAUUUACUCUUUUCAGGAAUUAUAUGUUACUUCUUUAGAGCUUUGAGACUAGAACAGUAUCUCAAAAUUAAUAGAAGUUCAUUGUUUGCUUAUGCAUGUUAACUUUAAGGACAAUUUAUGUUGAGGCUAUAACAGUUUCAUUUCGGUUUCAGUUUUGUAAGAAGGGCUGUUGGUUGCAACUCUUCUGAAUUUUAUUUUUAUAUCACAAAAAUGGAAACAGAGACCAUGUCAUUCACAAAAGACAACUCUUAUGGAGUUGAUAUGAGUUUCUAAUUUGACACUCGAAAAGUUGAAACAUAAAUUUUUCCCUUUGAUACCAUUGAAAUUCUCCUGCAGUUCUGUUCAUCUCAAAUGUCCUAAGCUUAUGUCAUUAUUUUCCAAAGGAAAUUUCCUAUUCUAAACAAAAUGUCUAAAGGAGAAAGAAGGAUAUUGAUUCAAACUACGUAGAUCCCCUGUUCUGCUAUUUCAUUGGUUGUAUGAGUUGGAACUAAAUUCUGUUUUCCCUGAACAAAAAUAGAAGCAGAUACCUUACUUCCUUCCCUUGUUUCAUGCAGGUAUGCCUGCCUACUCACAAAUCAACAACGGUUAUAUCAAUGGUUCAACAACAGUGGUAGUUGUUAUAUAGACAGAAAUUUCCUUUCUGCAUGUAGGAGGAAAAGAACAACAAGGGUGAUGAAUUAAAAAAAUUUCCAACCAAAGCUCAGCCUAUUCAAAUGGUGGUUUGUUAAGGACGUCAACUGUAGAUGAUGGCUUUUUCUCUUUCUUUUCAAGUAAGUCUGAUAGUUUUCUGCUCUGGAGGUUGAUAUGCUCAUCUUUUGUUUCAUUGUGAUGGUAUGGCAAAGUAAAUUACUCUUCGAUUGAUCACUAUAGCUUUUCAUUGAUGGUUUCACUAGAGAUUGAUUUGGAAUGCAAUUAUGUAUGGCAUUCUCUUGAGUUCUGUUCCUCACAGUGCUCUUUUCCUCUAUUCCCCUUUCUUUGUACAAUUAUGAUAUUUAUAUUUGUAUGUAUGAUUUUUCAAGAUGAAAGAAACUUGAUCAGCAUCCUAUUACCUUUUGCAACAUUUUGACCCUGGCAUCACCUCUGUAUAGUUCCAGCAUGGCUUAUGAACUCCUUUGCCACAAAACAAAGGCAUGUGUGCAUC
rnacentral:lncRNA from 1 species